UGGCUUUAAAAUGUCCCGCCCAAAUGGUCGGAUUUGUUUAGUCAACUAAGCCUAUUUACCACAAUAAUCACGAUUAAGCUUUUCCUGGCAUUCCAAGAGAGAAAGCAACACAAGAAGCCGCGAUGGCGCUCGCGAAUCAAAGAAACACACGGACACACAUGAAAGGAAAUUUCUUCACUGCGACGCGAUCACUUCUUGCUCGCGGGCGGACUGUAGGUCGCGCUGCCUUUGCCGCUGUUGUAGUACGUCGAUCCAUUGGGAUUGGAGUAGUAGUAGGAUCCGUUCUGGUUGGAAUAGUGGUACGCGUUGGGAUUUGGAGCCGAGGCGCCAUAAUCGCGAGAGCAGUAGUGAUUUCCCUGCGAGUUCGUCCCAGAGCCCUUGUAGGAGUAGCCCUUCUCGCCCGAUCCAGACAUUGUAGCAAGCGCGCCUGCGAGAAAGGCGAGAGAACAAGGAGGAGAAUCGAAGCGAUCGAGAGAUAGAACCCUACCUCGAAAACCGAAAAAGCCCACGGAAAGAAUGGCACAAAACCCUCUUUGCUUGGUGAUCUAUAAAUGCCUGCUGACGGCGGUUUUAUUCCACGUGGCGGUUCGUUACUCUGCCACGUGGACACUUGGGAAUUUACGGUCACAACGAAGAACUUCCAGUUCUUCGAGAUAAAUAUCUCAUAUUUACAAACUGCUGCCUGUAAAAAUUUCUUGUGCUACGCGAAGACUGGAGCGCUGGAGGAAGACGACGAUGGCGUCUUGUUGUUUGAUUCUUCUUUUCCCCACCAAGUAGCCAGCGUCAAUCCCAUCACUGCCAUUAUCACCACCGAGCAAGCCGGAGGAACUGCUUGAGUGUCGCCCAAAAACUGGGUGGCCAGGAGCAUUGCUAGCGUCGAGCUUUGCAUUCCAGUGCAAAGUGACAGUGUUCUUGACACCUUGUGAUUUUGCCUGAGAUACAGAACAAAAAGGAACUCGAAGUAAGGAUUAACGGAACUAGAAGCGAAGAACUUUAGUUACCUCCAGAAGGGAAGUCUCGAGAUGAAAUAGCCAAGACCAAAGCCAAGGGCGUGGAAUACCAGCACCGGGAACAAAAGCUGGAGACCUUCCAUUGAUAUGAUCUUCGACUGGUUGAGAGCCAGAGGGCUUCCAAUGCACAGCGACGUGCAAACCAUGGCAACCAGCGGCAUCACGGGACGUAUUCUGUCCACCAGCGGCUUUGCGUAAGUGUUGAGAGUAAGUCCUGUUAGAACCGGAAGAAAGACCACCUGAAACAAGGAAAGGAUUUGAGUUACAUGAAAUCUCGAGGCCAUAGUUUACCUGGAGAAUUGAUUUCGCCAUGGCUACGACGUCCACUGGCACAACUGAGCCAAUCAAAAACUGCGUAAGAAAAGGCGUGACGAUCACAGAAGUAAUCGUGCUGAUGCUCGUAAGCAUGAUGCUGAGAGCUAUGUCGCCUUCACUUAAGUAAGCCGCGUAGCUGGAGAGCUGAGCACCCGCAACACAAGCCGUGAGAAUGAGACCCGCGGCAAACGAAGGAGGAACACCGAAGCCUCUCACUACCAAAAACCCGAGUAUUGGCUUCAUCACGUAUUGAAGCACGUAGCCCAUGCAUAGAGGCAAAGGCCUGAAUCGAAAAAAGAAAAGGAAGAACUUCUCAGUGCAAAAAAACAUGGACUGUAAGCUCACCUCUGCAAAACAAUCGCGAAGUCGGAUAUGGAAAGCUGGACGCCUAUAGAGAGCAUGAUUCCUCCAAGUGCCGGAGCAUAGUGCUCUUUUCUGACCCUGAAAGUUCAUCAAAGUUUAUAUCCAAUCUCAGUGAUAAAACCUUGAUUUGGAUGGACAGAAGAAAGCUAGAUCAAUCUCAAAAGUUCUCGGUGAGAAAUUCUCUUACGUACCACGCAAAUGUAGCUGGGUGGAUGAGCGCCGCGGCAGCAGUGGCCACCACAAUGUAUGGCAGCAUUUUGGAGAGCGACUUGGCUAUGUCGAUCUUCCUUCCUUGGCUGUCCCUCUUAACCUUCAAGCCAAAAGACGCCAGGGGAUUCUCUUCUCUAGAAACCUUUCGGGAGCUAUGAUCCUUGGGAGCUUUGGAGAAUACCUGGAGCUUCCCGAUGCUACUCGCGCUGUUGUUCGCGCUGCUGGCUGGAUGAAAAUCGCCAAAUUUCGAGAACAUCCCGUCCUCUGCCUCGCUGUGCUCGAUGCGAGAGCAAUAGCGCCUCCAUCGCCUUCGACCUGGAGCGGCAUUCGAAAUAUCUAUCAUCCAUCGCUGCGAAACCAAAUUGCCUCACACAUACCUCUGGGAAGGACGCUUCUCGAGCACAAAACCCUGAGAGACAAGAAUGUGCCCUGCGAGACCGCGCUACUCGUCGUCAGCACGAAUGCCAUCUCCGGCGAGGCAAAAUAGCGGCGUCAACACCGCCAGAGCUUCAUUCCGGGAUAAAAUCCGUGAGAACCGACCGAGCGCCGCGCCCGCCCUCUUUGCCUAUCUAUCGCGCCUCACCGCCAUAGCUAAAAGCUCACCCUAUCAAUUCAUUCACAAAGCGGGGAACAAAGAAAUUCCAUUGCGAGUACGGUCGGAUGCCAUAAACGUACGAAAGAGAGGAUAUUUAACGAUAUUCCUAGAGAUAUAUGCUGUCCUUUAGGUCAUUCAAAUGGCGCUCUUUCUUGUUGCUAAAUAGACACAGUUGAGCCACAAGGCUCGAUUGGUGGUGUGGAGACCACUGUCGUGGAAGAAGCUCAUUCCUACACGCUGCUUUAAUAGUUAUAUUCGAACUCGUGCAUAGAAUCUAUACCAUAGAGAUUUAAACAAUUGAGCAAACCAUAGAGCAUGGUAAAACUUAAUUAGCUCCGUGACAUCCUUCAUGACUUGCUAAUGUAGCAGGCACUCUUUUCCCCGGCCUUAAUUAUUUUCUUCGAUUGUAAUGAACACUUUGCUAGAGCUUUGUGGCCGCGUCUCUAAUAAACAAGAGCUCACUAGUGUAAGCAGACAAAGAAAAACUGGGAGUUACCUUUGUUUUUCUACUGCCCGUACAAGCUUAUUCCAUGCGUCGUCAGUGGUGCUUUUCUUCACGCUGGGAAUGCUUGCUUUGGCGCUAGAGCACGCAAUGCACAGGCUGCCGCUUUGACGCGUACAGGAUUCUGGAAGACAGAGUUACCUCAGUACGGACUAAGAAAUUUGCGAGCACAAUCUUGCCUUUCCCAUGAUGUUAAUGACAGGAGCGCCUUUGUCAUCUUGCUGGUGGUAGCAACCUGUAAAUUAUAUGAAUCGACAUGUUUAAUAAGACAGCCAUCAUACCAAGUGUCAAAUCCGGGUACUCUGCAGCCAAUUGGGAGAAAGGCUUCGCUAUUUCUACCUGUAAACAAAGGGCAUAGGAGAUCGAAACAAAAGCUUGUGAAAUACGUACUUUAGACAAUUGUGUUUCGAGCCGUAUCAAGCAAAAGGGGUGCUGGGUAGCGAGAAAGUCGCGGCUUUUGCUCAGCUCCAAAAGGCACUGGUAUUGUAGCUUGAAGUCCCUAAUCGUUGGACCCGACAGUACAAACACGUUUCGACAUUUUAUCUGAGAAGUACAUGGUAAGGAGAAAAAAAAGCACGUAAUCGAGAGAAUUUACCACUGGGAUAGAGAGCCGUUUGUGAUGCAAAAGCUCAGUGAUUCCUUCUGGCAAUCUCGCCAUCUGCUUUUAAAAAUUCUUUGGGACCCAGAAAAAUAAAAAGAAAACCACACUACCGCAUUCUGAUCCCCUGCACAGUUGUCUCCAACAAGUUGACGAAGAUACUCUUCAAACUCUUCAUCGGGAGCCUGAUUUCUAAAAAUAAGAUCAAGUUCACGUAUACAUUCUAAACUUACCAAUCGAACUCCAAAAGCUUUUGCCACGCCGCCCAGGGUUACAUCACAAUGCAAAGGUCCAACACCCCCACAAACUAAGACCUGUCAGCUUCAAUGUUACUCCUGUACACAAAUAAAAUAUUGGAGCUUACAAUAUCGCUCGCACUUGAUCUCUGUUCGAUUUCCUCGGCAACUGCGUCAAUCUGCCUCGAAAAAUAGCUUAGCUCACCUCUACAUGCUAAAACACGGGAACCACUUACAUCAUUUGGAACGACUGCACGACGCGUAACAGUCCAGCCUAGAGAGAAAAGCUCUUUGCUUAAGAAUGUACCCAUCUGGUCGUCCAUAUCUCCUCUCCUGUAAUACUGAAGUUAAACCAGCACAAAGCUCCAGGAGGAAAAACUUACAAGAGCUCAUCACCGACUGACAAGACAGAUGCAGCAUAUAAAGUAUCAACGUUGGCCUGAGUAUCCGUAUUUUCAACACCAUUUGCAACACCCGGGCCCUGAUAGUCCUUUCUCGGUUGCUUUCUCAACCGUCCCGCCCUUUCAAGCCUUCCAUCGCGCAAUAAGUAAGCUGGCUUGUAAGCCUUCUUUCUCGACAAUCCUAACUCAGGGCAAUCUUUUUCCACCGAAGAAUCGAUAUACAAUGCUUCAUUCGGAACGGUAUCAUGUACGCUUCCAAUAGAUGUGUACCUGGUAUAACCACGAACUAUAUUAACCAGAGUCAGAUGAAGAUUCGUUCGAUGGAAGUGCCCUCACCCUUGAUCAUAUAAUUUACAGUAAGGAACUUUGCAAGCCAGUAAAAAUGCCCAUACGUCUCUGAAAAGUACAAAUAGUGGUGGCAUUUCGUGUGAGUCUAAAAAUCGUACCUGUAAGACCAAUCUAGGAUUGGAUUCACGCGCAUGAACGGCGGCCAGCCAGUAGAACUUGGUGAGAACUGCUCUUGCCCCACCUACACAAAAUAAACAAACGAAACGUUUUGCAUCAAUCAGUCGAGAUACCACGAAACAUACUGCAUUCGGAUCGCCAAUUCUCGUGCCUAAGAAUAUAGCCUUAAUAGGCUUGUUUUUUAAUAGAGCUUCCAAACCUGACUUGAAGUCUUGCCUUAAAACUUCAAGCUCUAAGUUAUAUCUGGAAACACAAAUGCAAAGUUAAACACAAAGUUAGAAGCAAGAGAAAAAAAAAAAGGAAAAUCGCGUACUCUUGUGCUGUCUCGUAUGUGAAGGAAUCAAUCUCUGGGAAAGCAUCGGGACCUUCGAAAUAAAUCGUUCGAAUCCGAUCUUCAGCAUCUGCCGGCAGUGACAAUUUAGACUUCAAAGCUGCACAGCCAGCUCUUAAAAGAUGAAGAAGAACCUAAACCAGACAGAGAAAGAUAUAAGAUUGACCUCUUAUCAGCUCUUUUGGUAUUUGUAUCUCUAUCUCAAGAAUCUAACGCUAGAAAACACAAACGAAUUCCACACAGUCCCACCAUACCGUCGAGUCUUUUCCCCCAUUGAAGCUAAAUGCGACCUCAUCCGGCCUGGAAAAACCAAAAUCCCAGCUCAAAACCCCUCAAUCUCUCCAAAAUCAGCCGAAGCACCUGUAGAGCGCCAGCGUUCGAUCGAUCACAAACAUCGCGUGCUUGUACUUGGCCUGGAGCCUCCGAUCGCAGCUCGCGUCCACAGCCCGGCAAAUCUCCAUCCCUGUAGCUCCCAAGAGCCCUAAACAGGAGAACCCAUAAUAAACACAAGGGGUUUUUUUUGGAGCAACGAAUAUUCCCAUAGACGUGAUCGACGAUUCGCAUAUCCCUGGGUGCGCCUACAAUAUUCCCCGCGUCAACAGGCUCGGCUUCGCAGACCUGAAUUUAAACGCCCGCCGGGGCUAUACCGUAGCUCGAGCCUGAGGCUCGGUAGCCCAGGCCUGGGCCCUUGUUUGCUGGAGUUCUUUCUUCCCUUCCUCCAUUCUGCUGAAAGCGCUUGGCUAUGGCGUGCGCUUUCUCGACUCGACGCCAGGGUUUCUCGUCGCGACAGGGGGCUCGAGCUAGCGCGUGGGGUGUUGGAGGGCUGGAUCGUCUUCGGCGCCGCGAGAGCUCGCUGUUGACUCAAGAAUCGCGGGGAGGAAUGAAAUUUCCAGGUUCUGCUCGAGCAUUGCUUCUUGCCUAGGUGAUCCGGCGGUCCUAGAUCAGCAGUAGGAGUGGUAAUCGUCCAUAUUUCGUGCGCGUCGAUGAUGCUGCAACCCAAGAACUCGCCGUCGAGCGUUGUGGCGGCAGCGCCGGUAGCUCCACAGGUCCCCAGCAGCCCAGCGGCAGCGGGGGAUUUGGUUUGCUUCUCCACACCUCCUCCAGCGGCGGCGGUGCCAUCAACGCCAGCAGCGGCACUAGCAAACAAUGUAGCAAGCACUCCAGCGGCAUCCAGCGGCAACGUCGCGUCCGUUAAGCAGAGGCUCCGAUGGACUCCCGAGCUCCAUGACCGCUUCAUGGAAGCCGUGAACCAGCUUGGUGGCUCUGACAGUGAGUACUAGGACCACAGUCCAUUUCUUUCUUUGAUUCUUUCGCUUCUAAGAGCUAAUGUUCUAUUGUUGGUUUGUUUUUUUUCUUGCAGAGGCUACUCCCAAAGGUGUUCUUGGGCUGAUGGGCGUUCAAGGACUCACAAUUUACCACAUCAAAAGUCAUUUACAGGCAAGGAUCUUAAAUUUGUUGUUGCCAGUUCUGAUGGAGACGUGAUUGUUUCUAUAGAAGUUUCGGCUCGCCAAGUAUCUUCCUGACACUUUGGGCGAUGGUAAGCUACUACGAGUCCUGUCGCCAGAGCUUUGUCUUUACGUUCUUUUUCUUUCUUCUGUGUCACAGGCGAACUCGAGAAAGGGAGGGACCUCGAGGCAGAUUCACGGUACUCUCCUAAAGUUUUUUCCAUUCUUUGCUUGUCUAGUACUAUAUAUUUGUUUUUCCCCGUCCAGUGGCAGGCAACUUAGCGAGGCAUUGCGAAUGCAAAUGGAAGUUCAAAAGCGACUGCAUGAACAGCUCGAGGUAAUCAAACGGUUGACGUCUUUGUGGAUCUUUCUCAAAACAUGUUCUUUUACUUCUCGACAGGUGCAAAGACACUUGCAGCUUCGGAUCGAGGCACAGGGGAAAUACCUGCAAAGGAUACUCGAGGAGCAGCAGAAGAUGAACAAGCUCUUGCGUGGCGACGAUGGCCUCCCCCUCUCGCCGAUCAAACUAGACGCGGAUCCAGACCCGGAGCCAGACCCCGCGAUCGACCUCACGGACGACAGUGCAGAGGACGAGGAGCACAAGCCAACAACAGCGGAUGUAAUUCUAGUCGACGAGGAGAAGCUAGCAGGAGGAUCAUUGGCAGCAGCAGCGGUAGACAGUGGAGAAGAACCUCAUGCAAAGAGGAAGAAGGUGGACGAUCUUCAACACUCGCAGCACAAGGACAAUGGCGCGGAGGGCGAUGCGAAGGAGAAUGGCCGCUGACGAGAUAAGCUUCUCUUCCAUCCUUUUUUUUUUCCUUCUCUCGGGCUCCACACAAAACACUGACUCUACUUACAGCGAUUGAAUUUUAACUCUUAAAAGACACAGCGUUGCUAGCAGCAAAAAGUGUACCACUACAUAGAAUAUAUAUCGAAAAGGAGAGAUUGACAAUGUAUGAGUUGCUCCUCGCAAUUGUUCUCCACGACAUAAAUGCUUUGUGAAGCAAGCUAGUGCUGUUGCUUAUGCUGCCUAGUGCAGAUGGACAGUAGCUUCACCAGUGUUCAAGUGUUCAAGUUCUCCGAUAGCAGUUGUAAUCUUUAGCAACAAGCAGGCUUCUUAAAUGAUUUUUAAGGUGGAUUUCUAGAGAUUCAAAUGCUUUUUGAUUAUUUGUUUCAUCCCUCUUUUACCUUAACCUUUUAUUCUCCGUAGAAUUGUUUAAUAAUUUAAAGAACAGUAGGAUUAAAACCUAAUUCAACAAAAGCAAAAAUUGUGAUUGAAAAUUUCUUAAUUAACUAUUUGUAUCCUAAAUAAGUUAGAUUUUGUUUAUAUUCACAAUUUUAAAUAUUAAUUAUUAAACUAUUCAUGUUUUUUAGUGUUAUUUAGAGUGAUAUUACUAAAAUGUUCAAAUGUUAUAAAUGAUAGUAUUAGUUUUUAUUGGGGAUGCUUGUGCAAAUUUGCAAUUAUACAAAAUUAAUAGUAGUAACAAUUAUAAAAGUUUAAUUAUCUCAAAAGUUGAGGUAUAUAAAUAUUUGUAAAUCUUUAUAAAAUGAAAAUCUUAAAGCCUACCAUAUCCUUUAAAAUGUUUCUUGUGAUAUAUUAAUAUAUAUGAUGCUAUUGUUGUGUUAGCUAGCCUUAUGAAUAUUUGCAAUAUAAUUUUUUGUGCUUCACUUUCCAGUAAACGAAACGAAGUGAUUUGCAAUCCCAAAACUUAUUGUGUUGAGCUAAUAGAUUAUGGAUGUCUUUGAUGGCAUCAUCAAAUCAAAAUCCAAAAUUGGGAGAGAUUUUAAAUUCUAUUUAAUGCCAAGAGACUGAAUAUUUUUUAUGUGAAUAACUUUUUUUAAUGCUUUAUGAAUAAAAUAAUCAACUUUACCUAAAAAUAUUCUUUUCUAUAAAGUAUUAUACUUUUUGAAUAGUUUAGGUCAAAAUUAACUUUUAUAAUUUAGUUUUAAUAGUAUUUAUAAAUUGUCAAGACCCUCAACAAGAUCAAGACUGGAAAAUGCUAAAGACAAAGAGAAAAUGCUAGUGAAAACAAAGAACAGGCCUUAGACUGGUGUUGAUUCAGAUUGUGGAGAAAUGGAACAAGGCUAACCUAUAUAUACUAUAGGUUGAUGAAGCUCCACCACUCUUGGAUCGAGGACGGCCUAAAUACAGCUGAGGUCGAGGAGGCGCCACAUCAUCAUCAGGAAUGUGGCUCGAGACUUAGGAAUCGGGAAGUGUCUCGAGACUUAGGAAUCGGGAAGUGUCUCGAGAGUCAGGAAUAGGGAAGUGUCUCGAGAGUCAGGAAUGUGGUCUGCAGGUCAGGAAUCCGGCGAGAGUCAGGAAUGUGGCAAGAAUUGAGGGAUUCCUGAUAGCACCCCCUCCUCAAGAACGAGUGGAACGAGGAUGUGAAUGAGAACGAAGAGGAGGAUGAGAUGAGCGGCGAGGGAUGGGAGAGGGAGAAAAAAAAUGAGGACUGGGAUGAGAAGGAUAGCGGCGGUGGAAGUCCUGAACAAGGUCAGGAGAAUGAAUUAGGUUGUCCGCAGGUUCCCAAGUGCGUUCCUCAGGUCCGUAACCCUUCCAGUCCACUAGAUAGUAGAGUUUAGACUGUGAAAUCUUGGAAUCAAGGAUGUCCUGAACCUCGUACUCAGACCCAUCCUCGAGCUGCACUGGUGGAGGCGGAGGAAUGACUCGAUUUGGAAUAGGACUGGGAAUAUAAGGCUCAAGGAGAGAGGAGUGAAAAACAGGGUGAAUUUGAUAUGAGGAGGGAAGUGCAAGGUGAUAAGUGACAGGAUUAAUGAUGGCAGUGAUAGGGAAAGGACCAAGGCGUUUGAAAUCGAGUUUUGGACAGGGCCUGGUGGUGGAGAUAUUUCGCCUGAGGAGCCAGACUUUAUCCCCGAUAUUGUAAGGGGGACAAUCCUGACGAUGGACAUUGGCAAAUGUUUUAUGAGAUUCCUGAGCACGAUGGAGGUGGAAGGAGAUAGAGUUGUGGAUUUCCUGGAGGUUGGAGAUAAAUGCCUCAGAGCGGGGAUUUGAACGAGAGGAUUCAGAUGGAGAAGGAAGUGAGAGAUUGAAUCGGGGAUUUCGGCCAGAGUUCGCAAAGAAGGGGGAAACUCGAAGAGAGGAGUGAACAGAGUUGUUAUAGGAAAACUCAGCAAGGGGAAGGAUAUCGAACCAGUUAUCCUGAUGAUAGUUGAUGAAGCACCUCAAGAAUUGUUCCAACGUCUGAAUCGUUCGCUCGGACUGCCCAUCAGUUUGAGGAUGAUAUGCCGAAGAGAGGUUGGCCUUCACUCCAAGCAGCUCCAAAAACCGUUGCUAGAAAUGAGAGAUGAACUGAGGCCCCCGAUCCGAAACCACAUCUGUAGGAAUCCCAUGAAGUCGGAAAAUUUCCCUGAAUACCAGUUUUGCCAUGUCCUCGCCCGAAAACUCCUUGGAACAUGGCAAGAAGUGCGCCAUCUUUGUGAAGCGAUCCACCACGACUAAAAUGCUGUUGAAGCCUCCAGAACUCGGAAGAUCACUCAAGAAAUUCAUGGAGAUGGAUUCCCAAGGACCUGAAGGGACCGGAAGGGAACAAAGCAAACCUGAAGGAAGGUUGUGAGGUACCUUAUUCUAGGCACAAGUGUCACAGGAGGUAACAAAAGCUUUGAUGUAGUUGUCCAUGUGAGGCCACCAAAAGUCCCGUGCAACUAGCUCAUAGGUUUUCGCAAUGCCAAAGUGACCAGCAGUCGGGCUAUCGUGGCACGCCAUCAGGACCAACCUUCGAGCAUCACCUUCAGGAACGUAAAGCUGCUCCCCACGGUACAAUAAGCCAUCUAAGAACUCGAACUCGUCAAAUCGCCGGCAGUCGGGAGUCACUGGGUGUCUAGCUUGAAGAUGGGGGAAAAUGUCGCUAGCGAGAUCAUCGGAUUGAAGAUUGUUUCUGAUUGCAUCCAUCAAGGAGGAGUCCUGAGGGGCCAGGGAAAUUGCCAUAACUUGAAGCCGAUCAGGACCGAGGAUAACUUGAUCCUGUUGAUCGAAGGCAGGAUUACCAGGCCUGAGACUGAGAUAGGAGCGCCUUGAAAGAGCAUCAGGAAGGCCUUGAAACUUUCCAGGUCUGUACUUGAUAACAAAGUCAAACCGACUCAGGAAUUGUGCCCACCUUGCUUGACGACGGCUUAAAACUUGGGAAGUGGCAAAGUACUCGAGAUUUUUGUGAUCCGUCCAGACUGUUGUUUGAUGGCUCGCCCCCUCCAAAAAACGGCGCCACUCUCCAAAGGAAUCCACGAUAGCAAGGAGCUCCUUGUCGUGGAUUUCGUAAUUGAUCUCCGCAGGCUGGAAUUUCCGAGAAUGGAAAGCGACCAGAUGAAGUUCGUGAUCCGCUCCAAGUUGAGACAGCACAGCACCAAUGGCAAAGUCGGAGGCGUCAGCCUCGAUGAAGAAAGGUUGUGAGGAAUCAGCAUGGAUCAAGACAGGAGCAGAACUGAAGGCCGCCUUGAGUGUGUCGAAGGCCUGCUGGGCAGCAGCAGACCAAGAGAAGGGAACAUCCUUGCGAGUGAGAUGUGUGAGAGGAAGGACAAUGUCAGAGUAGUGAUCAAUGAAUUUGCGGUAGAAGUUGGCGAAGCCAAGGAAAACCUGAACGUCCGACAUUGAUUGUGGAGGCUCCCAUUCGAGAAUAGUCUUGACUUUAGCAGGAUCCAUCGUGAUACCCUUAGGAGUGACAAUGUACCCAAGGAACUCCACAGACUGCUGAUCAAAGGAACAUUUCUCAAGCUUUGCGUAUAGGCCGUGUUCUCGCAGCUUCGCUAGCACCUUGCGAACAUGUUCGUCAUGCUCCUCCUGAGUUUUUGAGUAGAUGAGGAUGUCAUCGAGGUAGACGAUCACCAUCUGAUCAAGAAACUCCCGAAAAACAUCGUUUGCCAUGUGUUGGAAAACCGCUGGAGCAUUUGUCAAGCCAAAUGGCAUGACAGUGUACUCGAAGUGGCCAUAGCGGGUUCGGAACGCAAUCUUCCAUUCAUCACCAGGCCGGAUCCGGAUCAGGUUGUAUGCUCCACGGAGGUCGAUCUUGGUGAAGAAACGGGCACCGCUGAGGCGUUCCAACAGGUCCGAGAUCAGGGUCAGCGGAUAACGGUUCCGAACAGUCACCUUGUUCAAACCUCGGUAGUCGAUGACUAGCCGCAAGCUCCCAUCCUUCUUCUUGACAAAGAAGACAGGCGCUCCAACCGGGGACUGCGAAUGCUGAAUGUAGCCCGAGGCAAGGUUCUCAUCCACGUACUCUUUGAGGGCCUUAAGCUCGGACGGGGAUAACCCGUAGAUAGGCCCCCACAGAGGUGACGCUCCUUCCUGUAAAUCAAUGGGACAAUCAUAAGGCCGAUGAACAGGAAGUACACUAGCUUUUUUCUUGUCAAACACAUCCCCAAAAUCAUGAUACUUCUCAGGAAGACUGACAGGAGAAACAUGCAAAGCAAAAAGAAAAAGAGGUUCUUCAUGAAGGAGUUCCAGAAGAUGGAGACACAAAAUGCCCGCCGAUGCCUUCAACCCUCAGAUCCCGUAUGGUAGGAGAAAGAGGAACGUGAUAUCGGGCAGCAAAGUCCGUGUCCAUGAAGCAGGAAGUUGCACCCGAGUCCAGUAGCGCCAAAGCCUUGAGUCCUGAUUGUCCGGUGAAAGAAAGGAGAUAUGGGACGCGGAAGUUGCGGGAAUUGGUGGUGGCUUUGAUGAAAGGUGGUGAGGAGCUUGAUAAGGAAGAAAAGUGAUUUUUAUUUGGGGAGUCCAAACAGACAGCUCCUACUCUGUUUGGACAGGGUCGUUUCCCAACUGCAACAGAAGUGGACUUUGAGGCAGAGUGAACUCGAGCAAUCGGGGAGGCUUCCUGGGACACACAGCUGCUUUGUGAUUAGGAUCAGCACAGUAGAGGCAAAGAUUAUGAGAUAUUCGACGUUGCCUCUCAGCAGGACUCAACUUCCCUCUAAUGAGUUGGGGAGUACCAGAAAUAUCCAUCGGGACCGGAGCAGUAGGUUCAGGACUAUGCCCCGAAGACUCAAGCUGGGAUUCCUGAGUCUGGGACGGAAAAACAGCGGCGCGGCGACUUUCCUGACGACGUUCAAAGAGACGAUUGUCACAUCGAACAGCUUUGUUGAUGGCGUCCGACAGGUCCUUGGGAUCCUCCAUGGUGAGCAACAAAUCCUUGACACCGUUGUUGAGGCCGAAACGAAAUUGGUCAAUCAGGGCCUGCUCAUGCCACUGAGUGUCCAAGGCAAGGAGUUGGAACUCUGCAGCGUAGAUCGAGGCAGGACGAGACCCCUAAGAGAGACGUCUCAUCUUUGUGGUAGCAGCCCGAACCCGAUCCGUCUCGCCAAAACAUGCCUCGAGCUUCUCUUUGAACAAUUGAAGAUCCAUCAGCUCCAGAACCACAACCCCUUUCAUGCUCUUCUCCAGAAGAGGAGAAAACCAUGACAAAGCUGCACCCUUGAGCAACGUCCCAAUCGCGCCGAUUUGAGACUCGGGAGUGGGGUAUCGCCGAUGUUGAAGUGCAAAGAUCAGCUCCAUUUGGUUCAAAAAUCCACGAAGCUCCGAACGCUUGCCUGAAAAUUUCGCCGGGAAACUCACCUUCGGUUCAGGAACUUUGCUGGAUCCUUGAGCCGAAAGUGAAGCAAGCUCCUGCUGCAUGCGAAGAAGGGUCGCCUUCAGCUCGGUAUUCUCAGACUGGAUUUUUGCAAGGACUUCGGCAAAGAAAUCAAGAUGGCUUGGAGACUCCAUUGGCAAGAAGAAAGAAAAGAAAAGGGGGAAAAAGACAAAGGCAAUUAAAUAAUCAAAACGAGCUAAAAGAAAAGCAAAAAACACAAUCUGAAUCAAAUUGUCAAGACCCUCAACAAGAUCAAGACUGGAAAAUGCUAAAGACAAAGAGAAAAUGCUAGUGAAAACAAAGAAGAAGCCUUAGACUGGUGUUGAUUCAGAUUGUGGAGAAAUGGAACAAGGCUAACCUAUAUAUACUAUAGGUUGAUGAAGCUCCACCACUCUUGGAUCGAGGACGGCCUAAAUACAGCUGAGGUCGAGGAGGCGCCACAUCAUCAUCAGGAAUGUGGCUCAAGACUCAGGAAUCGGGAAGUGUCUCGAGACUCAGGAAUCGGGAAGUGUCUCGAGAGUCAGGAAUAGGGAAGUGUCUCGAGAGUCAGGAAUGUGGUCUACAGGUCAGGAAUCCGGCGAGAGUCAGGAAUGUGGCAAGAAUUGGGGGAUUCCUGAUAUAAAUAUAAUAAAAAAACUAUAUUCUGUACUCAACAUUAAGUGAUGGUAUAUCAAAUGUGGAUUGACUUAAUUUUAGAAAUGUGUAGAAUCAUGAUUAAAUCUUUAAGUGUUAAUACAAAAAUAUUAAACAACUUUAAUAAUAAAAGUAUAUAUUAUAUUUUUAUAUGUAGCCUUAGCUAUUUACAAUAUAGCUCAUUAUCAAAAAAAAAACUAUGAUAAUGUAUGAAGUAUUUAAUUGAACAAUAAUAUUUUAAAAUCUUUUUACUAAUUGCAAAUAUAGUUUAUUAGAAUGUAACUUUCUCAUGAACGUUUUACUCAAAAAAUAAUAUCCAGCCUAAGUAACAAAAGCAUUACACAUCUAUAAAAAUUUGACAACUAUGAAGUAAUUAAGCAAAAGGUGCAACAUAAUACUAUGGAAUAUAAAAUUUAAAUUUAUAGUUUCUAUAAAAUAUAUAUAUACAAAUAUUUAUUUUUUUGAUUGGAUAUGGGUAGUUAUAUAUUAAUGUUCCUAAACACUUAUUGUUUUAUUUUCUGAGUAAAACCUAUCAUCAAUUAAUGUCUUGUAGUAAUUAUUCUCUUUUAUUUGAUAAAAUCAUAAUAAUUUAUCCCAAGUAAAAAUAUAAUUUAAAUAUAUAACAUAUUUUUAAUAAUAUGAAAUUCAUUUUUACUUUUUUUCUUUUUCAGUUAUUUUCUAAAUAUAUUCAUAUUUCUGAAUAAUAAUUUGUAUAUAAUCUUUUUAUGAAUUAAUAUUUAUUCUUACUUAUGCCUAGGAAUAUAUUUGUUCUAAAUAUUUAUAUUAUCAAGUUUACAAGAAUUGAUUUUUAUAUUCUUCUAGCAUUUUCUAGACAUUAUUCUCUCAAUCAAAGUGGAAUACAAUAUUUGUUGUUUUGAUACUAUUCCAAUUUAAUUUUUGAUAUAUUAAAAAAUCAAAAUAGUAUUUUGCUUGGCAAAUGCUAGCCUAAACUUUCUGAGUCAUCGGAUCCAGCCAAUUGCAAUUGUCCAAUGGAGGGUAAUUGUGUGAUAAGUGUCAUAUACAAUGUGUUAACUAUGACUGUGCUUAUCACCUGUUAAGUGAAUUGGUUUUGUUUUGUAAUUUUUUUCUAGGGUUUAUGAAAUGGCGAAACAGCCCCUGCCGCUGCAUGAUCCAAAUCUGAGGUGUUGUGUUAACGCUGUUGGAACAAGCCAUGUCCUAGUAUUGUUUGUGUCAAGAUCUAAUCGAUUUGUCCAUGCUUUCUUCUAAUGUCUUCCAUUUUACUUUCUUUUCUUCUUCUAGAACGCUUCAACUCUUGGUGUCUUUUCUUGCUGUUUUCAUUCUUUUUUUAAUUUGGUUUUUGCAAUAGAACGCUUCAACUCUUGGUGUCUUUUCUUGCUGUUUUCAUUCUUUUUUUUUUUUUCCUCUAGAUUGGAGCUCGCUCGAUGCAUUGAUGCAUUGCAGAUGCUUCGUGUGCCGCCAACGUUGCAUGCUUACAAACUUGUAACAAUCGACCACCAAGUGCCUUGAGAUUUUGUGCAGUUAUUUGGAAUCUAGAGGGGAUUUUAGGGCUUCUUUGUGUAUGGGGAGGAGGCGACUGGAGCUGUUGCCGGGGUUGCCACCGUCGUGUUUGAUACCAGUUUCUUCAACGCUUGAGUCGCCCAAGGAUACCAUGAAGACGCAGGAGUGCCGAAGUCUGUUUGCUUCGCUCGAAGAAGUCCGAGACACUUCAAGGCACCCAGGAGAGAGAGGAACCGGAUCCGAGAGGAGGCGGAGAAAGAGGCUGUCGACAGAGCCCAGAGGAGUGUACAAUCAGUCCCUGGCGCGAUUGAUAUGGAAAAACAUGACCAGGCUGUGGUUCUUUUCUCUCCUUUGCAAGCAGCAUUUCUUCACAUUGAACUCCAGCCGACAAUGGUCGAAAUCGUUUCGUUCAUCAGUACAAGAGCACUGCCAAUGCUUUGCUCACCAUCGCGUGAUUAGAGGUCUGAUUUAUAACAUACAAUCGAUUGUAAGAGUCUGUUAGGUGUGAAGCAUUCAUUGUGGAAGAAAAUAUGCAACACAGCUAGAGCAAUUGUUCAUAAUCAUCUUACAGCUUUGAUCUAGAAAGAUAUUGGGCAAGCUGCUUGGUAUGGGCAAUGGUGAAUGGCAAGGUGUUGGGAAUGGUGAGGAUUUAGGCUAUGAGGAUAUUGUGAAUUGUUUUGGAUCAGGCUUAAUAUUUGCUAUCCACAGAUAGUGAACAUCACAAAUGAUGCUAGAACAGUUGCAUGGAUUUUAAUGUUGCUCUAGAGACAUCAAUCUUUUAUUGAUAAUGUGAGGAUAAAAAAAAAGUUUUGUUAACUAGGCAGCUUAUGCUGGGCAAGUGCUAGUACAAUAAUAUAUUUUUAAAAUUUUUUUAGUUAUUCCAUACUUUACAUACAUUGAUAUUUUUUAUUUAUUUCUUUUUACUAUUAAUUUCUGAAUAUCAAAUAAUUUUUAAAAAAACUUCUAAUGGAUUUACCACAUUAAACAUUUGAUAGUAAAAAAAUCUUUUAAUAAUUAAUAUAAAUUGUAAGUAAUGACAGAAAUAGUAACACACACACACAUAAGGUUUUGUUUCAACCAAUAGUUAUUUAGCACAACUUUGAGUAUAUAUUAGGUGUUGUGAGAGAAGAAAAAAAUUUAACACAUGUAACAUGCACAUUUAUGAGAGAAUCAAAAUAAUGCUCCUUGCUCCUUCAAUUCCAUUCCCACUAAACAAGGCCACUUUAUGAUCUUUGCCAACAAGGCAACUUAUGCUAGUAUAUGUAUAUAAAAUAUAUAUUAACCACCAAAGUUUAUAUUUGUUGUUUAUUUGAUCAACUAUCUGUUAUCAUCUGUAUUUUUGUUGGAAAAAGUUUUAUUAAACAUCUUAUCUGUGGUUUUAAUUAGAAUUGCAAAAUUAUACAUUUCAAGAACAUUAAUAUCAUGGAUGAGGUUGAAGGCACUUAUAUUUGGAUAAGGUGGGGAGGUGUAUGCAUGAGCCUAGAUGAGAAGAGAUUAGUGUAGUGAUGAUAGUGCAUUCCAUCUGGCAUGGAGUGCUCUCCUUGAUAUCCACAUGAUCAAAUACUGAGGUAUAUUUGCAGAAAAUGUUUGUAUAGAAGAAUCCAGAAAUAUUUACCAACACUCAUAUUUGCAUUCCAUGGAACUUCCAGCCAAAACUCUUGCCAAAAACCUUGUCUAAAACCUCCACCUUCAGAAGGAUAGUAGCAUCGUCAUACAGAGUCCAAGUCUGGGCUUUUGGCGAGACAACCAUGGGCAGCCACCACAAACUUUUGCUCGUGUCCUCUCUCAGGUUACCCAAUGGAAGAACAGCCCCUUCCUCAAUUAAAGGCAAAAAAUUCGGUGAGACAAACAAAACCCUUUAAUUGAUUUUACUCUAUCAAUGCUUCUUGGUUUAAAUUUGGGGGUUUGGGUUGUUUAAUUAGGGUUUGGGUUGGGUUAAUUAGGGUACACGCGGCUGCCACCUCAGACUUGUGCUUCAAUAAAAGUAUCCGGAGGAGCCCUAGAUUUUAGAUUUUGGCGCGAAUUCGAGCUCCUCCUAGGGCUUGGUGUGGGCGGCGGGAUGUCUCUUCUUGUCAAGAAGCUCUCGGCGUGCGCCAUUUUGCCGUCCAGAGGCUCGGCGCUCGCCGCCGGCUACGAUCUCUCCAGGUUUGGGCAGCUCUCGCGUUCAUUCUCGCGUUCUAAAGCUUCGAUUUUGGGGGCGGCAGUGCGUAUGAUAGCGUUGUUCCUGCCAGAGGCAAGGCGCUUAUUCAAACCGAUCUCUCGGUGGCAAUUCCGGAAGGAACUUAUGGCCGCAUUGGUGAGCAAAUCCUCUCCUCUUCAUGAAAAGAGAGAUCAAGGCUAAAGCUUUUUUUCUUUCGCAGCUCCACGCUCUGGACUGGCAUGGAAGCACUCGAUCGACGUGGGCGCUGGUGUUAUAGACGCCGACUAUCGCGGACCACUCGGUGUCAUCCUUUUCAAUCACUCUGACACGGAGUUUUCGAUCAAAGCCGGGGAUCGGAUUGCUCAGCUCAUACUGGAGAAGAUUGUCACUCCUCCCGUCCUGGAAGUCGAGGACCUGGAUCUCACCGUCAGGGGAGCUGGAGGAUUUGGCUCAACCGGAGUGACCCUCAAAGUUGUUGCUUGAGAAUCGAUCGAACACUAGUAAGUUUCUCUUUGCAAAUUCUUGUAGCUCAAGGGAUGUUUGCAAAGUUCGUUCUUUUGUCUAUUGACAGAUGAGAUGAAGCGAAGAUAAAUGGUUUCUUUAUUUCCCUGGUUUGGCCCCUGUGAGCUUUUGUAGAAGGAUCUCCUCGUAGCCCGGAUCGUAGUACUGGACAACUUCUUUGGGAUAGCUCGCAUUCACGCCGUCCACCAGGCUCUUCAUCUCUGGAUCCGGCCCGAAAUUCAUCUGGAGCAGCUUCUCGAGGCCACCCGACGUGACAAACUUCGUUCUUCCCUCGGGAUCGUUUGGAAGAACCUUUGCGAGCUGCGCUAUCACGUACUUCAAUGUCUCGAUUGGCAACGGUGGCCCCUGGAGAGAGAGCUCAAGAACAGUAAGCUGAGAGGAAAUAGUUUUUCAAACAGCGUUACCUGGAGAAGAGAAUCUAAAGCCGGGAUGUGAGUCAGGUGCUCUAUGAUCGCCUUAAGAGCUCUCUUGCACUUGCUACGAAGAUCUUCGCUGCUUGUCUCGGCCAAAAGUCGGGUGACCAGCUGGGGAAGAACUCCGGCUUCAGCAACGGCGAGCGAGUGAACCGGACUGUGCCUUCCGACUUGUCCGAGUGACCACGCACUGGCACUUUGGAUGUGAUCUUCCUGCUCGUUGGUGAGAGCGUCUACCAGUGGCUUUACACCGUUGGACUGGAUGAUGGUUGUAGACAAAGACUCGUCAAAAGCCGCAAUAUAUCCCAAAGCCAUGAUAGCUGCGCAUAAACGAAGAAAACUUUAUUGUAUACGGACAACAAGCCUUCAAGAUUGCGAGAACAAAGCUUGUACCUGGUAAGCGAUCAUUGCCUAAACAUUCGGCACAGUUAUCCACUAGUGCUGCAACACCACCAGUGGAGACGAUGAACUGUGCCAUUUGCGGUGUGUGCUUGGCAACUUCUCUCACGACAAUGGCCGCUUGCCGUCUUACUUGGUGAUCUAUAUCUUUUAGACACAAAAACAGCUUGGGGAACAGCUCCGCUGCAAGUAAAACCUGUAAGAAACCGCAGGGUUGCUGUUGAGAUCUCAACUGGUCUGUGAUAAAGAUCGUACCUCAGCAAGAUCGACCGUGUGUCUAGCGAUUUGGCCCAGGCACAAGCAAACCUGAGAGAUAAAACAAAGCGACGAGACGCGCUUAGACUAAAAACUGAAGAGAAGAGUUCUUACCCGACAUUAGCUGCGAUGAAGAAAAGCCUUAGAAGCAAAUUACCUGCCUCUUGAUCUUGGCGUCAAUAUGUACAACGAGAGGAGCAAUGAAAGGAACAGUGCCAGCAUCAACCACGAGCUGUGCAAGCUCCGGUGCAUGCUUUGCGAUGUCUGCAAGAGCAGCCAAGGCUGCACGUUUUAAUAUAAGUUCCGGCUCCUGACAGCAUACAAAAGAAGAAGAAGAAAACUUUACGGCAUAUGUGGAAGCGAAAUAGAUGAAUAUCGCACCUGGACACAAAGAACAAGGAGCGGGACGGCACCGGCAUCCACAACAGCCCGCGCAAGCUUCACGUUGUGUUUGGCAACAUUACCCACUGCUGUAGCUCCAACUUCCUUCACCGAAGGAUCAAACUCCUCGAGGCAUGAGACCAAGUCCUCCAAGGCACCGGAUUCAACGACUGCCUGUGCAAGCUCGGCAUUGUGUUUAGCCACGGAGCGUAACACAGAUGCCGAUGCCUUCUUGCUAUAUCUAUUUUGGUUCCUGGCAAGAGCAGAAAAGAAAAACACUUCUUAGUUCUUGGUAAGAAGAAAAGAAGCUCACACUAGAAAGACUAGCAGCUAGAAAACUCAGCAAGAGAAGUGGAAGACUGAGAAGAAACCGAGGAAAAAACUUACUUCAAGGACAAGACAAGCUGGCGCAAGAAAAAAAAAAUCUUAGUUUUUAGAAGGAUAAGAAGAAAAGAUCACGCUUGAAAAACUUAGAAAAAUCAGCAAAAAAACUGAAAAGAAAACUUACUUCAGGGAGAAGACAAGCUGGACCAGGAGAUGAUGCGACACAACCUCCUCCGCCAUGUCUUCGCUCCAAUUGGCGAGCCUUCCCAAUCCCAGCGCCGAGGUUUGCUGGAUUGUGGGAAUGGAAUCGAUCAACAAGGGGCGCAGCAACUCCAGGACCCCAGCCGUGUGAAGAAUCUCCACAUUCUAGAAGCCACAAGGCGAAACGCGUGAUCUGGGUGCCCCAAAUCAGGGUUUGAUGGAUCCGAGCGCCAAACCUGUGCAUUGUUGGACAACUCAGCUACCGUCUGGGAGAAUGUGAUACGCGCCUUCUGAUACGACUCGAGAAUCUGGAGGACUUGCCUCGUCGUCGCCAUAGCCGCACAGCCAAUCUAAAGCAUCGCGCCGCGAUUCGAAUUUCCCCCCUGCGGGCAAAUGAAAAUAGUUAGGGCAACUUUAUAGGGCUGAACUGGAAGCGGACACGUGGAAGAAGAUUAUCUUAAGAAAAUCGAUUAGCAUAACAAGCUCUUUUAGCUCAGUUGGUCAGAGCACCCGUUUAGUAAGCGGGAGGUCCUGAGUUCGACUCUCAGAGAGAGCAAAACACAUUCAUUGACGUUUUAGGGUUUUGGGUUUGGCGCGAACCCUAGGAGCUCGGUGAGCGAUGGCGGUAAGCGAUCGAUGGUGCUGCGCGUUUUCUCGGCUGAUUCUCUGUCUCUUUUUCUCGAUUUCUUGCAGACCGUGCCUGUGAAUCCCAAGCCGUUUCUCAAUGAGCUCACGGGGAAGGCCGUCAUGGUUAAGCUCAAGUGGGGCAUGGAGUACAAAGGUAAACUCGCAAUGCUGUUUCUUCUCAUUGUCUUCUAACACAAAAAAAUCUGGUCUUUCGCGUGGCAGGGUUCUUGAUCUCGGUCGAUUCUUACAUGAAUUUGCAGGUUUGCUCUAGCUUUGGUCUAUCUUUGGUAGGAUUGAAAUUCGUGUUUCUUUCUUCGCAGCUGGGCAAUACGGAAGAGUUCAUCGAUGGGCAGUUCGCAGGAAAUCUGGGCGAAGUGCUGAUAAGGUUUUUCCAAGUUUUUUUCUCCUCUCGGAGGUUUGAUCGUUUUGCUUCUACCAGGUGUAACAAUGUACUCUAUCUUCGUGGAAUUCCGGAAGAGGAAGAAGGCUCUCAGUGAGAAUGGAAGAUGGUGUAAGAAUUUUGCUUGACAAAAUUUUUCCAAGCUAAUCUUUUUUGUUCCAAGUGUUUGAUUGUUUCCAAAGGCAAAUCUGCAUGGGCAGGGUUUUAGGGGUUCUUGGAUAUUUUUUGCCCUUUAGGAGGAGUGAUGCGAUGGAAGAAUUUUGCUUGACAAUAUCUUUCCAAGCUGGGGUUUUAGGGGUUCUUGGAUAUUUUUUGCCCUUUAGGGUCUGUUAGGGUUUAUGCGCGAAUGGAAGGCGCGACGAGCGGCGGCCAUGGAGACGAGGCGGCCGCCACGGCCGCCGCUGCCAGUGCCGCUCUCGUCGCCGCGCGCGUUGUCAAGCCCCAGGAGGUGCUGGAAUCGCUCAUGAACGACGGCACAUUCGACGCUCUGCGCGGCAAGGUCACGGCCCAGCUCAAGAGCAAUGUAAGAGCAAAAUUCUCGUGAAAUUUCGUGCUCAGCUACCGAAAUUCUCCAGGAAGAUCUCAAGCGAUACACGCAAUCGCUGGUGGAGAAGAGCCAGUGUCUCAACAGCCCCGGGGCGGACAACAAAACGCGGCGGGAGCUCUUUGAUGCGCUGCGCCGCGAGCUCGAGUAAGUGAAUCGUUUCCAUCUUUGCCGAUAGGAAGAAGAAGAAGAGAAUUAAAACCUUUCAUCUCCAGGGGUCCUGUUCUUGACAGAGCUUCCAAGGCAGCAUGGGAGCUAAUCCUCUCGAAAGAGAACUUGGGCAAGGAGAUUGCCGAGGCUGUGGACUCGACUUACAGCAAACUUAGCACGCAAACGAUCGAGGAAGAGAGAGCGCCAUCGCUAGAGAGACCCAGCAACGAUCAUGGCACCGAGAAGAGCACGCCAUCGCAGGAAAGAGGUGAUUUGCCAGGAGCUAGCAAAGGAUUGAAUGGGCAUGGUGGCUACUACCACCCGGGAGGAAGCGCUUCGAAUGGCCGGGAGGGGAGCUUGAAAAGGGAUAGAGAUCAAUUGGAAAGGAUGGACAGGGAGCGAAGCAGCCGGAUGCCGCUGGAGCGAGAGAGCUCCCGGGACAGGGAUCGAGAGUUCUCGCGGGAUAGAGAUUAUCCCGAGAAGACGAGGAGCAGGGAUAGAGAUCUAUACGAGCGCCGGGACGCUGCGAGAGAAAGAGAGAGGGAGCAGCACCACUUUGGUGGUGGAAGAUCUUCCUAUGAUGGCCAGGAUUUCUCCAGGGACAGGGAAUUCUCGCGGGAGCACAGUGGAAGAGAUUUCUAUGAUUCGAGGAGAAUGCCGCGAUCGUGAAGAACACACUGCUGGAGUAGUGUUGUAAGGCUUGGCAAGCUUGGCUAUGGUGGACGUUUAAAUUAUGCUAAUGAGAUUGAAUUGGUUUAUCCAUUUGUAUGGUGCAAUCCAACGCAUGCGAUCGUUCCACGUGUGCUAAUUGGCAUCCGACGGUAAAGAGAGGUUUUUGCCUUAAAAAGCUUGUCACGCGAGCGUCAUGGAAUGCUCGUUGUGCGGAGCUCCGGCUAGGGUUUAUCACGCGCCAAGAGGGAGAAUGCUCCCGGCAUAGUCGAGUAUGGCGAAAUCUCUGCUCGCAUUGGGCUCCAGGCACCAGCGCCGGCUCUAUUCGUCGACUUCGAAGCUCACGCAUCAUGGAAUCCAUGUCUUGCAGUGCCCGGUAUGUGAUUAUCGCGAGUAUUUCCAGGAUCUUCAACGCGAUUGUUCCAGGAUCAAGUGGGAAUUGUUGCAAGGAUAUCGGAUUGCAUCUCUGGUCACGGCGCGAAUAUCACAAGCACGGACAUUUUCGUGGACAUGGACUCCCGCGAUGAGCCGGUUUUCAAUUCACGAUGGUAAGAAGCAACAAUCUCUUUUUGUCCUUUCGUGAAAUAGGCAGGAGGAAAAUUUUCUAGUGGCCGCCAUCACCCAGUCAGUUUUCUUUUAAUCCCGUGCAGUGGACGCGGGAGGAAAUGGAGAGCUCGUUCCAAGAGAUUGGGAAGCAAUUCGUAGGGAAAUCAGUCGUCAGUGUUCCUGGGAUGGACAGGGAUAUGAAAGUCGCCGUCUUCGCAUCUUUGCAGGUAAAUCAAUCGUUUUUUUCGUGCUAUAAUAGAAGAACACGUUCUAAAACUCAAUGCGUUCCAGGAUCACUGCUUGGUAAAUCUGCUCCAUCGCUGGCAGGAUGGAAUGCUUCCAGUGCAAAUAGAAUGCGUGAUAAGGUAAGCUCGCAAGCGUGAGAAUCGAUUCGCUAUCGUGUUUUACGUGGUUUUUUCGACAGUAACCAUGCUCGAGGGGAAGAUACUCACAUAUGGCGCUUCUUAAAGCGUCACGGCAUUCCAUAUCACUAUCUUCCAACAACGAAGGCGAACAAAAGGGAGGACGAUAUAUUGGAGCUUGUUUCCGGGACAGAUUUCCUGGUUUUGGCUCGAUACAUGCAGGUAUUUCCAAACUCUCUCAAGCGAAGAGAUCAGGUUUUUCUUUUCUGUCAGGCAGAUUCUCUCUGGUGAUUUCAUAGCUCGCUAUGGGAAGGACAUCAUCAACAUCCAUCACGGAUUGCUACCAUCUUUCAAGGGCGCCAAUCCAUACAGACAGGUACCAAAAGUCUCCUUCAUUCUUCCACUCGUUUACGCUUUGUUCUCGCAGGCUUACGAAGCUGGAGUGAAGCUGAUCGGUGCCACAACGCACUUUGUGUGCGAGGAACUGGACGCUGGACCCAUAAUCGAGCAGAUGGUAAGCACCAAGUUGCUAGAUUUGCCUGCCAGAGUUUGCGAGUUUCCUGACAGUGAAUCGAUGAUCAAACAACGCAGGUGGAGCGCGUCUCACACCGUGACACACUGGAAAGCUUCGCCAUGAAAUCCGAGAGCCUCGAGAGACAGUGCCUGGAUCGAGCGAUCAAGUACUACUGCGAGCAGCGCAUCUUGCGAUACGGUCGAGACAAAACAAAGACGAUUGUCUUUGCGUGAUAGAAGAAAACGAUAAUAAAGACGCCAAAAUGGCUUCUUGUAUAGCAUUUGGAUUCUCUGCCUCGAGCGUCUCGCGGAGAAACCCUAUCGCGCGGGCCAUCGCGUCGCCCAGCCGGCGCCAGGUGAUCGCAUUCCAUCUCGGCCUUGGUCUGUGCUGCCGCGGAGGAUUGGAGCUAGUUGCCGCCUUAGCAGCUGACGGAUCGACCGGCCGUGUCGCAGCGAUGAUUCCACCGGUAGCGCCUCGGCUCAAGCAGGAAUUCGAGCUCUUCGGCGAUUCUCGGGAGGAUUUCUACUUCUGGCUUAGGGAUGACAAGCGCGCGGAUCAAAAGGUACUGGAUCAUCUCAAGGCCGAGAAUGCGUACACGGAGCAAGUCAUGGCAGGCAAGCCUCAUACAUUGCAUUGCUCGCGCUUAUCUUCUUCUUUGCGCAGACACGAAGAAGUUCGAGGAAGAAAUCUUCGCGGAGAUGAAAGGGAGAAUCAAAGAGGAUGAUACGAGUGUUCCUGUGAGAGAUGGGCCUUACUUCUACUAUGAGAAGGAAUUGGAAGGCAAGCAGUACAAAGUCCACUGCCGGAGGAAAAUUCCUGGAGGUGAAGGCCCGGGCUCGAUUGACGAGAUCAUGGACGAGGCUCAAGAGGAGGAAGUUCUUCUAGACGAGAACGAGAAAGCUGCCUCUCACAAGUUCUACACUGUGGGGGAUGUCCAAGUAAGUUUUCUUUUCUAGCUUUUAUUUGGUUUGUAUAUGCGUGGUUUCUUCAGGUGAGUCCAGACCACACGAGAUUGGCUUACACCGAAGACACUAAGGGGGAUGAGAUUUUUAGCAUCUACGUCGUGGACAUUGCGAGCAAACAGCUGCUGGGACCUGUUCUUAAGGGUGCUGUCGAAGAUAUCAAAUGGAUUGACAACGAGUCGAUAGCUUACGUGACUCAGGAUGAUAUUCAUCGCCCUUACAAGGUCUGUCAAAUGCUUUUCUUCUGUGUCUUUCUCAUUGGAGACUCGUGCUUUUGCUAGGCUUGGUAUCACAAGAUUGGAAAUGAACAAUCGGAGGACGUUUGUCUCUACCACGAAGAAGAUGAGACGUGCUUUCUGGACAUGGGUUCGUCGGAAAGCAAAGAGUAUACGUUUGUGCACUCCGGGACUAAGACGACGUCUUUUGUUCUCUAUCUGGAGAACAAGAGUCCGGUGAAGGAGUUGAAGUACUUGACGCCACGCGUUGAAGGUGUUGAUACGAGUGCAAGUCAUAGAGGAGAGCACUUCUUUAUCACCAAGAGGACAGAUGAUACUUACAACUCCGAGCUUUAUGUGUGUCCUGUCAAUGACGUUUCGUCCACAACGCUGGUACUCCCUCACCGGCCGAGGUUUGUUCGACCUUUGACGGAUCUUCGUGACUCAUACUAUUGUCUUGCAGUGUUAAACUUGAGGAGGUUCAGGCUGCAAGGGAUCAUCUGGUAGUCUAUGAACGGGAAAAUGCCUUGCAGUCCAUCACAGUUUUCAAACUACCUCCGGCAGGAGAGCCGAUCACUAGCCUGGAUCAAGGUGUACGGAUAAAGUUUCCAGAGGCUGCGUAUGCGUUGUCGCCAAAGGAAUUUCAGUUCAACUCGCCGAUUCUACGGUACCAAUAUUCCUCCUUGUCAACACCUUUUUCUGUUUAUGACUAUGACAUGGAAACUGGAAAGUCGAUGCUGAAAAAGAGGCAGGAGGUAAUCCAGCUAUUGUAUUCUGGUUGACGUUUACUAAAACUUUGUGUGUUUUUCAGGUUCUUGGCGGCUUCCAGCCUGAGAAAUAUGUAACACUACGCAAAUGGGCAACUGCACAAGAUGGCACGCAGGUGCCGAUUUCUAUGGUUUAUCGAAAGGACCUUGCAAAACUAGACGGCUCUGAUCCACUUUUGCUUUAUGGAUAUGGUUCCUAUGAGGUAUUCCUUUUUUCACUCUUUCCUCCGACACCCUGUUACUUUUUCUUUUGUCCUCGUACAGGUCUGCAUUGACCCUGAUUUCAGAAUGCAUAGGUUGUCACUAAUAGACCGUGGCGUAACCUUUGCAAUCGCUCACAUUCGAGGCGGGGGCGAAUUGGGAAGGAAAUGGUACGAAGACGGAAAGCUGACUAAAAAGAUGAACACAUUCGAGGACUUCAUUUGCUGCGGCGAGUACCUCAUUGCAAACAAGUUUUGUGCCAAAGACAAGCUUUGCAUUCAGGGGAGAAGUGCGGGUGGUCUUCUCAUCGGCGCGGCUCUCACCAUGAGACCAGAUCUGUACAGAUGCGCAGUCGCGGAGGUGCCUUUCGUAGAUGUUCUAACAACAAUGCUGGACUCGUCGAUUCCUUUGACUACUGCUGAGUGGGAGGUGAAUAUUUGAUCUUCGCGUUAUAUUUUCUAAUCAUUUUCUGUCCAGGAAUGGGGAGAUCCACGUAAAAAGGAUGACUAUUUGUACAUGAAAUCCUACUCCCCAGUUGACAAUGUGAUUAUGAAGCUUUACAUUUGUUUUCCACUGCUGAACGGGUUCACUUACAGGUCUUGCCUCGUGAGUAUCCAGAUAUUCUUGUAACCGGAGGACUUCAUGGUGAGUGGCUUGAUUUCCGUUGCUUCAAUUUUGUAAACACUCUCGCGACAGACUCGCGAGUUGCCUACUGGGAGCCUGCAAAGUUCGUCGCCAAGCUGAGAGAAAACAAGACGGACAAGAAUCUACUGCUGUUCAAGUGUGAUUUUGGAGCUGGACACUCCUCGAUGUCUGGAAGGUACGAGAAUUAUAAGAAAAGCUUAGCAACAUCCGCUUACUCCAUCCAUUGCAGAUUUGACAAACUCAAGGAUCUAGCACUUUCUUAUACGUUCAUUUUGAGAAGCUUGGGCCUGGCGACCAGGAGCACUUCUUCUCUAUAGGUAUUCUGCCACUUUUGAUGGGUAAAACGAUUUUCGUUAUAAUCAAUGGCACUAAAAGCCAAUUUUUCUUGCGAGCUGCUUCAUUCCUUGUUUAGUAGGGAAACUUCUGUCAACCAGCUUCCAUUUUGCUCCAGCGUCUUUUCGUGAUUUUACAGAUUGGUGUUAUUUCGCUAUUCAUACCACCUAGAUCGACUCAGAAGGUACUGGAUCUUUUUGCGUUGCUCGUCACGAGAUCUUCACUCUGUUUUGCUUGUGGGAAGAAUAUCCGAAGGCAAUCGUCAUGCGUCCCUUUCUCCUGCAAACACGAAGUGUGAGAGAUGGGCUUAAUUUGAUGGUGAAGGCCACUAGGCCUGAUGAGACUUCUAUGUAAUGCUUCCAGGUUUGUCCGGUUUAUAACAGAUUGCUAUUUUAUUUCGUGGCUGAUAACUUCUUUCGUUUUGUGUCCUAUUUUUCUAGUACCAGACUUGAGGUUCAGGCUCCAAGAUUUCCUUAAACUUGAAGGUUGUACUCGAAGGUUUCUCGUUCAUCUGUUUUAGCUCCUGAGCACUCUUGCUACAGAUUCCCAAGUUCGUUCCGAAGAUUAGCGAAAACAAAACGGACAAGAACAAUUUUCUACUUUUCAAGUAACAGGAGACUGCUCGAUGUCACAAGGUACGGGAAUGGCAGAAGUGGCUCGACUUAUUGUUUCCGUUCUGUAUUUUGUCUUUUGCAGACUUGACAAAACUUAAGGACUUAACAUUUAUUUUGAGAAGGUUGAGCCUGGCAACCAGGGGAUUUUAGGUACUGGUACCACAAGCAAUUUAUUUGCAACUGCAUUUCUAGUAUUCUUUCUCAGGGUUUGGUCAAAGAGGAGUCUCUUUCAGUAAUUAUUGGCCGUUCUCGGAGUAAUGGCCAGGGCUCAAACCGCCACGAUUUCAUUCAAAAGGAACUGCGCCUCUGUUGCUGUCCGUUUAGUUCAAUAGUGACGAACCAAGCAGCUCUAGCUAUGGCGUAUUAGAUACUUUUUUCCCAACAUGGUUUCAUUGGAAGGUAUGAUUUAAGCUAACUCUCGGAUCAUAUCAGACGCAUGCUUCUUUCUCGUCCUUACGGUCAUGCAUUUUCUAUGCUCUCUCAUCAACACUCAUUCACGGUUUUUGCAGAAAUUUGAUGCCUUCCAGGUAACCAUCUACCGUCCCACAAUGACUACAUUUGCAGCAGCGCUCGGUGCUGCUAUUUUUUUUCAAGCAGCAACGGCAGUAACUGGUGGAUAUGAAAGCGCUUUGGGAGAUCCAGGGAUGAGAAGCCCAAACUCCAGAGUGUUGCUCGAAGGCUGGAACUUCUGCAAUGGUGCUGAGAGCAUUGGUUCAGGACAGCCCAGUCCUCGAUGGGCUGAUUGCACUGAUAAAGUCUGCAAGCCCGGUAAGUUUUCUCAACUGACCCUUUUCUUUUUUAGUUGUUUCGCCUAAAUUUUUUCUUUUUUCAUGUGCAGAUAGUGUCUGUUCUCCUUACAGUUUCGUGUCAAACAAUGACAACCAGCUACGGACAGGAGAUAUAUUUCCAAACCGGGCAUUCAAGAGCUACCAGAAUCCAGACCUGUACGCUGUUGAGAAGGAGAAGUUCCUGGCUUCGCUCUGCCAAGUCUCCGAUUUCAGCAACCAUCAUCCCUGGUACUUCUGGAACUCGAUGCUCAAAAAUGGCAACUUCGACAUGAGCUCGGGGCUAUGUCCGGCGACUUCGAAAGCAAGUUCUCUUCAAGUUCACACUCGGCUGACGAGACCUUUCAAGAAGAUUGUCAACGCAUUCCCUUGCUUCGGUGAUGGCUGCAUGAACCAACCGGUUGUUGUCCACGAACAGUCCACAAUCCAGCGGAACUGCAGUUCCCAUGGCUGUGUGGAUGAUCUCAAAGGCAGAUUUUACGGCACCUACGACUUGAACAGGAGCCCCGAGAAUGUGACAGCGGGCAUGUCGUUCUUCUCGGUGGCGUGGGAGAAGAACGUAUCGUCUGGAAGCUGGAUUUUCAAGCACAGGCUCCAAGUAUCCAAGAACUAUCCGUGGCUGAUGCUUUAUCUCCGAGCCGACGCAACUUCUGGACUUUCUGGAGGCUAUCCAUGGGACACGCGAGGCAUAAUGACACAGGUAAAGUUCAAACUAUUUUAUCUACGCUAAUCGCUUUGCCUUCCAGGUUCCCGAAUCACCAAACUUCAAAGUAGUCGUCACUCUCAACGUCACCAAAGGCGGCGGCCCCCAGAGCCAGUUCUAUCUUCUAGACAUCGGUGGCUGCUGGAAGAACAAUGGCCAGCCAUGCGACGGUGACGUGAAAACCGACGUGACACGCUACAGCGAGAUGAUCAUCAAUCCAGAGACGACGAACUGGUGCACUCCAUCGAGGCUAGAUCUCUGUCCGCCAUACCACGUAACUUCGACCGGCACCAUAGUCUACCGCAAUGACACCGUCAACUUCCCAUACUCGGCUUAUCAUCUCUACUGCUCGCCGACAAAUGCAGAGUUUCCAGAGCAUCCGUUCUCCGUGUGCGAUCCUUACAGCAAUCCGCAGCCACAGGAGCUUGUCCAGAUUUUGCCUCAUCCCGAGUGGGCGGUGAAUGGCUACCCGAGCCGGAAAGGAGAGGGAUGGAUUGGUGACGCAAGGACUUGGACUUUAGAGGCAGGAGCUCUCUCGAGUAGGCUCUAUUUCUACCAGGCAAGUCUCUUUUGUCUUUUUUUUUUUUUUAGUUUUUCUUUUUUCUGGACGUUGUUUUGCCUUCACAGGACCCAGGAUCGUUCCCAGCAAGAAGAGUCUGGCCUUCGAUAGACAUCGGGACAGAAAUAUAUAUUAGUUCGAGUGAAGAACUUGCUGAAUGGACAGUGAGUGAUUUUGAUGUUUUAGUUCCAGUGAGAUUAUGAGCACAUUGUUUUUUCCUAAGCUAACAGUAGUAUUAUAAUUGCCUAUUUAUUUACACAAUUGUUAUUUUUCCUAAACUACUAGCUUUAUUAUGCUUAUUCAUUUUUGAAAUAAAAGCUCCUACACCAUAAUGACGUUCUCUCCCACGGUGUAAUAAGUGAUAUCUGUAGAGAUUAAACUCUUGUGAUAGAGUUUAGCAUCAAAUUUGUCUUCUGCUGAGGAGAAGACAAGUUUGAUAAUCUCGUCAAAUACUUUUUCUGAUACUGAAACUUCUGCCAGUAAUCUCCAAGCAUACUCCUCGGUGGCCCUCUCAAAAUCUUCUUUCCGCUUCAAAACAAUGUGACCACUUAUUUCCCACACUGCAGGAUUCACUUGAGUUUCUAAAAUCUCAAGAUCAACCUCACCACGAGCUUGUUUCUCAGCAUAACACUGAACAAAAAUAAUAAUUAAUAUGAUAUGAUAAAACUAUAAUAUCUAAAUCUUACCUGUGGAAAUAAAAAGAUUUGACAUCCUUUAUUAGCAAUAAGAAUAUUAUAAGGAAUGUUUCGUCCUUGAAGCCCCUUGCAAACCUUGAUAAUAUAAAAUGCUAAUUCUUCAAAGUUGCUUUCUCCAACCUCAUAAACAAUACCCUUAACUGGAUAGUUUUCUAGUUGAUAUACUUUAAAACCUUUAUAGUGGUGAAGUAUUAAUUUGGUUGGAGCUUUCUCCACAGGAAAACAAUUUCCCAAAUAAUAAGCCUAUAAAAUAAAAUAGAUAAAUAUAAAAUUAUAAAAUAUAAUAAUAUUACCUGAAAAUGGAGAUGAUUUAUUGUUGCAAAUGCACCCAAACUAUUAUAGCCCAAGCGAAAGAAUGGACUGCUUGCUUCUGCUGCCAUAUAAAUUGCCAAAAGAAAUGUAUCAGUCUCUAAAUGUUGUGGUAUGCAAUCCAACACUCGAGGGACUAAUAAUAUAUGCCCAUAUUCAAUUGGACUCACCUAUAAACAAAAAUUUAAAAAUUCAAGAAUAUAAAGAGAAAGAAAAAAGAAAUACUUACAUUAAUCACCACCACAUUUGGACUACCUCUAAUAUAUGCUUUUGAAUGAUAAUGACUUUUAUCAUUGUUACUUUGCUCAAAGCAAAAUAACAUUUCCUCCUGACCAACCUUUGUAAAAUUGAAUUUCUUAUGAUCAAAAGGUUGUAAGACUUGAUCCACACGAAAUUCAGUUGGACGUUUCUUCAAAUGUCGGCCCUCAUUUAAUUGAGCUAUAAAGCCAUAUUUUCCUGGUAAAACCUUUAAAAUUAUAAUAAUAUUAAUAUCAUCAACUUUAUAAAAUAAAUAAUAAUUACCUUUGUAGCACAAGCAGUGACAUCAUAACGAAAAAGUCCUUCUGCUUGCUUAUCUGCCCACUAUAUUAUAGCACCACAAAAACAUUAAAUUCACUUAAAUAAAAAUAAUCUUUAAAAAAGCAUACUUGACCAAGAAUUGCUGAAUCAAGAAAGGAAUUUUGCCCCAACUCUUUUGAUUGAAUUUCUCCAUGUUCAUCCAAUUCCUGAUUUCCAAAUAGAUAAAGAGGCAGUCUAGCUCCUACAACAAAAUAAACAAGUAUGAGAAAACCAUAUAUAUAAAGAAAUAAAAUUUCUCACCAGGAAUGCAACAAGAUCCCAAACAAUUCUUGCCACAUCCAAUCUUGGAUUCAAGACUCUCCUGAUAGUUGGAUACAAUUGUUGGAAUCCUCCUGAUUGUCAACAUCUUUGACUCCAUUGACUGUGUCCUCAAGUUUGCCUUGCAAGAUUGCAAGAGCAAAAUGAUUGCCUAGAGGCAAUCAAGAGAAAACAGAGCUCCGGAACCGCCCCCAGCCAAAUUCAGAAGAUCUGAUGGGUGCCCUCCUGCAGCAGGAGCGGCCCCGCGACCACCGUGGAAAGAAGGAGAACUCAGAACGCGUGCUAUGCAGAAACUCCUGGCAACAUCCACACUCCCUACAGAGUUCCGAAACUUGAGAUUCAAAGCCGUGAUGAAAGAUUGAAAAGCUCCAGCACGCAGAAUUUUGCUCCCUGCUCCCUCACACCAAUCCUUCCACUCUGAAAUGAACUGCUCAAACCCUAUAAAGGAUUACAGACUACACUUUUCCUUUAGUAUUGGGAUAUGUGAUGCAUGGGAUUGCCACGUGGCAAACUCUCGUUUCUACAAAAAAUUUCUGGCUAGCAGCUCUCUUUUUCUACAGCCAGCUUCCUUGGAGCUUCCCCGUAUCCAACCCGGAAAGAAAGCAAGCGGUCCUUCAAAAAACAUAUUCUUCUCUAGAUGCAAGUAUUCGGUGGUGGAUUCGUCUUUCGACAAGAUGGCACAAUUUCAAAGAAUAUGAGCGCGGCGAGAUUUGGCCGCUAUCAACUUAGCAGGAAGUUUGUCACAAAGUUAGGCACCAACCAGGGUCUUCUUAUUCCCUUUGAAUUUUAGUGAGAGAAGAAAUUUACAACGCUCAAGAUAGCGACAACCUUCUGGAAACUCGAAUGGUACUAGAACGAGACGUGUACGUUCUCACAUACGCAAAAAAGCCUUUCAGGAGAUUCUUGAUCAUCCGCUGGCCUUGGUCGAGCUAUGGAUAUGGAGUUCUCAUCACUGUUCUCUCCCUCGGACGCCGUCAAUGACAAGCAUGGUGACGAGUUUCCAAUCGUAGAGGCCGAGCACCAGCGCCUCCGACUCGCACUGGCUAGAGUGGCAUGGACCCCGGAAAGACAAGGAUCUCGUGAGCGAUAGAGAGCCGAGCGUGCAAACCAGGCCUCCCAGCGCCGACCAGUGGAGGAUCCUACGCCGCUUUCAAGGAGACAGGAUCUUCGCCGUGAUCUUCAUCGAGAGCGAUGAUCUCGGCAAUUACACAAGAGUGACUUUCCUUUACUCUUGAUGGGCUUCUCUUAUAUACACUUUCACUUCUAGCACUAGUCUCUCAUUGUACAGUGUUCUCUUCGUUGACCAGACAGGAGAUCGUGAUUCUUCCGGAGCAAUCCUUGUCUAGGACGUUGAACUGCCUACACACGUCCAUGAUCUCCUUCUCACUGAUCUUCCCCAUCUCCUUGAGCUUGUAUAUCACAUACUCGGACUUCCUGUACGCAGCAAAGAGAAAACAUAUAUACUUGAGUCAAGAUCACUGGAGAAAAAAAAAAAGACUUUGAAAGCUUACGUGACGAAUCCGUUGUUGUCCAUGUCCGCAGCAACUAGAUCCGCCACCGUCAUCUCCCUGUGCAGCACCCACUUUGCGAUCAAUCGGUUCCUCUUAUCGAUCCUCGCCUCGGCUAGAAACAGAAACGAUCGAGCAACCGCCAGAGUGCUCACGAGCAACCACCCCGCAGCAAAAAGCCUGCCUUUGAAAGUCUUGAACGUGUGAUCCCCGUAGCCAACCGUCGUCACGGACAUGGUGGAGAGAUAGAACGAGUCGAGCCACCCGAGCUCUUCCAUCCAGUGCAUGAAGAGAGUCCCGAUCGCGAGGCAGAAGAACACGACCCCGAGCGCCAGGCCGACUUUCAUCCGGAUUCUCAUCCUCCCCUUCUCCGUGUUCACCACAUAGUUCUUGGCCGUCUCGUGGUGACUCCCCUCCACAGCACUGAGAAGGAGGUGUUCUUGCCGCUCGAGAACGUAGGCCACCAUUCCACUCAGGAGUAUGUCGAUGAAGCCGAAACCAACAAGCACGAAGAAGCACGCGAAGAGCUUCGCCGAUGGAGAGGUCGGGGUGAUGUCGCCGUAGCCGAUGGUACACAUCGUCACGAUGCAAAAGUAGAGCGCGUCGAUGACUGGAUACGUCGAAGAUCCUGAGAAGUCGUCCGUCCUCCACACGUAGAUCGCGACCCCGAUAGCGAGAUAGAUCAUGAGCCCGAUGCUAGCUUGCACCACCACGGUCGUGGCGCUCUCCAGCUUUGGCCUCGUGAGCUUCUUCGACUUGUCCCGCUUGGUGUAGUUUACGUUGAGCGCUGGCGCUGUCCGCGAUUUCUUCAAGUACUUCCUCUUCACAGGAAACCCCGGAUGAUCGCAUUCCUUGGCGUCAGGCAGCUUCUCCAAAGUCUCGGAGCACUCGCUGGAUAAUCCCGAGAGAGUAGCAAGCAGUCCAGUGGUUUCGUCACCGCCACCGAAAAAAGAAGAGCCCCUUCUCUCCAUCGGCGUCUCCUCGUCCUGUUCGUCAUCCCUGCUCUUGCCCGAGUAAAGCAUCCAUUGUUUUUCCUCCGCGGUUGGGUAUAGAUUAUAUGCUCGCCGAGACCCUCCCUGGCUCAAGAAAUCCUCUGUCUCGUCUUGGCCCUCGCAAGCGUUGAAAAGCCUGGGGAGAUAGAACCCUGCGGGGCUCUCCAGCGAUCCAUAGACCAGCUUCUCCUUGAAUGCCAGAGGUGUGAUCGGGAUUGCCACUUCCCCCGGAGCCGCUGCUUCAUCUUCCACCACUAGCCGGUGCAAGGAGAAUGGUCGGCGCUGGCUGCCGAGAAGUGGCUGCUCCAUCCCCGGGAGCUGGAAAUCCUCAUAAAACCGAGAGCUUCCGGAGAAAAUCCUCGCAAUGCCGAUGGGCCGCGGGGAGAACUCCUGUGCUCCCGGAUUGAGAUUACUUACAAGAAUCGCUACGCCAUCGCGGAGGGACGACGAAGUCAAGCUCUCCGAUAAUAGGGUUUUCUUCUCCUCCGGGGAGCUUCCAUCCCCGCCGUUGGUUUGAGCGAAUCACCGGGUGACACGUCAACUAACGUAUCUCCGAGGAUAUUCUCAGCUUUUCUAUUUUGUUUUUAUGGGCGCGCCAAAAUUCAAAGAUUUGUGUCUGGCCCAAUUUUGCUUUCCGUUACAAUCUUUUUAUUUUCUUUCUUUCUUUUAGGGUUUAUGGCGCCACUGCGCGUCUUGGAGUUCUACAGCGGCAUUGGCGGCCUGGUAAAGAGAUUAUCGCGCAGAUUCGUGGAUCCACACACUCUCGCAUUCGUUCUUGCAGCGAUUCUCACUCGAGGAGGCUAAGAUCGAUGCCAUGGUCGUGGAGGUGUUCGAGAUAAACGAGCUCGCCAACGAUGUGUAUGAGCGGAAUUUCGGCCAUCGCCCUAAUCAGGUGUGUGCUAGCUAGGACAGUGCUUUGGAUUGAUUGAUUUGAGAAUCCAGGGAAAUAUCCAAAGGCUUUCCGUCAGCGAUCUAGACAAAUACGAGGCCGACGCAUGGCUGCUCUCUCCGCCGUGUCAGCCUUACACUCGACAAGGUGUGCGAUUCUUUUGCUCUUUAUUCCUUUCAUGUGGAAAAUGUGGACAGGGCUACAGAAGGAUUCUGCCGACGCUAGAGCUUCGUCCUUUCUCAAGCUUUUGGACACGAUCUCUUCGCUGUCGAUUCCUCCGACGCAUGUUUUUAUUGAAAACGUUGUUGGAUUUGAGGUAAUGGGAUUAAGUUGCGAUUGCUUUCUCCCUCACCGGGGUCUGUUUUUCUUGCUAUUUUUUCCUUUUCUAGACUUCGCAUACACGAAGUCAGCUCAUUAAAGUGCUCGAAGACACCGGUUUUAGAAUACAAGAGUGUAUCAUCAAUCCGCUCCAGUUUGGGAUUCCAUAUUCUCGGCCCCGUUACUUCUGCCUGGUAAAUCACAUUGGUGUUCGAGAGAGAGCAUGACUUACCCGUGCGAUUUCUCCAGGCCAAGCGUGAACCUUUCCAGUUUUCACGUUCCGACUUAAACGGGCAACUUGUUUCCUGCCCUUUCGAUUUUUCCACCAACAGGGACUUCCAUGUUGAAACUAAAACUGUCGGCGAGUACCUGGAAAAUGCUUCCGACUGCACGGAAGACUAUAUGGUCCCGUCCACUACAAUUGCAAGAUGGGGAGAAGCUUAUGGUAUCCUUGACAGCUGGUUGAUCGUUUUGUGAAGUUGUUCUUAACAGUGGCGACAAAGAUAUUGUUACACCCGAUUCCGGAAGAUGUUGCUGCUUUACAAAGAGCUAUGCGCGAUAUGCCAAAGGCACUGGUUCCAUUUUAGUCACAAAUCCAUCCUUUUACAAGGUAGCUUUGGAAAGAUUUCUUUUCUUUUCUUUUCUGUGAUUGAGCUAACAUAAUGGCUCUCGUGCUCGCAGUAUUUUAGCAAGGACCCGGCUGAACUCAGUGACCUGACAUGGUUGCAGUCUGCUGGCUUACGCUAUUUCACACCACGCGAGGUAUUUCCUUGCGACUUUUUCUGUAUAUGUUUGUGAUGCUCGAGGUUGCAGGUUGCAAAUUUCCAUUCUUUUCCAAAGGGAUUCGACUUUCCUGAUCACUUAUCUAUCAAACAACGGUACGUUUUAGCUGUUCUCAUUGCAGAUUGGUUGUGUUACGGUUCUUGCACAGAUAUGCUCUUCUUGGAAACAGCCUCAACAUCAAAGUCGUGGGAUACUUGUUAAACUACCUUUUUUCUACGUAACGCUGGCGUAGCCAUCGAAGCCUUGGUCCAAACAAAGCCGUGGUUUUCUUUUCCUUCUCAUCUCACGAUAUUUCGUACGAACAUACGGUAUAUCUAUAGUUAAUUUGGGCUUGUAUUUAAACUGUCCAUUUGUGGCAGAAGGGGAGAUCUGGUCUGGGAGGCGUUUCUUACAUCUUUGAGCAAGUUUGCGAUGGCGGUCAAAGUUUACAUUGUGUAAGCCUUCCUGCCUCUCUUGCCUUUGUAUGCGAUGCAUUGCUCCCGCGUUGUUUGUGCUUUUAUUGUCGCUGGAACUGUGUGGAUCGGCCCCAAAUUGCCUGUUUCUCGCAUUCGGGUGCCCUAGAUCCACACAGAUCUGGGUUGACUUCCUUAAGCAAUGCGAUGCCUCGUUUUACUUUUGAUGGGCUCACUGAAGAAUCAAACUUUUGUUUUUGUUCUUUUCCAUGCCGCGCAGGUACUACUCGAUGUAUGGUCAUGUUGAGAAGCUGGCUCAGGAGAUCACCAAGGGCGCUAACUCGGUGGAAGGUGUCGAGGCUUCUCUUUGGCAGGUAAGCCGCAGAUUUUCGUGCUUGUUUGUCAACUGAAAAAUAAAAGAGAGGGAGAGAGUGAUGGAGAAGAGCUUGCUUGCUUGGUCGAAAAAAAACUAUGUACUGAGUUUGCGAUCGAAAUUUCCAGGUGCCAGAAACAUUAAGUGAGGAUGUUCUAGGCAAGAUGGGAGCACCUCCAAAGUCGGAGGUCCCAAUCAUACAACCUGGCCAGCUCGCUGAUGCUGACGGACUGAUAUUCGGCUUUCCCACGCGAUUUGGCAUGAUGGCUGCACAAUUCAAAGCUUUCAUGGAUGCCACUGGGGGCCUCUGGCGUGCCCAAACACUCGCCGGUAAACCGGCCGGAAUCUUUUACAGCACUGGCUCCCAAGGAGGCGGUCAAGAAACUACAGCGUACGUAUUUCAUUCUCGUUUCGUUCUCGUGCACGCAUCUAAAGCAUGGAUUGUUUUUAUCUCUCACUCUCACUCUCUCUUUUUACGUGCAGGUUGACAGCUAUAACCCAGCUUGCUCACCACGGUAUGAUCUUCGUGCCGAUCGGCUACACUUCUGGCGCUGGGAUGUUUGAGAUGGUCCAAGUGAAAGGCGGCUCUCCAUACGGUGCUGGAACUUUGGCUGGGGACGGGACCCGGCAACCAUCAAAGCUGGAGCUGGAGACAGCGUUCCACCAGGGGAAAUACAUUGCCGCCAUCACCAAGCGCCUGGCCACUAAAUCCGAUUGAGAGAAACCAUCUCCGCGAGCUCUAAGGUAUACUUUGCUCUUUCUUUGUUUGGUUCUUUUUCUUAUGCUGGCUGUGAUUGCUAACAGAUAAAACCGCGGGACUUUGAUAUAUUGUUCUUCCUCUUUGGAGAUUCCCGUGGAAGGAAUCUCAGGGAUGCUUUGGAUUGUUUAUAAGAAGACGAUUUUUUUGGUUUUUGCUUUUACUAUGUUUUCUUUCCAGUAAAGAAGAAGAGAGAAUCACGGUGAUGGUAUGGAACUGGUAAAAGGAAAGGGUUUCGUGGCCCCGGUGAGUUUCUCCUUUUACUUUUUAGGAUUUCUUUUCUUGCUUUGGAUGCAAGGCAAGACAAAAAAUACACAGUGGAAUGAUUUUCUCGUGUGGAAAGCUCUUCGCGAGGUUUGAUUAUUACAUCACGACCUCAGGGUCAAUAACACAAGAAAAAAUCUUUCAAGCAAAAUCCGAUUCUUUUGCUUAAUUUCUCGUCAGCACUUUCUUCCAGCACAAGAUCUGAUCUUGCUGCUUGAAUUCCUGUUUACUCUUGGAUUGAGACGUGAAAUUUUCUUUCCCUCUGCGAGUACAUACUAGAAUCUUAGUAACUUGAAAAGGUGGCAUACUCUAUAGGGGAAACGAGAAUGAUCUGGGCCUGGGUCGCUCCCAUGGCUCGCAUGAUGCAAAAAAGACAUUGUACAUAUUGACUUCGUCGUUCUAUACAUCGUCCUUCUCGCUACAAAGUAUGCAGCGUAGACCAAAGCUCAUCAGAUUUGUCGCUGCUUCGCGGGCAUCUUAGCAUUUCUAGCUCCAAUAGCUGCCAGCGAGCCAAUGAGGCUAAAAGCUUGCAAACCCUACAACUAGUUUCUACUGAAAGCAACCAAAGAGAUGGGAGACAAUGUAAACAAGUAAGGACAGGCAAAAGGAGAAGUGUAAAGUUUUGGUAUUAAACACACAUACACGCACAAAAGUCUUUCCAAGUGUAUAGACUGUCACAAAGUUUUGGCUGCGUUCCUGGAAUUUUCAUGUGCUUGUCCACGGCCCAGUAGUGGAGAGUCAAUGCUGAGUUUUGUCUUGCACAUAUGGAAACAGGUGAUCUAUCAACAUUCUUCUUGUUCUUGUUGUUCUUGGCAAUUUCUUUUGCGUUUCUUUGGGUGUGAAGAGGUUCUCCUAGUUGACUAGUUUGACUCUAGUUGCUUUUCUAGCUAGGUUGUGAUGAUUCGCUAUGUAUCCGCUGCAAUAGGCCUUCGUCGUGGUGUCUUGUCUCGGUAUAGAUUUGUCUAUGCUGUUUGGAAUGUUCAAAAGAUUAACAAAUAGAUGUUUCAAUGUUUGUGCACACACAUGUGUUGUGAUAUAUCAAGACUGUAGUUUGAGAGGGAGAGGAAGAGGAAUUCGGAUGAGCGAGGAAACGGACCUUCCCCAUGUCCCUUGCAGGGAUAUUUCAAUCUAUUAAACGGAUUCAGUGCAGAGCGGCAUCUCGCCUAGAGAGUCACACCAAAGCGAGAGAGGAAAAUAUUCCACACGAUCUCCAAAGGGAAGCUCGUGGUGAUGUUUAUGUGGGUACAACUUUUAACAAUGUUGCUGAAAGGUGGCACAUUUCCUCAGAAGGGUAGUUGCCAUCGAUCACAUUCGUUAUCACAUGGAUAUUCCUCUCUCUUUCUUCAGCAUGUUUAGGAGCUUCUUGCUGUUUUGGAUCAAGAUAGAUCUAGAUCAUCGAUGAUUAUGGUUCUGCAGUGAAAGAUUUGGCAAAACUUUCAUAUGCUAACCAAGCAUGGAUUGGGACCAGUAAGUACUUUCAUUCGCUGAUCAGGCAUGGAUUGGGACCAGUAAGUACUGGCGAAAGUGAUUGUCUGCAAAAAGAAAACUCUAGAAAUUUGUGUGGCCUGUUCUUCUUCUGGAAAACUUGGAACAACCAGCCAAGACUGGUGCAAAUUCCUAGAAAACGAGAUCUUCCUGCUUAAGGAGACCGUUUGUUGACCAAAGACUGGUUUGACCAGGCUUAUACCUCCCCAAAGUACGUAUAGCAGAGAGCGUAUAUGUCGUAUAUAGUGUUCUCAAGGACAUCAUGAUUGUAUGGUAUGGAGGGAGAAAGAAGGGGGCCCAUGCCACAUGCGCAUGGGGCCCCAUGCCAGGUCGGUCGGUCACUUUAUUGACCGGGGGCCCACGUGGAGCGUGCCGUGCCACGUAGGUAAAAUUCCCCCGCCCCUUUCCCCUUUCACACCUCCAGUAGUCAACCAAUAAAGAAAGGUAAAGUGGGCGUCACCCGUCAACGGCUGACGUGACGUGGUGAUCUGUAGGUCGGCGGGAACGUGGGCCCCAAGUGGCAGGCCACGUGGGAAUAUGACGACACGUCAGCGGGCCCCAACCCAGAGGUCAAACUGUGGUCCCUCCCGUCCGUCACCGCCUGGGUGGUGUUCUCCGGCAAACGCAACGGAUGCCCAGCGUUUACAUUCUCCUUUAAGUUUUUCUUUUUUUUUUGCAAAAGGUGGCGUUGACUUUGAUGGUUGACAAUGUGAUUUCCUGAAACGAUUUUUCUGAUUUAAAGCUGCAACCUUGGCUCCCAAGCAUCAGGCGUUUUUUGUGACCAAAACAAUCACUGCUUUGUUGCUGGCUGCAAGAGAUUGGGGCAAAUGGAUUUACUUAUUGGAUCCAUCCAGCUUUCAACUACAGAUCGACUCUUCUCAUUCUUAAGCUCCAAGUUGUUGAAUGAAUCCGGGUGGCCAAAGGCCAAAGGUGGUGGUACAAAAGAUUAUUAUCAUCACCCCAAGCUUUUCAAAAAGAGAGUCCUCAUCAUUCAAGCGAUGCCGAGUAAAGAUUCCGGGGCGACAUAUGGCGAGAGUUUCCUUGCUGAUGCUUACUUCUUUUUCUCCCAAUAGUAAUUUCAUUCAAAACUAUAUAUCAAAGUUGCCCGGUUUCGCCAUCUUGACUAUAAAACGUGUCAACUUAUGCCCACAAAACUAUAGAGUUGGAUUAACUUGUCUUGGGAUUUCUUCCUAUGCGAUGCGGGGACAUGAUAGCUUCUAUAAUAAUUGGCAUGGAAGCAUCAAAAGCAGUCGAGAGAGAGGUCCAUCCAUCAAUUCGAUUCAUGGAUGCCAUAUAAAUCAAUCCUAUAGGAUCAUAGUCCUCGCCGGGCGGAAAGAGAUCCAUGUACGAGAUGAUCCUAUUCUCUUCACCCCCUAAACCACCAACAUGGAGAAUACUAAAUCUCCAUGAGGUUAUUUCCAUUUCAUACUUUUGGCCUUCAUUUCCCCUUUAAAAACACAUUGCUUGAUGCGAAGAGGAUUGAUUAGACAAGUUUCCGUGUGUGUGUGUGUGGACCCAAUGCUGCAUCCCAAAAAAUGCAUACACAAACAAUGCAAUGUUUAAGUAACAUGGUAGCUAUCGAAGAAAAAAAUCUUCUUCUUUAGAAAAAGUGGGAGAAUUCGAUAGAACUUGAUGGAAAAACUGGCUGUAAUGAAGGGUGGCACAAGGAUUUGUAUGAGGCACAAAGAGCCAACCACAAAACUAUAUGAAAAAACCGCCAGAUUCUUGUCCCAGUCGCGUAUAGAUUUCGCUUCCAAAAUCAAAUGCCAAAGAAAGGAGGGAGAGCGAAAGGAAUAAAAUAACGCGGGGGUCCGGCGGGGGUUCGAUACCGGCCAGGGCCAUGAGGAUGCUGCCCGCGGGCACCAUCACGCGUGGCCCCUCGAAAACGCGGACAGCUGCACGCGUGGCAUGGCCAUGGCGGACGGGCAGCUGCCCGUGACGACCACCGCGAAAUGCGGGAGGGGGGCUGACGUCAUCCUGCCCGUUACUGGAUCCAACGGCUAUGAUGCGGACACGUGGCAUGGGCAUCCAUGACCCAUUCAUGCUGGGAUAACUAUAACUACAUAUAUAUACUCAUUGGCCUGGGUUGACUCCUCUUCUUCUUUGUUUUGUUGCUCGGGAGAGAGCUUGUUCGUCUCGCUCCAAAGAUUGCCCCGGUCAAAGCCCAGAAUUUUAUUUGGAUUUGUGGAGCGCAGGGAUCGCUCGCUGGAUCCAGUUUGGCAAUCGCAUUUUACAAAUUCUCACUCUUCUUCUUCCAGCGCUAAUGAAGAAUCUCCUGUGUUGUCGUUACUAAACGCGCCAGGGAGGAAUUCCCGUUCGAUCUCCACGCUAUAUAUUCUAACAAUUCUCCUUGGUGGGAGACGUUUGGAGAUCUUCCUCUUGUCAAGACCCGUGGCCCCGGCUCGCCACAAAGAAAAAUUGUUUUCUUCUUUCUUUCUUAGGAGGAGGGGAAGGGUUGAUGCAGUCGAUAGCAAGACUUAUAACUCUCCUCUUUCUUCUCCGGAGUAGUGUUUCUCGAGAGAUCUCGCGCCGCCGCCUCGAUGUUGCAUCACGCAGAUAGCCGGCUGCUGAAUGCGUUCCCGUUUUCAGGAGCAGAAUCAGCAAUUGCGGCCGUCAAUCUGUCUCAGCUGCUGCUCUCGUCCACCACAUCUGCAUCCAACAAUCCACAGCAGAAAUCAGCAGCAACAGCUUGCGCUAGCGUCGCUCACAGCCCUCUCAAUUCCGAAGGCUCCUCGACGAACAGCACCACCACCACCACCACCAAUCUUGAAUGUUCCACAUCCAUACAAGCUCCACCACCGCAAGCCAUCCAUUCCUCGGUGUAAGUUCUUGAAGCACUAUACCGCACAGUGUUCCAUAGUCUUAUCCGAUUGCCGUGUGAGAGAAUUCUUACUGAUCGUGUGCUCUCUUCUUGCAGCUGGUCCGAGUUCUUGAAUGGUGCUGCUUCUAAUUCCUUCAUGGGUGACAACUUAGAGAACGCGCUUCCAACUUCGUCCAGUUUGAGCUCCACCGCGCCGCCGGUGACGAGCAGCGGCACGGCAGUCUCAUCAUGGUGGAGCGGGCGAGAUCAGGAUGAUCAGCUCCCAGCCGUGAACUGGAACCAGACCGCUGGAUCCACCCAAGGCUUGCCCGAUCUCGAAGGUGGAGACUGGUCCCCGGGACAAUUGGGUUGCCUCCCCACGGCUCCAGAAGUGAACGAGCAGCUCCCCAGCCACCAUAUGGCGAUCGAGCACAGCGAUUUCACCUCCACAAUGAACACCACCCUGGUGGAUCCCGAUCAGAUUUCCGGCAAUCCGGCUUCAUGGGGCUCCAUUCUCAUGUACGAAACUUCUCGCUAUUUCUUUCUUACGUUAGCUAUGCCGUGAUUUGCGGACGUAUCGCGGGGAACUAAAUUCUCUUUGUUUGUGUCUGCACAGAGGGAGCUCCGGGAAUGAGGAAGCUAGCCUUGACAACGAGGCCUUCUUCUCCAGCAUGAAGCUCUUGAACAAGGCCGUGUCAGAGCCGUGGCCCGAGUUUAAUCCUCUCAAGAGCUCGGCCGCUGCUUCUGGAUUCGAAAGCAUCGACGACAUGAUGAUCAAGCAGCAGCAGCAGCAAUUCUCGCUGCCGGGCCAUCACUUAAACAUGGAUUCGAGCACCAACUGGUCAUCGAGAGCAGCAGCAGUUACCAGCAGCCUGGACGUUUUUGGAGGCUCUCAACUCAUUGGAGGCAGGAGCAAGAUCAAGCAAGAGAUGGAUGCACAGUUCCUCAUCACCCAACAGCAGCAGCAGCAGCAGCACUCGAUGCUUCCGCCACCACCGACGAUUCCAAAUCCAAACAACGUCAUGAUGAGCAGCGAGGUGCCCAGCCCUAGCAGAUGGGGAGCUCACUCUAGCAGAUUACCAGCCAUGCUCUCGCAAGUUCUUCCCUCAACUUCGAAGCGUGGUGGAAACCUGUUUGGAUCCGGUUCGAGGUCUUUUGGAAACUAUGUGAGCCCGAAAGCCGAGCCAGCUUUGUACUCGAGCAGCAAAGGCCAGCAGCAGCAGAGAGAACAAAGCUGCUCCAUGUCCCAGCACAGCUCGGGAAUCACCUCACAACAUUCGCAUGACAGCAAAGAUUCUCAUGCCAGCAAACACUUGGUAAGCCACCACACAAAACUUUAGACACUUAUCUUCUUUUUUCUUCUCUUCUUGUCAAGGCUUGUUGUUUUUCUUGCUCUUGUUCUUGGAACUUCUAUCACUGCACUGCAAGGAUCAUUUCUCAAAAGGAGAGGAGUAAAAGAAGAGAAUCAUAGAUAUGAUCAUGCAUGAACUUUAAUUUUCUUUUUCCUUUCCUUGCUGCUUGUCUGUGUGUUCAAGCGGAACUCGAGUAGUGCAACUUUACCUAGCUGGAUGAUCUCUUUGCUAAGUUGCUGUUGUUCAUUUUCUACAUGAUAUAGAUGGAUGAAAGCCGAGAGGUUUUGUCGUCCGAGCCUGUUUCAAAGCGAGGAUCAAACAGCAGCAGCGAUCAUCCAGAGACAUUCUUCAAGAGGCCAAGGAUAGAGCAACAGCAGCAGCAGCAGGCAGCUCCAACUUUACCUUUCAAGGUGAAUUUCUUUCCUUCUCUCUGUUCUUUGCUAGUACUGCUUUUCUCUUUCAUAAUCUUCUCCUUUGUUUUUCUUUUUUAAGUUGCUACCUUUUGUUUUUCCACAAAAGAAACCUUGUGAACUGAGAGUUUGAUGAACAGGCCACCACAUUCGUUUUGCAGGUGCGGAAGGAGAAACUGGGUGAACGGAUCACAGCACUCCAGCAGCUAGUGGCUCCAUUUGGAAAGGUGUGAUAAAAACUCCCUCGAAAUUCUUUACUUGGCUGUGGAAUUUUUUCGCUGGAUUCAAGGCUGAUGGGUGUUCUCUCUCAGACUGACACUGCUUCUGUCCUUCUGGAGGCCAUAGGCUACAUUAAGUUCCUGCACGACCAAGUCCAGGUAAUGUCCCAGAUUACUUUAAACACAUCCCCAAGUGAAGGAGCUUACCUCCGGGAUCAUUGCAUAUCACAGCUAUUUGUUUCUGUGGGUUUGAUCAUUGUAUCACGUGUGUCUGUGUGUCUUACUGCCUGUUUAUACAUCUUCCAUCUCCUGGCACCGUGUUACUGCUUGUUUGUCUUACUGCUUGAGAGACAAACAAGCAAUCACAAAAGAAAGAAAAAAGUAUAGAAAAGAGAGGAAAAGAAUGCUUAAAUCUGCUUGCUGGGCUGCCUGUGAAUGAUCCAGACGUCUGCCUGUGUGAGGCUGCAUCGAAUCAAGCAGCCCAAGCUUUGGUGGAUGGGAUGAUUGCAUUCUCUUGCUGCUCCCAAGCUCUGGAAACUGGGCCUGACCGUACAACUGUUUUGUUCACAUGCUGCCAGGUUCUAAGCACACCGUACAUGAAGAACGCAGUUGCAGGCGCUGGAGUCCCGGGGAGGCCCAAUGUAAGUGAUUGAUCAGCCCUCGUCGCUCUCGUACUCUUUUCUCUUUCGCAGCUUUAUCUCGCUCCCGCUCUCUCUCUCUCUUUUAUUCUCUCUUCUCGUUAUCAAAAGAUAAAGUUUACAAACGCUAUAGAUUGCCAAACUACUCUAAUUCUCCGCUGCAAGAAUUCUCUUCUUACUUCUCGUCCCUUCUGUCUCGCUACUGCAAGCUGUGUGUUAGAAUCAUGGCAGCAUCUUUCCUGUCUCGAUUGCUUGGCAGCGGUCAGUAGCGGCAUGGGUUUUCUAAAGCAUUUAGAAAGAUGCUUUUGUCAAGUUGAUCAAUGCAUAUAGAUCAAUUCCUGGUUGAUCGAUACGGGAUAGAAUUUCCAAUAUAUACUAAUUAAUGUGUGGCUUUCACCACAACUUGCAGGUGGUGGAGGGUGCGAUGAAAGGAUCGUCCUCGUCUUGGGCGAUGAGUUCUUCCGAUGCAUCGAACAAAUCCAGAGACAACGACGAGCCAAGGCAGGAUUUGAGGAGCCGAGGGCUUUGCCUGGUUCCAAUCUCCUGCACACUCCAGGUUGCCAAUGACAAUGGUGCCGAUUUUUGGACUCCGAACAUUGGGGGAGGAGGUGGCGGUGGUGGCGUUGCUGGUGGUGGUGCCGCUGGAGGUGGCGGCUCCGCCAAAUGAAUGGGAUCAAUCCAUCAUAGAUCUUUCAGCGACGUUAACGCGCACGUCAACUCUCCAAGUACGUAUAUAGAUUAUGUACGUUAGAUCAAGACUUCGAGCAUUUGAUCAUUCGAUUUAGCUAUGUCUACGCCCAACGUUCUCUAUUCUACUACUGCACUACGUACAGCCGCUUGCGAGAAGAUCAUCCAAGACACACAAGCUCACAUUGGUGAUCGACCGCUUCAUAUGUGAGUGACCGUAUAAUUAUAAAUAUUGUAGAUAGCCAUCUAACAACAUUUUCGUUGGACACUCUAACUUGAUUAUUUCGCUAAUUACCAAAUUAAUAAAAGGUUCGCCACCAACCAUGUAUCUAAGAGAAAGAGUUUUAACAAUUCUCACUCAAGUUCUCCCAUUCAAGCACAGUAAAAUAGAAAAAAUUCCAUUAGUAAAUUCCUGAUCUUUAUCCUUUGAGGAACUACAAUAGUAUAAUGGAGCGUGUGAUAACGAAACAAGGCCAAGAAAUAUCAAACGAUUCCCUGCAAGCCACAGCAAAGAAAGCGAAUAUGCUGGGCACUUGACAUGUGCAGAUGCUAUCAUGAGCGCACGCGGGCUGUACGGACUGCCCGCCCGUACCAACGGUACCAAAAUACGGAAUAUUCUAACGAACGUUCUAGACGCCAACGUGGAAUGACCUAGAAGCUUUCAAGCGCGUGAGAUUAGGGUUUAAGGCGAAGAACGAAGAGGAGAGGAAGCGUUGCGCGCCGGCGAUUCACGCGGGGUGCUUUGGAAUGGCUGCCGACGGCGAGGUAUGUCGAUUCCGCGAGCGAUCGAUCGAGGAUUUUCUUGCGCUGAUCGCCGAAAUCUUGCGUUGUAGGCCUCGCAUUCCGUGGUUCUCUACGUCUACGACCUGAGCCAGGGCCUGGCGCGGCAGCUCUCGACUUCGCUGCUCGGGGCAGCGAUCGAGGGCAUCUGGUAUGUCACGGGCAAAUUUCCCUCUUUAGCUCAAAGAUCCCCAGUAACUUCCAAGCUUAUAGUUCCAAGUUUUUCUUCACAGGCACACUUCGGUGGUGGUCUAUGGCACCGAGUACUACUACAGCGGUGGAAUCACGACCAGCAAUCCGGGGCGCACGCCCUACGGCCGUCCCGUGAACACGGUCGAGCUUGGAAGAACUCAAGUGCCAAAGGAGGUGUUUGCGGAUUACCUCAGGGAGAUCAGUCCCCGCUACACGGUCCAGACUUACAGCAUCCUGUCGCACAACUGCAACAACUUUAGCAACGAGGUGGCGCAGUUUUUGCUCGGAGUGGACAUCCCGGACUACAUUUUGCGGCUGCCUCAAGACGUGAUCACCACUCCCAUGGGAUACUUGCUCCGUGAGUGCCAAUUUUUUUUUUGCUUUUGUGGAUCUUUUUCUUCACUGACUGUUUGAUUCUCUCAGAGCCGAUGAUCCAGCAAAUGGAGACCACCCUGAGAUAUGGAGGAGUCCCGCAAGUGCCUGAACUAGCAGAGGCGACGGGGACGCCACAGCGUGUAGCGAUGGCCAGACGUGCCAAGGAAGAGUGCCUCACCACCACCAUACCCGAAGACGAGGAUCUAGAGCUCCAGAGGAUGCGCUCUUCGCGAGCAGUCAAGACGGCUAAGGUGGCUUCUCGCGGCGAUGAGGGAGGAGCUGGACGGAAGAAAGCCGCCGCCACCAAGAUGGAGGACGCGAGAGCCAAAGUCCAGGAGGAGAUCACUCGCGAGUUUACUGCGCUCAUGGCCGCGGGAGGGCUGCGAGCCAGCGAGGCGGCGGCUCUUGCCGCGCGGAGAGUGAUGGAAAGGCACGGCAUUGGUGGCAGUGGCACGGCGACGCAGUCGUGAUAGAUACGACGUACGAGAAAUUCUUUUGGGUGUGAGCGAUUCUUCUACACCCCCAUUGAUCACACAGUUCCUUGAUCGAUAACAACGACGAUGAUAUGUUUCAAUCAAUAUUGGGUUUUGCCGUGAUUGUGGAUGUAGUUUGAAACACGUGUUAAAGACUGGAUCUCUGGAUCGUAUAGUCGACUUUGAAUCUGAUUUUUCCCAUCGGACAAGGGAAAAAUCAAAGUUGCAAAGUAAAGUUGCUAUCAUACAGGGUUAUCACUCCAUUAACUUUGUAAGCAGGUGUCAAGCAAGCGUAGUUCAUACGUUCUUGCUCUGGAACUUCAGCUAUUUGAGAGGUCUAGCUGAAAGAAUUGAGCGGUUUGUGAUAUCUUCUUGCUCUUUAGGUCCAAGGAAAUGUGGUCGACAGAUUAUCUCCUUCUCCUUCUCACAGUUGGCUUCCUCGCAAAGAUUUACGUCUCAGCCCAACCAGGUCAGUAGUAUUGCAUAAGGGUCAAUCUGAAGAUUGUUUUUGCAGGAUUUCUGAGCCUUGACUGUGGAGCUUAUGACACUCACAGGGAUGAAUAUGGUAUCGAAUGGACGCCGGAUGACAAGUAUAUCACCACUGGAAUUAAAGCCUCCAUUUCAAGUUCGGAAAAAAAUGGGACAGGUUUAGCUUCGCAGCGUCUUCGCUUCUUCAACGACACCUCUCGGAAGCACUGCUAUGCUCUGCCAGUGGUGGUAAACGAUAGCUACAUCGUGAGGCCAUGGUUCUACUACGGAAACUAUGAUGGGAUGGAAUCAGCUUACACAGAGUUCAACAUCAUAAUUGAUGCAAACGAUGUGGCAAACUUCAGCAUGGAUUUAACCAAAAGAAUAGCUUACUAUCACGAGUUUGUGAUUAAAGCCAAAAGCUCGACCCUGGAUCUAUGCUUUGGAACCGGCUCAAAUUCACCGGCAAAUAUCCCCUUCAUCUCCGCAAUCGAGCUCAGAAGGCUGGAUCCCGGUAUGAGAAUAAGUUCUUUCAAUUCUAGUGAGCUUUUGAUCACUUGGAGAAGGAUCAAUUUUGGAGCAGCUAUAAAUAAUCCCAUUUGGUAAGAAAUUCUUCAGAAGGUAAAAGUUCUUUUUGACUCGUAUCAAACAGGUACCCUUCUGAUGACUAUGAUCGAUUAUGGUUAGCUGAUAAAAAUUUCCCAGACAUCAUGGGAGGAUACCAACAGAUUAAUACUACCUCAAAUGUUUCGGUGGGAAAAACAUUUGACAAGCCUCCCACAGCCGUGAUGAGUUCCGCCAUCACCUCCCAUUCCACGAUGGUUUUCCAGUUCCCACAGCUUCCCACAACGCCGACUGAAUUCUACGUUAGCUUUUACUUUGCUGAGUUUGCCGCCCUGGUGAACAACACGAGGGAGUUCCAAGUCCGUUUUAACACAAGCUUGCUUGAAUCUCCCCAGCUUUUGGCAACCAUCAACGUUGAGAAGUCUGUACAGGCUCCUCUAACGUCAUUGCAGAUGUAUUACAACUCUCGAGUGGAACUUUCUGAACCAACAAACUUCUUGUUUGUGCCCACGGUGAACUCUACGCUUGGUCCGAUUCUCAAUGCUGCUGAGCUGUGGGAGUACAAAGGAGGUCUCCUCCCAGGGACGGAAACCAACGAUGGUAAAGCAUAUAAAUUUAAAUAAUUGUGAUCUCGUUAACAUUGUCAUAAACAAUGCAGUGGCAGCUGUACUUGAUGUGAUGAAAGAUUUUCACAUGACUGAAUGGUCAGGAGACCCUUGCUUGCCUGAUGCUUACACUUGGAAAUGGAUUACUUGCGAUGUAGCUCAAAUCCCAGCAAGAAUUAUAGAGCUGUAAUAAGUGGACGCAUUUCUAGCGUGAUCACAUUAACAUCUGUGCAUGACAGGAACUUGUCUAGCAGUGGACUCAAAGGAACCAUAUCACUGUCCAUCACAAAGCUAUCGCAUCUAACAAAAAUGUAUGUAUGGGUCUUUUGACGUAAUUUUUCGUUCUUCUGAUCUUUAUGUCUUCAGCUAUCUGGAUAAUAACGCAUUGACAGGGCAUGUUCCAGAUUUUAGCUCCUUGAAAAACCUCACGGUUUUGUGAGUACCACCAUUCAGUAUGCUAGAUGAUAGAAUUUUACUAAUUCUUUUGCAGGUCAUUAGAAAACAACAGUUUGGAUUGCCUACCACCAGAACAUGUACACUUCUCUUACAAGUCAGUUUUUCUCUAUUGCCAUUGAAUUGUUUAUCACCUAUAUGUUUUUUCAGCGCUACUUUUAGCUUGUGUGAGAAGAAACAUACAACACUUAUAUUUGAAGUAGUGGUACCAUGUGCAGCCAUAUUGUUACUUGGAGCUGGACUUGUGGUUUGUUUCUUCUCCCGUAGAAAAACUUCGAAAUCCAUCACAGUACAGAACAGGAAUCCAAGUAAGUUCCAAAAGGUGGCCUUGUGGGUAAUUCAUUUUUCUAAUGGCAUAUUGUUCCAUCCAGGCUUGUCUCUAAAAUCUCCAAACUCUAGCACUAAAAUGAUUGCUUACAAGGAUGUGAUUGAGGCCACAAGCAACUUCAAGAGAGUCAUUGGUGAAGGAAGUUUUGGACCCGUGUACUAUGGCUGCCUUCCAAAUGGUGUUGAAGUUGCAGUCAAGGUUUUAUCCAGUAACUCAAAGCAAGGAUAUCAAGAAUUUCAAACUGAGGUGAGUUUGAUCAUCAACAGGUACAAAUCUAUCUAAUUUUCCUUGAUAGAUUGAUAUUUUAUCAGUUGUACACCACAAGAACUUAGUGCCCUUUCUUGGUUACUGUACUCAAAAGUCCAAGCUCAUACUGGUCUACGAGUUCUUGUCAAAUGGAACGUUGAGGGAGCACUUGUAUGGUGGUAAGAAUUUUUUGUGUUGAAACGUCCUCCUUUAAUGUAAUGUCAGAAGGUAAAAGAUAUCCAACUCUAAGCUGGAAAACUCGGCUUGGAAUAGCUCUAGAUGCUGCUCAAGGUAAGCUAAAUCUCUGAAUUGAUAUGAUAUAACUCUCUCUCAUAGGAUUGGAGUAUUUGCACACAUCUUGCAAUCUACACAUAAUCCAUCGAGACGUCAAAACAAGCAAUAUACUUUUAAGUUUUGAUAUGGUUGCAAAAGUCAGUGACUUCGGUCUCUCCAAGUUUUAUGACAGUAACAAAGCAUCUCAUGUCUCAACUGGCAUCAAAGGAACUCCAGGAUAUCUUGAUCCAGAGUGAGCAAAAGUUUUUUUUCUCAAUAAGCAUGAUAUUUUACUGAAUUUAAUGGUUUUACAGGUCACAGAGAAAUCAGACGUAUACAGCUUUGGAGUGGUACUAUUUGAGAUUGUUUGCGGACGUGAGCCCCUCAAUUUCACACUCCUUGAGGAACAAAUUGUUCUUUCGGAAUGGGUAAACGAUUAAGAGAGCUAAGUUAUAAACAUCUGUUCUUGAUGAGCUUUGCUUCCUCCCAGGCAUGCAAGGAACUUGAGAAAGGCAACCUACGAACAGUAGUCGAUCCCAAGUUAUCCGACUAUGGAGAGAAAGCAGCACUGAAGGUUUUGGAGGUGGCAAGAAAAUGUGUGGAACGUUCUCCCCACGGGAGGCCUAACAUGAGCACUGUCGUGAUCCAGCUGAGAGAGGCCAUCCAACUCGAGGAGGACGGAAGUUCACUGCCAAAAUCCAUGGAAAUAUUCACUGGAGGAAGAUAGAUAUGCAAAUAUACUUAAAUUCUAUAAGAUUGUGGCUAUGGCAUUUUUAACUACAUAUAAUAAUAAUAAUAAUACUUUUACUUUAAUGUUUUAAAAGUUGCGACUGAGUGACGAAAGAGAAGGGAUAUUGGAGUCAAUUCGUUCUUAUCAAAUGCGGGUUGCUCUUCUCAGGAAGAGAAUACUACACCGGUAAGUGCUAGUGCUUUGUAUCCUUGGUAGAAAGAGGCCGCUGGACACUAUCUUUCUUGAGCGCAAUGAAUUUCUGUUCAGUGUUUGUGCCCACAAGAUCCACGAUCACCAAAUUUCCGAAGUGUCAACCCGUCUAUGAAGCGAAUCGAAUCCUUGGCACCGCUGAUCCCAUCCUGGUGGCUCUGCGAUGGCUGUUCCUGCUGCUGGAUGCUGGAGGACAAGUCAGCCUCGCCGAUCUCAAGAGCGCCAAGGAACCUGUACGAGAUGCUGGGCUUGAACGCCAGGAAGAACCGGGUGACGGUGGCGGGCUGGAUGACGGCCGUGUCCUUCCACCCGACUUGAUCCACGUCGGCUCCCUGUGCCUCGCCCGUGUAGCAGCUCCUCGAGUCCGGGUAGUCGUACUCGAACGAGCACGACCCGGCAGCGAAUCGCCCGGUGUCGAAUCCCUGCUGCUCGAGCACGAGAAAGUUGAUGAGAUGGAUGUGGAUCGGAUGGGAUGCUGUCAUGGUGUUGAUCAUGCACCACACCUCGUUCGUGUAGAGCAGGACUUGCUCGGUGGCCGGACGCGUGAAAGAGAACCUGUCCUGGAGGAAGAGUCCCGUGAGCGUGUUUCCAGAGUCGUGAACGAAAGGCCGGUUGUAAGUUGACGCCCAGUCGACGUACGAGAGAUCUACUCCGGCCGUGGCUUUGAUGAUCGAUAGCGUCGGCAACUCGGCCAGCUCGCUUGGAGUGAGUGCUUGCGGGAUCUCAUUGGCGUCUUCGUCGACGGUAGCGUUGGUCUGCCAGUUGAUUACGUUGAACAGGAGAACUUCUUGCUCGGUGACGCUUCCACUCGGGAAUGGAGCCGACGGGUUGUUGUACAAGAGAACUCUCUCCCCGGGCUUCACUCCGCGAAAGUCGAUAAGAAUGUCGACUCGUUCGGAAGGAGAGAGGCUGAGCUUCUUCUGCCGUAUCGGAGUCGCCAGGUAUCCCCCGUCCGUGGCAAUCUUGAUGAAGCUCAAGCUCGUGUCGUUCAAGGUGAGGAUGAAGAAUCUCGAGUUUGCCGCAAGCAGCACCCGGAACCUCACCACCACCGGCCAGACUUCGAUGUAAGGCCACACCUUCCCGUUCACCAGAAUGGUAUCACCAAAGUAGUCCGCACACCACUGCGGAUGAACUGCCGGAUUGCUGGGAUAGUUUAUGGAGCCAUCGCUGAAGAACUGCUUGUCUUGGAUCACCAGAAGUAAGUAGUUUCUCGGGACCCAGGAUGGAUCUUCCCAGGGCGACUCUAUCACGUAAAGUCCGACCAAGCCAGCAGCCAUAUUGAGCCGGGUCAUGCCGUAAGUGUGGUCGUGAUACCACAGGAGCAAGUGGCGCUGAAAGUUGGGAUAGACGUAGUUUUGCGCAGGUUGGAGGAGUGCCCAAUGUCUUGGAAGUUCGUAACGCUGUUCAUCCUCGAGAUUUUAGUCGCAGUAGAAGCGGAUGAGGUCUGUCUGCAACUGUCACCGUCCCCGGAGCUGGAAAAGUUCGUCGACGUUCUUCCAACGCCACCGAAGAUAUACUUGACCCCACGCUACAGAGUUACCAUUGGAGCUUACAAAAUCACCCAGGUCCACUUGAUUUCCAGACUCUUCCAAGACUCGUUUUUUUUUGUUGACGCAGAAACUGCACAGAGACUUGCCACCAACAACACUGUAUGCAUUCGGCACGAGCGAGUAUACAGCUUCAUAUCCGGGUCCAACUUUGAUAGCCCAAAAGAGACAAACAUCCUUUGUCCGAUGGGAAAAUCACAUUCCAGAUCGUGAACACUCUCUUCCAGUCGACUAUACGAUCCUAGGGGCGGUACGGCUACAUUCCCGUGGUCCCUCAUCUCCAUGGACAAGAGGGCUCGAGAUGGUCCGACGGGCAUCCAGAAGCCUGGUUUACAUCAGUUGGCGAGCGGGGCCCGGGUUACGUAACAACACUUGGAUCGUAUAGUCGACUUUGAAUCUGAUUUUUCCUAUCGGACAAAGUUGCGAAGUAAAGUUGCUAUCAAACUUUCAAUCGUACAGGGUUAUAACUCCAGCAUUAACUCUGUAAGCAGCUGACAAGGUAGCGUAGUUCAUACGUUCUUGCUCUGGAACUUCAGCUCUUUGAGAGGUCUAGCUGAAAGAAUUGAGAGCUCUGGUUUGUGCUAUCUUCUUACUCUUUUCGAAAAUAGGUCCAGGGAAAUGUGGUCGGCAGAUUAUCUCCUUCAACUUCUCACGGUUGGCUUCCUCGCAAAGAUUUAUGUUUCAGCGCAACCAGGUCAGUAGUAUUGCAUAUAUGGUCAUUGUGAAGAAUGUUUUUGCAGGAUUUUUGAGCCUGGACUGUGGAGGUUAUGACAAUUACACGGAUGGAAAUGGUAUCGAAUGGACACCGGAUGACAAGUAUAUCACCACCGGAAUUCCAACCUCCAUUUCAAUCUCUGCUAAAAAUCAGACAGAUUUACUUUGGCAGCGUCUUCGCUACUUUAAUGACACCUCUCGGAAGCACUGCUAUGCUCUGCCAGUCGUGGUAAACCAGAGCUACAUCCUGAGGCCAUCGUUCUACUACGGAAACUACGAUGGGAUAGAAACAACUUUAACGCAGUUUAACAUUAUAAUUGGUGCAAACGAUGUGGUAAAGGCCGGCGUGGAUUUAACCAGCAAAGAACUGAAGUACUAUUACGAGUUUGUGAUUAAAGCCACAAGCUCGACCCUGGAUCUAUGCCUUGGAACCCGCUCAAAUUCACCAGCAAAUAUCCCGUUCAUCUCUGCAAUCGAGCUCAGAAGACUGGAUCCCGGUUUGAAAAUAAGUUCUUUCAAUGCUAGUGAGCUUUUGAUCAUGUGGAGAAGGAUCGAUUUAGGAGCAGCUACAAAACAUACCAUCAGGUAAGAAAUUCUUCAGAAGUUAAAUGUUCUUUUUGACUCGUAUCAAACAGGUACCCUUCUGAUGACUAUGAUCGAAUAUGGAGACGUGAUACAGAUUUCCCAGGCUUCAUGGGAGAAUACCAACGGAUCAAUACUACUUCGAAUGUUUCUCUGGGAAAAACUCUUGACAAACCUCCCACGGCGGUGAUGAGUUCCGCCAUCACUUCCAAUUCGACAAUGGUUUUCCAGUUCCCAACAAAGCUUCCCACAACGCCGACUAAAUUCUACGUCAACUUUUACUUUGCUGAGUUUUCUGCCCUGGUGAACAACACGAGGGAGUUCCGAGUCAUUCUUAACACCAGCUCGCUUGAAUCUCCCCACCUUUUGGCGACCAUCAACGUGGAGAAGUAUACUCAGGCUCCUUUAACUUCAUUCCAAAUGUACCUCAACUCGCCAGUGGAGCUUACCGAGCCAACAAACUUCUUGUUUGUGCCCACGGUGAACUCUACGCUUGGUCCGAUUCUCAAUGCUGCCGAGCUGUGUGAGUACAAAGGAGGUCUCCUCCCAGGGACGGAACCCAACGAUGGUAAAGCACAUAUGAAACUUUAAAUAAUUGUGAUCUCGUUAACAUUGUCAUAAACAAUGCAGUGGCAGCUAUACGUGAUGUGAUGAAAGAUUUUCACAUCACUGAGUGGUCAGGAGACCCUUGCUUGCCUGACGCGUACACUUGGAAAUGGAUUACUUGCGAUGUAGCUCAAAUCCCAGCAAGAAUUAUAGAGCUGUAAUAAGUGGACGCAUUUCUAGCGUGAUCACAUUAACAUCUGUGCAUGACAGGAACUUGUCUAGCAGUGGACUCAAAGGAACCAUAUCACUGUCCAUCACAAAGCUAUCGCAUCUAACAAAAAUGUAUGUAUGGGUUUUUUUAACGUAAUUUUUCGUUCUUCUGAUCUUUAUGUCUUCAGAUAUCUGGAUAACAACGCAUUGACAGGGCGUGUUCCAGAUUUUAGCUCCUUGAAAAACCUCACGGUUUUGUGAGUACCACCAUUCAGUAUGCUAGAUGAUAGAAUUUUACUAAUUCUUUUGCAGGUCAUUAGAAAACAACAGUUUGGAUUGCCUACCACCAGAACAUGUACACUUCUCUUACAAGUCAGUUUUUCUCUAUUGCCAUUGAAUUGUUUAUCACCUAUAUGUUUUUUCAGCGCUACUUUUAGCUUGUGUGAGAAGAAACAUACAACACUUAUAUUUGAAGUAGUGGUACCAUGUGCAGCCAUAUUGUUAGUUGGAGCUGUACUUGUGGUUUGUUUCUUUUCCCGUGGAAAAACUUCAAAAUCCAUCACAGAACAGAACAGGAAUCCAAGUAAGUUCCAAAAGGUAGCCUUGUGGGUAACUCAUUUUUCUAAUGGCAUAUUGUUCCAUCCAGGCUUGUCUCUAAAAUCUCCAAACUCUAGCACUAAAAUGAUUGCUUACAAGGAUGUGAUUGAGGCCACAAGCAACUUCAAGAGAGUCAUUGGUGAAGGAAGUUUUGGACCCGUGUACUAUGGCUGCCUUCCAAAUGGUGUUGAAGUUGCAGUCAAGGUUUUAUCCAGUAACUCAAAGCAAGGAUAUCAAGAAUUUCAAACUGAGGUGAGUUUGAUCAUCAACAGGUACAAAUCUAUCUAAUUUUCCUUGAUAGAUUGAUAUUUUAUCAGUUGUACACCACAAGAACUUAGUGCCCUUUCUUGGUUACUGUACUCAAAAGUCCAAGCUCAUACUGGUCUACGAGUUCUUGUCAAAUGGAACGUUGAGGGAGCACUUGUAUGGUGGUAAGAAUUUUUUGUGUUGAAACGUCCUCCUUUAAUGUAAUGUCAGAAGGUAAAAGAUAUCCAACUCUAAGCUGGAAAACUCGGCUUGGAAUAGCUCUAGAUGCUGCUCAAGGUAAGCUAAAUCUCUGAAUUGAUAUGAUAUAACUCUCUCUCAUAGGCUUGGAGUAUUUGCACACAUCAUGCAAUCUACACAUAAUCCAUCGAGACGUCAAAACAAGCAAUAUACUUUUAAGUUUUGAUAUGGUUGCAAAAGUCAGUGACUUCGGUCUCUCCAAGUUUUAUGACAGUAACAAAGCAUCUCAUGUCUCAACUGGCAUCAAAGGAACUCCAGGAUAUCUUGAUCCAGAGUGAGCAAAAGUUUUUUUUCUCAAUAAGCAUGAUAUCUUACUGAAUUUAAUGGUUUUUCAGGUACCAUUCCUAUAGCAGGCUCACAGAGAAAUCAGAUGUAUACAGCUUUGGAGUGGUACUAUUUGAGAUUGUUUGCGGACGUGAGCCCCUCAAUUUCACACUUCUUGAGGAACAAAUUGUUCUUUCGGAAUGGGUAAACUAUUAAGAGAGCUUAGUUAUAAACAUCUGUUCUUUGCUUCCUCCCAGGCAUGCAAGGAACUUGAGAAAGGCAACCUACGAACAGUAAUCGAUCCCAGCUUAUCCGACUAUGGAGAGAAAGCAGCACUGAAGGUUUUGGAGGUGGCAAGAAAAUGUGUGGAACGUUCUCCCCACGGGAGGCCUAACAUGAGCACUGUCGUGAUCCAGCUGAGAGAGGCCAUCCAACUCGAGGAGGACGGAAGUUCCCUGCCAAAAUCCAUGGAAAUAUUCACUGGAGGAAGAUAGAUAUGCAAAUAUACUAGAAUUUUAUAAGAUUGUGGAUAUAUAGUUUACGAUGGCAUUUUUAACUAUAUAAUAAUAAUAAUAAUAAUAAUAAUAAAACUUUUACUUUAAUGUUUUAAAAGUUGCGACUGUUUAGGGACUGAGUGGGAUACUGCAGUCAAAUCGUUGUUAUCAAAUGCGGGCUGCUUUUCUCAGGAAGAGAAUACUACACCGGUAAGUGCUAGUGCUUUGUAUCCUUAGUAGAAAGAGGCCGCUGGACACUAUCUUUCUUGAGCGCAAUGAAUUUCUCUCCAGUGUUUGUCACUCUGCCCACAAGAUCCACGAUCACCAAAUUUCCGAAGUGUCAACCCGAAUCGAAUCCUUGGCACCGCUGAUCCCAUCCCGGUGGCUCUACGAUGGCUGCUCCUGCUGCUGGAUGCUGGAGGACAAGUCAGCCUCGCCGAUCUCAAGAGCGCCAAGCUCAGGAAGCAAGAGAAGAAGGGGAAGGGAGGCAUGAUUCGCGAGGACCUCUACUAUCCUGGCGUCCUGUAGGUGCAUCGUGUGGCCAGCACGGGCUGCAUUACGAGAAACAAUGCCAGUGGUACGUGUCCAUGCUAGACAUGCAAGGAUUCGUCAAUGGCGAGCUCAGAGCUGGUUCUACAUACGAGCGAGCUAGCGGGAGGCUACAGGUGACUCCUAAGUUCCCAUCAGUGCCAGAAGCCUCGGAUCCAGAUUUUCUUCUCAUGACUUAACGCUGGCAGAUGUUCUUCCCUCGAAACCGAGCCGCGGUUUUGCUACGGUGGUAGAGCACAUCUAGUGGCUGUUCAAGCUGCCUCAUCCGGCUAUCACGUUGAAAGGCGCAGAACUCGUGCUGUCCGAGGAACACGGUGUUCAAGGUGUGGUUGCGCCUCUAGCCAGUGUCGAGAAGCGUAUCAUCUCGCAACGGAUGGCCAUGUCAACCUGCGGAGGCUGUGCAGCUCAGGAGAGGUGGACGUAGGUCUCCUCAGCUAUCUGGUACUGGAGAGUUACGGGGAGCUAUUCGGUGAGGCUCAUGUCCGGGAUGCAGUCUCCAUGGAGGAGAUGUGGAACCAUAGACUCUGGCACCUUCACGAGAAAGGUGUGCUCCAUCGGGAUCUCAAGCCAGACAACAUGCUGGUCUUAAUGGGGUGCUGAAGAUCAUCGACUAUGACGUUUCGUGUUUCAAAGGCGAGGCUACCACCUUCACGGAAGACGCUGGCACCAAGGGGUAUGAGUCGCCAUUCGCUACUGCGGCCUUACAAGUAGGAGGAUGACGUGCUGAGCUUGGCACUGGUGUUUUACUCUCAAAGAACAGGCGUGCGAGGACAGAUGAGAGCGACUUCGUAUUUUGGGUGACGACCUCUGCUCACAGUGCUGGCGCUGGACAAAUUCAUUGAGAAGCUAUGGUUUUGAUCCUAGAGACGCCCUCUCUACUGCGAAGGAAGGUGACUUGGUGUAUCCUUAAAAUGUUUUUCUUCCUUUAUAUUGAUAGUAGCUAAAUCUUCUACACCAUGCGAAGCAACAAAACUACCCACAUACUGCUAGGAGAAUGUGUGGUUGCAGCAUUCUACUUGUAAAAUCAUCCACUUACAAACUUCUACCAACGUACCAUACAUUUGUAGCUUUGCCAACCAUCUUUUAUUCCGGAUGAAUGGCAGGAGAUUCGUGCUCAGAAAACUGCAGCCGCCGUGAGUGACAAAGGUUUUUGCAAUCUGUGGAGCCCGCACUUGCUCCGAGCCUGCUGUAACGUAUCAACUCGAUGCAGUUCUUGAGGACUUUGUGGCUGAUGCAUGGAGAAUGGGAUCUCUGGGGAUGGCUGGGACAGCUCUAUGUAUCAUGAUCAUGACAAAAGGAAGGAUGCAAAAGGUGCAAGAGUGAAAUCCUUGCCAUGCUUGCCAAGAAUGUGAUUCAUGUGCACUAUGUGCAACCAGGGAUCACAUAUGAUGAUCUUCCAUCAUCAGCUUUUGCAGUUCACUUUUCUGCAAUGAAAGAGGUUAUGGAAUGCAUUCAGUGUUCAUACCUCCUACCGGACACGACAUAGGGAGGAGCACAAGGAGCUGUGAUCAAAAUAUAGUUAGAACUUAUUGAUACAUAAAUGAUACGUGUUUGUGUAAAGCUUGUGUUACUAGUUGUUCUUGUUCCGCUAUCAAGAAUAACACCUGGUAAAGUUUCAGCGUUCUAGAUGGAUGGAAUGGAAUUGUGACUAGAACAUCUUAUUGUUGCGUGUAGUUUUAGUAAAGAUGGAUGGACUCGUUGGUGACGAGCUUUACGUAGACGUGUUUCCUGCGAAAGAAAGAGAAGGAUUCCAGUGAUGAAAAAAAAACAAUGCCAAGAGUGUGAGCACCUGUCGUGUGGAUGGAUCGAGUUCCCGGUGGCGAGCCCUACGUUUUUGCUUUCGUCCCUGGGAAAGUAACGAGGGAAGGACUUGUUGGUGUAGAGAGCAUUCGUGCUGGACACCACCAGCGGCCUCAUCAUCUCGUUAUCCUCGUGCUCGAGAAUGUGGCAGUGCCACACAAAGUGUGGAAACGUCGUUGGAUCCAGCGGGAACCUGUACGAGAUGCUGGGCUUGAACGCCAGGAAGAACCGGGUGACGGUGGCGGGCUGGAUGACGGCCGUGUCCUUCCACCCGACUUGAUCCACGUCGGCUCCCUGUGCCUCGCCCGUGUAGCAGCUCCUCGAGUCCGGAUAGUCGUACUCGAACGAGCACGACCCGGCAGCGAAUCGCCCGGUGUCGAAUCCCUGCUGCUCGAGCACGAGAAAGUUGAUGAGAUGGAUGUGGAUCGGAUGGGAUGCUGUCAUGGUGUUGAUCAUGCACCACACCUCGUUCGUGUAGAGCAGGACUUGCUCGGUGGCCGGACGCGUGAAAGAGAGCCUGUCCUGGAGGAAGAGUCCCGUGAGCGUGUUUCCAGAGUCGAGGCUUACACGGUGGACGAAAGGCCGGUUGUAAGUUGACACCCAGUCGACGUACGAGAGAUCUACUCCGGUCGUGGCUUUGAUGAUCGAUAGCGUCGGCAACUCGGCCAGCUCGCUUGGAGUGAGUGCUUGCGGGAUCUCAUCGUCGUCUUCGUCGAUGGUACCGUUGGUCCGCCAGUUGAUUACUUUGAACAGGAGAACCUCUUGCUCGGUGACGCUUCCACUCGGGAAUGGAGCCGGCGCGGUGUUGUACAAGAGAACUCUCUCCCCGGGCUUCACUCCGCGAAAGUCGAUAAGAAUGUCGACUCGCUCGGAAGGAGAGAGCCUGAGCUUCUUCUGCCGUAUCGGAGUCGCCAGGUAUCCCCCGUCCGUGCCAAUCUUCAUGAAGCUCAAGCUCGUGUCGUUCAAGUUGAGGAUGAAGAAUCUCGAGUUUGCCGCAAGCAGCACCCGGAACCUCACCACCACCGGCCAGACUUCGAUGUAAGGCCACACCUUCCCGUUCACCAGAAUGGUAUCACCAAAGUAGUCCGGACACCACUGCGGAUGAACUCCCGGAUUGCUCCCAACACUGGGAUAGUUUAUGGAGCCGUCGCUGAAGAACUGCUUGUCUUGGAUCACCAGAAGCACGUAGUUUCUCGGGACCCAGGAUGGAUCUUCCCACGGCGACUCUAUCACGUAAACUCCGACCAAGCCAGCAGCCAUGUUGAGCCGGGUCAUGCCGUAAGUGUGGUCGUGAUACCACAGGAGCGAGUGGCGCUGAAAGUUGGGAUAGACGUAGUUUUGCGUCACGUAACCCGGGCCCCGCUCGCCAACUGAUGUAAACCAGGCUUCUGGAUGCCCGUCAGACCAGCUCGAGCCCUCUUGUCCAUGGAGAUGAGGGACCAUGGGAAUGUAGCCGUAGCGCGGACCCGCCCCUAGGAUCGUAUAGUCGACUGGAAGAAAGUGUUCACGAUCUGGAAUGUGAUUUUCCCAUCGGACAAAGGAUGUUUCUCUCUUUUGGGCUAUCAAAGUUGGACCCGGAAAAGAAGCUGUAUACUCGCUCGUGCCGAAUGCAUACAGUGUUGUUGGUGGCAAGUCUCUGUGCAGUUUCUGCGUCAACAAAAGAAAAAACGAGUCUUGGAAGAGUCUGGAAAUCAAGUGGAGAAAGAACACAUACCUGGGUGAUUUUGUAAGCUCCAAUGGUAACUCUGUAGCGUGGGCUCAAGUAUAUCUUUGGUGGCGUUGGAAGAACGUCGACGAACUUUUCCAGCUCCGGGGAUGGUGACAGUUGCAGACAGACCUCAUCCGCUUCUACUGCGACUAAAAUCUCGAGGAUGAACAGCGUUACGAACUUCCAAGACAUUAGGAACUCUUCCAACCUGCUUGCAACACUUGCCGAACUUAAAUAAAGUCAGUCAAAGAAGUGAACCUGGCGUAGUCCAGACGUACUUGCAAAGUCUUUUCCAAAGAGCGUGACACAGCUCGCCGGGAGUUCAAAUAAUUCAGCGCUUGAGAGGCCGAAAAAUAAUGGCUAGCAAAGGAAAGUUGUGCUUCAUUGUCUCGUCGAUCUUCAUCCUGCGUUUUGCUCAAGCAGAACAAUACUACAGGAAUUUCACCAGCAAAAUAAAUGAUUCCUUCUUGUUUCCGCUUGAUCCACACGGCUUGAAUGGCCGCUACGCUGGUUUAUGGUCCAACUAUAGCGACACACAGAUCAGCCGGUAUAUUAGUUACGAGGUGUGGAUGCUGAGUUAUAACGCUGACACACCACGAUCGUUUUUCCUGGCCCUCGUUGCCAUCCGCAAUCCAACUAGCUGGGAGCUCACAAGACCGGUCAUCCUGUGGAAGGCCAGACAGACGAGGCUUGUAGGUGAGAAUGCCACUCUACAAUUUACCACAGAUGAAGGACUUAAAGUCGAAGAAGACGGUGAUGUUGUAUGGUCCACGAAAACUGCAAACAGAGGCGUCCGGUGGCUCUGUAUUUCCAAUCGCGCAACCAUAAUGCUCCUGGAUGAAAGCGGAAGCAAUGUCAUCUGGCAAAGCAGCGACGAACCUUCUGAUACUGUGCUGUUGCAACGAGCACUUACGCCGGGACAAAAGCUCGUAAGUUGGAAUACUUCAGAAGACAGCAGCGAUGGCCUCUAUAGUCUCGUCAUAGAGAAAAACAGGCUGCAACUGUUGUACGCCUCGCAACCGUACUGGAGCUUCGGUAAUAUUACCAGCGAGGAAGAUAUGUUUGCGGUGUUUUGCUGGCAAAACGAUGGUAUCGUGUCUCUGGAUCUGCGAGGCAACUUCUCACAGAUUGAAACGGAGCGUGAUGACUUGGGCUUAGUGUUUUCCUGGUCAUGUUCCAGUCGAGGUUUAAGAGACCAAGUGAUGGAGUUGCCAAUAAAUGGGUCACAACUCACGGCCUCCACUUUCAUAAAGCUGAAACCGGACGGGGAUGUCGUCUUGUACUCCUGGAAUUGGACGGGUACAAACUGGAUAGAUUUCUUCAGGUUUUCGACUCUCUUCAAGUGCUUUCUUCCAAGUGGAUGUGGAAGAUACAGAACCUGCAAUUCAGCAUCAGGCGCAUGCGAGGAAACUUGUCCAGAUACCUUUGCAAGAAGAGGUGAAGACUGCCAGCCACCAUAUCCACUAGAGACAUGCGAAGACCAGCUCGAGUAUCGAUUCGUUCGAAGAGAGGGAGCUGAUUACUUCUCCACAAAUUAUUCCACUCCAGUUCCUGAAGCAUCAGUGGAGGCGUGUCAGGGGCGACGUGAGUCGAACUGCACCUGCACGGCGGCCUUUUAUAAUGACGGGAGCUGCUUUCUCACGCACGGCGACGUGCAGUCACUCCGAUCUGGGAAGUACGUUGCUCUGCUGAAAGUUGCCCGCCCUCGAAAGGUUUCCAAGACGCAACUCCAGGCCAUCACAUUGGGAGUACUUGUUCCAACAUUGUUCCUGCUGAUAGUCUGUCUCGGAUGGCACUGCCGGAGGAGAAAUAAGCAUGAUGACGACGAGGGAGAAGAAGAAAGCACCUUGCAGCUAUCCCUCAUGGCGGGUAUCCCCAGGCGCUUCAGUUUCCAGGAGCUUGAAGAAGUCACAGGGAAGUUCAGCAACUGCCUCGGGAAUGGAGGAUUCGGAAACGUUUUCAAAGGAUUACUUGCCGAUGGCACUGAAGUUGCUGUGAAGAAGCUCGAAGGCUCGAACCAGAAAAGUAAGGACUUUUUUGCGGAAGUUGGAAUUCUAGCCAGGACGCACCACUGGAACCUCGUCAAGCUGCUGGGAUUCUGUGCGCAAGGGCCCAGGAAAAGGCUCCUUGUGUACGAGUAUAUGAAGAAUGGCUCCCUAGAGCGGUGGAUAUUUGAAGACGACAGAAUUCCUGGGAAUAUUUCGUGGAAACUUAGAUUCAACAUCGCAAUAGGCACAGCGAGAGGAUUGAACUACUUACACGAUGACUGUGUUGAAAGGAUAAUCCACCUGGAUCUGAAGCCGGAGAACGUACUCCUCGACGAUGGUUUCCAGCCGAAGAUAGCAGACUUCGGAUUGUCCAAGCUCAUGGACAGGAAGGAAAGCCAGUUGCAGCUGACGAUUACGAGAGGCACCCCUGGCUACGUUGCACCGGAGUGUAUUCAGGAAGGAACGGUGACUGAAAAAACAGAUGUUUUCGGCUUCGGGGUUCUGCUGCUCGAGAUCAUAACAGGCUGCAAGAACAGGAACCUCUCAGGCGACUACCUGAAGGACUACUUGUUGGUUAGUAACAGAAACGGUAGUGCCGCUGCUCACCUCUCUGAAGAAGAGAACGAAAAGGAAAGAUUGAAGAAUGUUGCGGCGUUGUGUGUUCGAGACGAUCCAAACUUACGGCCCUCGAUAAGCAAGGUUAUACAGAUGAUGGAAGGAGUUACCGAGCUGCUUGAAGUACCUUUGGAAUCGGAGCUGAAUUUCUUUUUCGCUUACAGACCCAAAGAUCAGCUUAGCAGAACCGCAGCCUCGAACGUGACUUAUAGGAGUUCUGAUAAGUUGCUGAACUCAUCUUCCUCGUUUAAUGCCUUCUCACAAUCUAGCCUGAAUGCCCGAUGAAAUUAUACGUUACAACAUUGAACGAAAAAUAUACCUUCGUUGAUUCGCUACUGCUGAAACUGUUGCGCUAAGCCAAAAACAAUGUAGCUGCAAUAUCAUUAAAUCAUCAACCUCCAAAGAAGAACAGUUAUAUCUUCUCCUAUUUGGGUUCCAGAAACUCAUAAAGGAAAUUCGUCGUCCAAGUCUGUAGAAAAAUCGUCAAUUAGUACGUGAUUCAAAACUAGAAAUUAUAAGAAGAAACCGUUUCGAGCUUCGGCUUUCAGCAAUAGCAAGCUACAAAAAGAAAAACCUCGCGAAAUAUCCUGAAAAGCUCCAUCAGGAACACAAGAAAAGAGAAAGAUUGCCAAUCGUCAUUGCAAUGUGGGGUAAAAAGGCAAUAUUGAGCUUAAAAUCGCAGGUGAUCUUGAGAGAAAAGGAUGGAGCUCCCUCAUGAGAGUUUCGAAAAGAUGCUGAAACUAUCAAUAUCGUUCAAGGAUUUGCCACAACACGAGUCCAUCUAGAGCACAAAAAAAGGAAUAGCAAUGGACGCGAUUCUUAGCUUGAAAACCAAAAUUUACCAAACGAUGGACAGCGUCCGCCUGGAGCUAACACAGUUGGAGCACAAAAGCAAGCGCAUCACAGCGCGCUCUUCCUCUAUCAACGAACAGCGACCAAAGUGUGAGCGUCCAUCUAAAGCCAAAGGAAUUCUUUGUGUAAGCGAAAUAUACCUCAGAUUUCACGGAUCUUCUGUGACGAGCUCCAGCGCCAAGAAAAAGAAAUCGCGCCAUGGCAUUGCAUUCUACAAAUUGCGAGGUUAAUCAGCCGCAAGAAAUCGAAACUAGAGAGAGCAACUCAAUGAAUGAAGUGUCACCUCAAAGAUUCACCACAGUGCUCGAGCAGCAUUGCGCCGAUCUCCACGGAAUGCGACUCGAUCGGCAGAAAUCCAUUGCAUUUUCCGAGCUCCAUCCCUGGCCCAUUCAUAAACCCUAGAACACAAACCCACUUUAAGAGGCUUUAACAGGAGCAAAGGUUUAUUAUUUAUCCACGUAUGAUCCAAAACAUUCUUCGCAAUCUAGCGAGCCAAGGAUUUCACAGCGUCUCGCAGCCUCGUGUAGUCCUCGAGCUUGUUGUAAAUCUGGUGAGAAACUCUCGCGUACGCCGUCCCGGAUCUCUUGCUCUUCGAAUUCGCGCUGGGCGAUCCCCCCGCCUGGAAGCAAAUCGGCACCUCCACUCCAAACUCCCUGCGCAAGCUCGGCACACGUCCCACACUGCGUCCCCCACGCCGCCGCGAGCAUCUCCGCCAUCGCCAUCGCCCGGCGGUGAUUGAAAGCGAUGAGACUGGAGAGGCCACCUAGAUUCCCAUCGAUGAACUCCACCGCGGCGGUCACAGCGAGCUGGGAGGUGUAGUCUCUCGUCCCCACCCAAGAACACUCGCUGAAGAGCCCCAGCUUGAAGUUGUGAGACACCACCGGGUGGUGGAGGCGCUCCAGGUGCUUGGCCUUGGCGUGGAGGAACGCGACGCUAUGUGGAGCGAAGAGCCACUUGUGGAGAUUGCUCGAGUAGUAGUCGGCGUCGAUCUCCUCCACGCUCAGCUCGAUGUUGCCGAUCGCGUGAGCUCCGUCCACGAAGAUCUGCUCCACUCCAGCGUCGCGGCAAAGGGCGACGAGAUCUCGCGCCGGGAGAACCACCGAUGGCAUCGAGGUGAUGUGGUCGAUCACCGCCAGCCGGAUGGUGGUGGAGCUCUUGGCGGCCUGCUCCAGCGAUCGCUGGAAGCUGUCGAUGAUCUGCCGGGCGGAGAGGAUUGGAAGCGCGAGCUCCACCUCGAUGAUCCUCGCGCCGGCGCGAACAGCGUAGGCCUCGAAGCACUUCUUCACGGCGGCAUAGCUGCAAUUGAGCAUGAGGAUGGCGUCGCCGGGGUGGAAUCUCUUCUCCAGGAAUCCCCACGCCAUGUCCUGGGCGAUCAUCGCCGCCGCCGUCGUCACGUUGUCCACCAGGACGAUCUCCUCCACGUUGGGGGCGCGGAUGAUCGACGCGAUCGCCUCCCGCGACGCGCGCAAUCUCUUCUCCAGGGGGCCGAAGUAGAACUCGUCCGGCUGCUCCAGCCACUGCCUGUGCCAUCGCUGCUGCGCCUCCAGGACCGAUCGAGGACAGCUCCCAAAGCUCCCAUUGUUGAUUCUCGCGAUUCCUUGCCUGUGAUGCGAGAAUUCGCGAGCCAGCAUCUCCUCCCAGAUCUUGCCGGAUCCUACAAUCGGCAUUCUCUGGAUACUCCCGGCCUCUUGGCCUUGCAUCGACACAGUCAUGGCGCAGCACCCUCGAUCGAUCAAGAAUCCCUACCCUCGUCGCGGGGAUCAAUCCAAUGCAGCACAACCUUCCCAGAAGAAUCUACACUCACAAUCUCGCGGGAAAUAGGUCGAGUUCUUCGCCGCUGCCCUGCCGCCAUAGCUCAAGCUUCUGCCCUUAAAAACAAACGAGCCUCUUAUUCCCUGGAUAUUCUCAUUUGUCCGUUAUUAUAUGAAGGAAUCUAUGGGCAUAUCCGUCUUGGUCAAUGCAUAUGCCCGGAUAUCCUAAGAAGAUAGCUUUGCAGCAAUGGCAAAACAAUUCCUCCACGAAAGAAGGAAUCGAUCGAUCAAAAAGAAUGUUGCCAUAGCUUUUCGAGAUGCUUGCUAUCGCCCAUCCUGCAAUGGAAGAAUAACAAAGGUUGUUAGAUCUCGAUUCCUCUGGAGAAAGAUCGUCAAACCUUGUGUUUUCGAGUGCCCAUCCUAGUUAUUAAAAGAAUAGCAAAGAUCGUUAGAUUUUGAGAGAAAGAUCCUCAAACCUUUGCUGUGUUAUUCGAGACGCUAUCGCCCAUCCUGGCAAAGACAUGUGAUAGAAGAAUAACAAAGCUUGUAAGAUUGCGAUUCCUCUGUAGAAAGACCAUCAAACCUUUGUUUACGUUUUCGCUCCCGUGCUCCGUGCGAGUUACUUUCUUGCUUGCGUUUUCUCUUGCCGACGUCCUCGUACUCGAUUGGAUCGAUUAUCACUCCCGCUCGUUUGAUUAUCUGCGUGGAAAUCACGUUUACAAUCAAAUCAAAACAGGAAGAUCGAGAAACAGUAAGAAAAACAAAGCUUACAGAUGGUCGUGUCAAGUCCUGGAAAGCUUUGGUUGGAUUGUAAUCACCCCCAAUGGCAUCCGCAUUGUUUUCUCGAAAACUUCUUUCGAUGUGUAGGGGAAUGGCAGCGACGACGACAGGAACUUUGCAGCCUGUUACACAGAGAAGUGAGCAAAGAAAAGGAAGAACAGGAAAAAACGCUCCCAGUACCUUCUUAUCAGUCUUCUGGCUGAUGAUGACGUGCUUGAGCUUUGCAUCCAGUCUCCGCUUCUCGGCCUCUUCUUUCUUUCGCUUGGCCUCCUCCUGUUGCUUUAGCAUCCAUUGUGGAGGACCUCUCUUCUUCUGGAUGUCUGUCCACUGCCCCCACCCUGGUAAGUCCAUUCUCUCGAGUUCUUCUUGGGGACACUCCUCGUCCACUGCGGCCGCUUUUGCUUCUUGGAACUCGGCUUCCACAUCGUCUCCAGCAAAAGCCUCUCGAAUCAGAUCCUCUUGACUACGUGGAACUAUGACUUCGUCACCGUCGUAGUCGAGAUCUUCCUCUUGUUCUUCCAUGCUGUUUACAGGUUUUUUGUCCUGCUUGCGACUCGUAUCCUUUGGCAGCCCCGCAAUCGCCACUUUAAAACUUUCGUCUGCUACGCUUUUGCUGUUUGUUUCUGGCCUCACAACUUUGUCCGUGCCGAAUACUGUCGGGUUUGCGCUGAUGACCGAAUGUUUCGUCACCUGCACUCCCAUCGAGUCGCCGAUUCCUUGUUUUUGCUUUUCUUCUUUGUCUUCUCGCUCUUGUUUCCUGCUAUCGUGAUUGAUUCGUCAACUUUCGUUGUGUGCUCCACGGCAGCACUAACCUAUAUUGCCGCGUUAUCUUAUUUUGAGGAAAGAAGAGCUAUACCGGCUUACCAUUCCAUCCAGAUGGUGUUUAACGGGAGGUGUCAUACUAAUAAGCACAACACCGUACUGACGUGUCUUUCCAUGUAAUGACAACUAUUGGACACACUUUAUGUAUGCCUUUACUCUGCCUUAUUUUAUUGUGUGUUAAAGGCGCCGACCCCGCCAGCUACAUACGUAGUCCAACUUGCAACGUCUUGUCAUGACACAGCUGGCUGGGAGUUCAAAUAAUUCAGCGCUUGAGAGGUCGAGAACUCCAUGGCUACCAAAGGAGAGCUGUGCUUCAUCUUCUCGUCGAUCUUCAUCCUGGGAUUUUCUCGAGCGGAACUGUACUACAGGAAUUUCACCAGUGAAUUAAAUGGUCCCCUGUAUCCGCUUGAUCCAUCCGGCUUGAGUGGCCGCUACACUGAUUUAUGGUCCAACUACACCGACACGGACAUGAGCUUCCAGGUGUGGAUGCUGAGCUAUGACGCCACAACACCAAGAUCGUUCUUCCUGGCACUGGUUGGAAUUUGCAAUCCAAGUAAGCUCUGGGACCUCACAAAACCGGUCGUUCUGUGGAAGGCCCGUCAGACGAGGCUUGUAGGAGAGAAUGCCACUCUAGCAUUCACCACCGAUGGAGAGCUCAAGCUUGAAGAAGAUGGCGACGUUGUCUGGUCCUCCAACACCACAAACAAAGGCGUCCGGUGGCUUGCCAUAUCCGACAGCGCGACCAUAAUGCUCCUGGAUGAAAGUGAAAGCAAUGUCAUCUGGCAAAGUAGCGACGAACCUUCUGACACUGUGCUGUUGCAACGAGCGCUUAAGCCGGGAUAUAAGCUCGUAAGUUGGAAUACUUCAGAAGACAGCAGCGACGGCCUGUAUAGCCUUGUCAUGGAGAAGAACAGGCUCAAACUGUUGUACGACUCGCAACCAUACUGGAGCUUCGGUAAUAUUACCAGAGAGGAAGAUAUGUUUGCGGUCUUCUGCUGGCAGCCAAAUGGAGUCGUGUCCCUGGAUCUCCGAACUAAUUUCUCACAGAUAGCCGUUGCGGGCUUGGUACAGCCGGAGUCUUGUGCCAUACCUGGUUCUGAAGACCAAGCGAUGCAGCUGCCAAUAAACGGGUCACAGUUCACGUCCUCCACUUUCAUAAGGCUCACACCAGAUGGAGAUGUGGACCUGUACUCCUGGAAUUGGACGGGUAGCAACUGGGUGACUUAUCUCAGCUUUUCCAAUCACUUCAAGUGCUUCCUUCCAAGUGCAUGCGGGAAAUAUAGAACCUGUAAUCCAACAUUAGGUACAUGCGAAGAUACUUGUCCCGAGAGCUUUACCAAGAAAGAUGAAGAUUGCCAGCCAUCGUUUCCACUUCAGAUGUGUGAGGAGAUGGAGUAUCGAUUCGUUCGGAAGGAGGGAACUGAUUACUUCUCCACAAAUUAUACUGAUCCACUCAAUGUUGCAUCGGAAGAAGAUUGUCAAGGGCUGUGUGAGUCGAAUUGCAACUGCACGGCUGCCUUCUAUAGUGACCGGGCCUGCUUUCUCGUGCAUGGAGACGUGCAAUCACUUCGAACUGGACAAUACGUUGCGUUAUUGAAAGUUGCACAGCCACGAAAGAAUUCCAGGAAGCACGUCCAGGCCAUCACCUUGGGAGUACUUAUUCCAACAGUCGUCCUACUGAUAGUAAGCCUCGGAUGGCGCUGCCGGAGGAACAAGGAAGAUGACGACGAGGGAGAAGAAGAAAGCACCUUGCAGCUCUCUCUCAUGGCUGGCAUGCCGAGGCGUUUUAGUUACCAGGAGCUCCAGCAAGUCACAGGGAACUUCAGUGACAGACUGGGAAGCGGAGGAUAUGGAAGCGUGUUCAAAGGAAAACUUACCGAUGGAACUGAAGUCGCUGUGAAGAAACUUGAAGGCUCCAAUCAGAGGAGCAAAGAUUUUUUCGCCGAAGUUGGAAUCCUAGCCAGGACGCACCACUGGAACCUCGUCAAGCUGCUGGGAUUCUGUGCCCAAGGUCCCAGGAAAAGGCUCCUUGUGUACGAAUAUAUGAAGAACGGGUCCCUGGAGCGAUGGAUAUUUGAAGACGAUAGAAAGCCUGGCAGUUUUACAUGGGACGUUAGAUACAACAUUGCCUUGGGCACAGCAAGAGGAUUGAGUUACUUACAUGACGACUGCGCUGAGAGGAUCAUCCACCUGGACCUGAAGCCGGAGAAUGUGCUCGUCGACGAUGGUUUCCAGCCGAAGAUAGCCGACUUCGGAUUGUCCAAGCUCAUGGACAGGAAGGAAAGCCAGCUACAACUGACAAUUGCGAGAGGCACCCCUGGAUACGUCGCACCCGAGUGUGUUCAGGAAGGAACGGUGACUGAGAAAACCGACGUUUUCGGCUACGGGGUACUGCUGCUCGAGAUGUUAACAGGUUGCAAGAACAGGAACCUCUCAAGUGAUUACCUGAAGGACUUCUUGUUAGUCAGUGGACAGAACGACAGUGCUGCUGCUCACCUCCAUCAAGACGAGAAGAAAAGAGAAAGAUUGAAGAACGUUGCAGCCUUGUGCGUCCAAGACGAUCCAGAUUUACGGCCCUCGAUGAGCAACGUGGUACAAAUGAUACUGGGAGUUACUGAGCUGCCUCAAAUGCCCUCGCGAUCACAGCUGAAUUUCUUUCUUGCUUACAGAUCCAAAGAGCACUUGAACAGGAGCUCAGGCUCGGACGUCUCGCAUAGGAGUUUUGAUAAGUUGCUGGAUUCAUCGAUGUCAUCGACGUCAUUUGCAAUUUUCUCACAAAAUAGUGGUCGAUAGUUAAACCGGAGUAUAAUUUAAACGUAGGUAUAGUAUUGCCUCUGAAAAUCACAAAAUUUGUUGAGGUUCAUUCUUUGUCAAAGAAGUAAAAAUAUACCUUCGGAGGAAGUAUUUCGUCCUUGUUCAACAAGAGAAUCGCCGAUCACAAUGCUUCUAGGAGUUUUGGGUUUGGUGGUUCAGAAUCGUGUUCUUCGUUCCCUACGUCGCAGCGUCGCGCAGUGUUUCUUGCCAAGAAAAAUGAAAAGUCGCUGUUAGACUCCGCAAACCAUUACUAAACAAUACCUCACACAUGGUCACAUUGCAGUGCCGCAUUGAAUAGCAAUUAGCGUUGAAACAGUCCCGACGAGACAAUUUCCUGGCAUUACUAAAACUCAACGAUGAACAGCGGCACAAACUAUUCCUUAUCAGCUGUGUAAACGCGAACGAAUAGAUAACUUUAGUCAUACGUACUUGCGGAAAGACUUCUUCAAAGCUAAUGCUUCGAGUCGCUGGAACUCCCGAGUAUGUGAGCGCGCUCUCCAGCAACACAAGCCAUGGCUAGCAGAGAGCUGUACUUCCUCGUCUCGUUGGUCUUCAUCCUUCGCUCUGCUCAAGCGGCACAGGAAUUUCACCACCAAAAUAGAUGGUCCUUUGUAUCCGCUUGAUCCAUACGGUUUGAGUGGCCGCUACGCUGGUUUACGGUCAAAUUAUAGCGACAUAGGUAUCAGCAAGGACAUGAGUUACCAGGUGUGGAUGCUGAGUUAUAACGCUGAAACGCCAAAAUCGUUUUUCCUGGCACUCAUUGCCAUCCAAAAUCCAAGGGAGUUUUGGGAUCUCACAAGACCGGUCAUCCUGUGGAAGGCCAGACAGACGAGGCUUGUAGGUGAGAAUGCCACUUUAGAAUUUACCACAGAUGGAGAGCUUAAAGUCGAAGAAGACGGUGAUGUCGUAUGGUCCACGAAAACUGCAAACAGAGGCGACCGGUGGCUCUGCAUUUCCAAUCGCGCAACCAUAAUGCUCCUGGACGAAAGCGGAAGCAAUGUCAUCUGGCAAAGCAGCGACGAACCUUCUGAUACUGUGCUGUUGCAACGAGCACUUACGCCGGGACAAAAGCUCGUAAGUUUCAAUACUUCAGAAGACAGCAGCGAUGACAGUCUCGUCAUGGAGAAAAGCAGGCUGCAACUGUUGUACGCCUCGCAACCGUAUUGGAGUUUCGGUAAUAUUGGCAGCGAGGAAAACAUGUUUGCGGUGUUUUGCUGGCAAAACGAUGGUAACGUGUCUCUGGAUCUGCGAGCCAACUUCUCACAGAUUGAAACGAAGCGUGAUGACUUGGGCUUAGUGUUUUCCUGGUCAUGUUCCAGUCGAGGUUUAAAAGACCAAGUGAUGGAGUUGCCAAUAGAUGGGUCACAGCUCACGCCCUCCACUUUCAUAAAGCUGAAACCGGACGGGGAUGUCGUCUUGUACUCCUGGAAUUGGACGGGUACAAACUGGAUAGAUUUCUUCAGGUUUUCGACUCUCUUCAAGUGCUUUCUUCCAAGUGGAUGUGGAAGAUACAGAACCUGCAAUUCAGCAUCAGGCGCAUGCGAGGAAACUUGUCCAGAUACCUUUGCAAGAAGAGGUGAAGACUGCCAGCCACCAUAUCCCCUAGAGACAUGCGAAGACCAGCUCGAGUAUCGAUUCGUUCGAAGAGAGGGAGCUGAUUACUUCUCCACAAAUUAUUCCACUCCAGUUCCUGAAGCAUCAGUGGAGGCGUGUCAGGGGCGAACUUUCCAUGUGAGUCGAACUGCACCUGCACGGCGGCCUUUUAUAAUGACGGGAUCUGCUUUCUCACGCACGGCGACGUGCAGUCACUCCGAUCUGGGAAGUACGUUGCUCUGCUGAAAGUUGCCCGCCCUCGAAAGGUUUCCAAGACGCAACUCCAGGCCAUCACAUUGGGAGUACUUGUUCCAACACUGUUCCUGCUGAUAGUCCGUCUCGGAUGGCACUGCCGGAGGAGAAAUACGCAUGAUGACGACGAGGGAGAAGAAGAAAGCACCUUGCAGCUAUCCCUCAUGGCGGGUAUGCCCAGGCGCUUCAGUUUCCAGGAGCUUGAAGAAGUCACAGGGAAGUUCAGCAACUGCCUCGGGAAUGGGGGAUUCGGAAACGUUUUCAAAGGAUUACUUGCCGAUGGCACUGAAGUUGCUGUGAAGAAGCUCGAAGGCUCGAACCACAGAAGUAAGGACUUUUUUGCGGAAGUUGGAAUUCUAGCCAGGACGCACCACUGGAACCUCGUCAAGCUGCUGGGAUUCUGUGCGCAAGGGCCCAGGAAAAGGCUCCUUGUGUACCAGUAUAUGAAGAAUGGCUCCCUAGAGCGGUGGAUAUUUGAAGACGACAGAAUUCCUGGGAAUAUUUCGUGGAAACUUAGAUUCAACAUCCCAAUAGGCACAGCGAGAGGAUUGAACUACUUACGUGUUGAAAGGAUAAUCCACCUGGAUCUGAAGCCGGAGAACGUACUCCUCGACGAUGGUUUCCAGCCGAAGAUAGCAGACUUCGGAUUGUCCAAGCUCAUGAACAGGAAGGAAAGCCAGUUGCAGCUGACGAUUACGAGAGGCACCCCUGGCUACGUUGCACCGGAGUGUAUUCAGGAAGGAACGGUGACUGAAAAAACAGAUGUUUUCGGCUUCGGGGUUCUGCUGCUCGAGAUCAUAACAGGCUGCAAGAACAGGAACCUCUCAGGCGAUUACCUGAAGGACUACUUGUUGGUUAGUAACAGAAACGGUAGUGCCGCUGCUCACCUCUCUGAAGAAGAGAACGAAAAGGAAAGAUUGAAGAAUGUUGCGGCGUUGUGUGUUCGAGACGAUCCAAACUUACGGCCCUCGAUGAGCAAGGUUAUACAGAUGAUGGAAGGAGUUACCGAGCUGCUUCAAGUACCUUUGGAAUCGGAGCUGAAUUUCUUUUUCGCUUACAGACCCAAAGAUCAGCUUAGCAGAACCGCAGCCUCGAACGUGAAUUAUAGGAGUUCUGAUAAGUUGCUGAACUCAUCUUCCUCGUUUACUGCCUUCUCACAAUCUAGCCUGAAUGCCCGAUGAAAUUAUACGUUACAACAUUGAACGAAAAAUAUACCUUCGUUGAUUCGCUACUGCUGAAACUGUUGCGCUAAGCCAAAAACAAUGUAGCUGCAAUAUCAUUGAAUCAUCAACCUCCAAAGAAGAACAGUUAUAUCUUCUCCUAUUUGAGUUCCAGAUACUCAUAAAGGAAAUUCGUCGUCGAAGUCUGUAGAAAAAUCGUCAAUCAGUACGUGAUUCAAAACUAGAAAUUAUAAGAAACCGUUUCGAGCUUCGGCUUUCAGCAAUAGCAGGCUACAAAAAGAAAAACCUCGCGAAAUAUCCUGAAAAGCUCCAUCAGGAACACAAGAAAAGAGAAAGAUUGCCAAUCGUCAUUGCAAUGUGGGGUAAAAAGGCAAUAUUGAGCUUAAAAUCGCAGGUGAUCUUGAGAGAAAAGGAUGGAGCUCCCUCAUAAGAGUUUCGAAAAGAUGCUGAAACUAUCAAUAUCGUUCAAGGAUUUGCCACAACACGAGUCCAUCUAGAGCACAAAAAAAGGAAUAGCAAUAUUCUUAGCUUGAAGACCAAAAUUUACCAAACGAUGGACAGCGUCUCCCUGGAGCUAACACAGUUGGAGCACAACGUAAGCGCAUCACAGCACACUCUUCCUCUAUCAACGAACAGCGACCAAAGUGUGAGCGUCCAUCUAAAGCCAAAGGAAUUCUUUGUCUAGGCGAAAUAUAUCUCAGAUUUCACGGAUCUUCUGUGACGAGCUCCAGCGCCAAGAAAAAGAAAUCGCGCCAUGGCAUUGCAUUCUACAAAUUGCGAGGUUACUCAGCCGCAAGAAUCGAAACUGGAGAAAGCAAACUCAAUGAAUGAAACAUCACCUCAAAGAUCCACCAAAAUGCUCGAUCAAUGCAACAUUGCGCCGACCUCCACGGAAAUGCGAUGUUAAAGCUCUCGAUCGGCAGAAAUCCAUGAGCCAUUCAUAAACCCUAGAACACAAACCCACUUUAAGAGGCCUUAACAGGUCCCGCGUUCGACUCUAGCAAGGUUUUAUUAUUUAGCCACGUAUGAUCCAAAAGAUUCUAGCUAGCCGAUUUCACAGCGUCUCGCAGCCUCGCGUAGUCCUCGAGCUUGUUGUAAAUCUGGUGAGAAACUCUCGCGUACGCCGUCCCGGAUCUCUUGCUCUUCGAAUUCGCGCUGGGCGAUCCCCCUGCCUGAAAGCAAAUCGGGACCUCCACUCCAAACUCCCUCCUCAUCUCCAGAACCUCACCACCACCGCGAUGUAAGGCCACACCUUCCCGUUCACCAGAAUGCUAUCACCAAAGUAGUCCGGACACCACUGCGGAUGAACUGCCGGAUUGCUCCCAACAUUGGGAUAGUUUAUGGAGCCAUCACUGAAGAACUGCUUGUCUUGGAUCACCAGAAGCACGUAGUCUCUCGGGACCCAGGAUGGAUCUUCCCAUGGCGACUCUAUCACGUAAAGUCCGACUAAGCCAGCAGCCAUGUUGAGCCGGGUCAUGCCGUAAGUGUGGUCGUGAUACCACAGGAGCGAGUGGCGCUGAAAGCUGGGAUAGACGUAGUUUUGCGUCACGUAACCCGGGUCCCGCUCGCCAACUGAUGUAAACCAGGCUUCUGGAUGCCCGUCCGACCAGCUCUCUUGUCCAUGGAGAUGAGUGACCACCAGAAUGUAGCCGUAGCGCAGACCCGCCCCUAGAAUCGUAUAGUUGACUGGAAGAAAAAGUACACAAUCUUUCCCAUGGGACAAAGGAUGUUUGUCUCUUUUGGGCUCUCAAAGUUGGACCUGAUAUGAAGCUGUAUACUCGCUCAUGCCGAAUGCAUUCAGUGUUGUUGGUGGCAAGUCUCUGUGCAGUUUCUGCGUCAACAAAAAAAAACGAGUCUUGGAAGAGUCUGGAAAUCAAGUGGAGAAAGAACGCAUACCUGGGUGAUUUUGUAAGCUCCAAUGGUAACUCUGUAGCGUGGGCUCAAGUAUAUCUUCAGUGGGGUUGGAAGAACGUGGAUGAACUUUUCCAGCUCCGGGGACGGUGGCAGUUGCAGACAGACCUCAUCUGCUUCUACUGUGAUGCAAAUGUCAAGGAUGAACAGCGUUAUGAACUUCCAAGACAUUGGGAAUUCUAUGGCACGGGUGCUGCGUGAAAAAAGACUGUACAGUGUGAUAUUGCAUUUGCCAGGUGGCAACAUUUGAUUGGCCUGCCAUAAUUAUGUUGCUAUUAUGUACAUUGGAUGAAUGCUUUUAAUGGUCAUCCAUACAUGCCUACAUAGUACAUAUCUGCUCAUCCUUUGAUUAGGGUCAUUUUUAAGGCGAGGACUAGCAGGACAUCUUGAGGGUGGGUUCUUUCAAGGUUGGGGGACAAGAGAUUGAUUCCUUGGAGGUGGGGAGUAAAGUCUGAGCGUGCGGGGUGUUUGGCAGACGCUAUGACUGGAAAGGUGUGUUUUCUUUGAGGCUUUGUUGUUGUGAGCACAUGAGUCCAUGAAUGAGAAUGGAUCCUAGUUUUGGUGGAGAUGAGGGGUAGCCACAUUGCUGAAUGCUCCCAUGAGCAGUGUGUGGCUAUCCUUCAUUCUCAGACCAUGCAGGAAGCUUGAUGAUGCUAAAUUGAGCAACACAAGUUGUUGGUAAUUUGAGCAAAGUAGAGUCAAUGAGAGGCUUCUAUGGCAUUAGAGACUUUCAAUGAGGAUGCCAAGGGCAUUGUUGGAAAGUGAUGCCAAUAGAAACACCCCAUGUGCAAGUCUCACCAUGGCUAGUGGUGUGGCAGGUUUUUUGAGUGGAAACUAUGGAGGCAAAUAUGGCUCACGAGGGUUUUCUGAUGGAAGAAAUGAGAAAUGUGAGUGAGGAGCUGCCUAGAAUGCAAGCUGGGAAUUCUCCUAUACUUGAUAUUUUAGAGGAGCAACUUGCAAUAGUGGUUUCUACUAUUCUCAAGAGUCUUGAGAUGAUGCGUCAUCUCAUUGGCACUAGAAGCUCAAGUCUUGGCCAAUGAGCUCUUUUCAUAGGGAAGGCUCCACACCCAGCCAGGCUGAAAUAUCCCACAUUCCAACUUGGAGAUGAUUUUGAUAGUUACCUGGAUGUAUUUGAUUGCACGGCUUAUAACAAUCAGGUAAUAGGCCAUGAAUAAAUAAAUGCUUUCUGUAUGGCUCUCUCAAGAGAGGUAUAGAGAAUGUUUAUCACACAUUAUGCUCGAGAUCAAAUGGUGUCUUGGGAUAAGGCCAUAGCUUUGGCCAGGAGGCUCUUCAUCAUUAUAACUUUUGAACUUAUCAACACAAGAAAUUAUCAAAAGGGCAAAACUAUGCAGCAAUAUUGGGUUGUGCUAUAACUGGCUGCCACAUAUAUCUUUGAUGACAUUGACAAGGCAAAGAGGAUGGCAAAGCAAGCUUUUUAUCGAGGCUUUCUUGAGGAUCUGCAGCCUUAUUUGAUCACAGCAAAAACGAGAUUUGUGGACAAGUUGCUUUCUGUGGCAGCAAAAGCAUUAAAAAAGUGGAAACCCAAAGCAGUUACAGCAUGUGCUACUCGGCCAGAGGUACAAGAAAGUGAUGACUCAGGAGAGCAAGAGGAUUGCCACUAUAAUGCCAAAAGAGGUGAAACUAGUCUCAGAAGAACAGAUACACCAAUGGUCCUAGUGUCAAGUGGUUGGCACCCGCUAAUGGUGAAAGGGAUAAGUGACCUAGCAAAAGGAUUGAUUGUUACACUUGUGGGAAAGAAGGCCACAUCCAGUGUGACUGUACCUACAUUGCCGAUACAAUGACCUAAACCAGCAAGUUAAGGAGAAUUUAAACUAGAGCUUGCACCUAGGCAGGGAUCAGGCGCAGAUAAUGGAUACCCUGACUUAAGAGUAGUAGAAGCCAUUGCCCUUCUUUCUACAGUCACAGGAUUUCGUUGUGGUCAUGAUAUGGUUCAAUUCGCUGAGCUCAGAUUUCUCUGAGAGAGUGGUGGCCAUGGUGGACACAAGCUGUGAAGUGACGACAGUACCAGAAAAGUGGGUAACCGAGGCCUCCAAGGUGGUACCCCCCUGUCAUCAUAUAUGUAUACAACGAUGAGUUAUAUACACCUCGAGGUUUAGUCGACCUUGAUCUGAAGGUUGGGGACACAGCAAUGAGGAGAUGCAACAUUGUUGGGACUUAAUUGGAUGAAUGAUGUAGGUGCGAAGAUUGAAAUAAGGGAGAGGCAACUCACUUUCUCCGAUGGUCACAGACCUAUGAAGUUGGGGGGUCUGCUUAAACCUAAAUCUUCACGCAAAGCCUUUCAUUGCACUUCCGAGUUUAAAACAUUUGCUCCAAUCAAGCAAGGGAUGUAUCUGUGGAAGGAGCCAUGCAAAGAGGCAGUUACGAACGAAGUAUUUUUGGUUGAUCGAAAGGUGGUGCUACUAAAAGCGGAAGUAGACAUUAUGAUUCCUCCUAUGUCACAGGCAUUUGUCCCAACACAAUUCUUUAUUUGUUGCUGCAAGGGAACAUUCAUACGCUUGUGGUCCUCAUAUCAGGCACUCCAGAGAGGCAUGUCAGUAGCUAAUGGAAUAAUUAGUUCUGUAUAUAAGGACAAGCCUAGCAUCCUUAUGGCAAACUUGAAGACCUCCACAGUGAACGUCAAGUCGGGUGAUCCUAUAGCUGAGGCAGCAUGCAAGGAUAUCUCGGACAUUGUGUGCUAUACAGCUGCUUAUGGUCUGGAUGCUCUUGGAUUGCCAGACCCAUACAAAAAUUAUGUUGGGGGAGCGAGCUGUAUGUCAUCGGAAAAGCUGCCACUAGGCUCUAAAAUUCCUUGGGAGGAUAAAAGGAGAACUAAAAGUUGGAGAUAUGCUCUCAGGUACGGAUCUCAUUUCUGAAUUUGAUGAGUUGCUGUGGCAGUACUGGGAGAUUUUUAGUACUGGAACUCUUGACCUGGGCAAAACUAAUAUGCUUCGUCGUGAGAUCCAUACUUCCUCAAGCAGGCCUAUCAAGCAGCAUGCAUACCGUGAAACUCCCAAACAGAGGAGAUUAAGAAAAUGUUAGAUGCUGACGUAAUUGAGCCUUCAUCAUCACCCUGGGCAUCGCCGGUGGUUCUCGUCGAGAAAAAGGAUGGCACAACCAGAUUCUGCGUUGAUUAUCGCAAGUUGAACCCUAUUUCUAAGCGUGAUGUUUAUCCAGUACCGCGAAUAGAUCAUACACUCGACCAGCUUGCUGGUGCACAGGUAGAUGUCCGAGAGAGAGGUAUGCUGGUACUUAUGUGUUGUAACUCAGGUGUUUUCCUUCUAGCCUCUAGCUUCUGGCAAGUGCCUAUGAGAAGAGGAUAAGGAGAAGACAGCUUUUACAUGCCGGGAUGGUCUGUACCAGUUCAAAAGCAUGCCUUUUGGGCUAUGUAACGUAAGUGCUACUUUCAAAGACUUAUGGACCGUGUCCUCGGUACGCUCAGAUGGGAAUUGUCACUUGUCUAUAUAGACGACGUUAAUGUCUAUUCUCGGGGAGUAUGUAGCCUCAUCACAGACCUCAGAAAGGUAUUUUCCAGAUUGAAAGCAGCAGGUCUGAAGAUUAAGCCAAAGAAAUGUCACUUCUUCAUGCGCGAAAUUAAGUUUCUUGGACAUGUGGUGUCUAGCAAAGGAAUUGCUCCGGAUCCUGAGAAAAUAUCAGCAGUGAAGGAGUUUCCUAUUCCUGAGGGAAAGAAGCAGGUCCACGAGUUCUGAACUCUAAUGCCUUGGUGCAGAUUAAAGCCUUUCUUGGUCUGGCUGGCUAGAUUUAUCAACAAAUUCGCAGAAAGGGCUUCUAAAGCAGUCGGAGCGGAUGGCUUGGGGUGCCGAGCAGCAGAACACCUUUGAAGAACUAAAGCGGGAGCUGUGCAAGGAGCCUAUAUUAUCUUAUCCUGAUUGUAGGUAUUGUAGUUGCCUGGUGAUGUAUUGAUGCAAUGCGCCAUAUCAGCAAUAUUGGCAUAGAUUGGGAAUGGGAAUGCGGAACAUCCCAUUGCUUAUUAUAGCAAGCGCUCAAGGCUCUUCAAGGCUCAGGAUCACUCUCAGGCUGUCUCCAGUGAUGGUCGAUUUACUUAAUGGGAUAUGACUAUGAAAUUGUCUACAAAAGAGGCUCAAAAACUCGAAAGCAGAUGGGUUAUCCAGAGCUUUUCACAGCUAGACUGUCUCACAAAUUUGUUGAAUUUCCUUGUUAUAUUUCUCAUGUUUAAUCGCAUUGGCAAUAUUUAUCAUUCCUGUUCUGGGUUGUAGUUGCGUGAGCAUCCCUAUUUGGACUUGAUUAUUUAAGUGUGUGGGUCGGUUGAAGUAGUUAUCCCUGCUUUGGACUUCAGAUGGAUCGCAAAGAAUACAAACUGCACCUGGCCUUCGCUGAAUCGGGAGAGAUUGUUCUUGGCAUUGACAAGUCAGUGAGGAGAAAACUCAAUCGAGGAAGAGAUAAGUUUGGUGUGCUAGAUGGCAAGCUAAUGUACAUCGCUUCAAGGGAGCUGAAUCAAUACCUGGUAGUUCAGCGGGAUGAGGUCGAUGAGCUCGUGCUAAGAUACCAUGCUUCCUCUUUAUCGGGUCAUUUGUCACGGAACAGGAUCCUAGAUGAUUUACAGCAGCAUUACUGGUGGAUUGGUACGAGGAAUGAUGUUGAUCGGGUUACAGUUUGCAAGAUCUCUAAUGCUCCUAUGCGGUCAUCUAUAACCUCAGAAUUACAGCCACUGCCAAUUGGAGGGCCUUUUGCAAGGGUGGGACUUGAUUUCGUUGAACCUUUCAACUUCCCCUCCAGACAUGGCAACUGAUAUUUUGUUGUUUGCAUGGACUACUUCUCUAAGUGGGUUAAGGCACGAGCAGUAAAUGACAAAUCUACUCAGACUGCUGUGGAAUUUAUCUACGAGGAUGUUAUCUUAAGACAUGGAGUCCCAGAGCAGAUCCUUACUGACAGGAUAAAGGAGUUUUGCAGUGAGGCAUUAAUGGGUGUGAAGCACACCCUGACAGGAAGAUUAAAACCUUCAACUAAUGGCAUGGUAGAGCACUUUAACAGGACAUUAGAAAAGACGAUCUCAGUAAAUAUUUUGCUCAAGAAAGGGGAGUGGGACAAUGUUUUGCCGGAAGUACUCUUUGCUUACAGAACAACAAGACAGGAGUCCACAGGUUUUUCACCUUUUGAGAUGAUUUACAGGAGAAGAGCGAAGAAACCUGCUCACCCUGGAUUAGAUCUCACCGCAACCAAUGAUGGUAUUGAAUCCCAGAACUAUGUUGGAGAAAGCUCGAAUCACAGGGCAAUCUUGGAAGAAAGAGCAAGAGCAAACAUUGAACAGGCACAAGCUCGUUAUUCAAGGAACUACAAGAAAAGAAUCAAUGAUCAUCCCUUUGGUGUUGGAGAUUCUGUCAUGGCCAAAGUUGUGGUGCAAGGCAUCCUAGGAAGGAAGUGUUCUUCACGGUACGAUGGGCCCUAUUUGGUAAUAGAUCAGCCAACUCAAGCUAAGAUGACAAUUUUGGCUCAGCAAACAGAGAGUGCAAUGCCAGGGACAGUGUUAUCCACAGAAUUACGAUUCUCUAAUUUGAUAUUCGACAGCAAUGUUAGAAGUCCUGGAGAGCGUUCAAUCAGACCCAUGUUUUUUCAAGUCUCUCCUUCAAAAACGAGGAAAUGACUACAGACAUUAGUCUAGGAGUUGUGUGAGAACACGAGUGACCGCUACAACGUUUUCACGCAGAGAAUAUCCGCGAAAAAUAUUCUUCCAGAUGAAUAAAGGAAUGCCACAUGUCCUUAUUUUCAUGUAGUACGGUCAUUUUUUGGCAGACGCCAUAAAUUCCUCCAAUAUCAAGUCAGUCAAAAAGUGAAUCUGACGUAGUCCACCUUGCAAGGUCUUGCCCAAAUAGGAUGACACAGCUGGCUGGGAGUUCAAAUAAUUCGGCGCUUGAGAGGCCGAAAAAAUAAUGGCUAGUAAAGGAAAGUUGUGCUUCAUUGUCUCGUCGAUCUUCAUCCUGCGUUUUGCUCAAGCAGAAAUAUGCUACUCGAACUUCACCACCAAGAUAAAUGGUGCCUUGUAUCCGCUUGAUCCAUACGGUUUGAGUGGCCGCUACGCUGGUUUAUGGUCAAAUUAUAGCAACAUAGAUAUCAGCCAGGGCAUGAGUUACCAGGUGUGGAUGCUGAGUUAUAACGCUGAAACGCCAAAAUCGUUUUUCCUGGCACUCAUUGCCAUCCGCAAUCCAAGUGAGUAUUGGGAUCUCACAAGACCGGUCAUCCUGUGGAAGGCCCGACAGACGAGGCUUGUAGGUGAGAAUGCCACUUUACAAUUUACCGCAGAUGGAGAGCUUAAAAUCGAAGAAGACGAUGAUGUCGUAUGGUCCACGAAAACUGCAAACAGAGGCGUCCGGUGGCUCUGUAUUUCCAAUCGCGCAACCAUAAUGCUCCUGGAUGAAAGCGGAAGCAAUGUCAUCUGGCAAAGCAGCGACGAACCUUCUGAUACUGUGCUGUUGCAACGAGCACUUACGCCGGGACAAAAGCUCGUAAGUUGGAAUACUUCAGAAGACAGCAGCGAUGGCCUCUAUAGUCUCGUCAUAGAGAAAAACAGGCUGCAACUGUUGUACGCCUCGCAACCGUACUGGAGCUUCGGUAAUAUUACCAGCGAGGAAGAUAUGUUUGCGGUGUUCUGCAGGCAAAACGAUGGUAUCGUGUCUCUGGAUCUGCGAGCCAACUUCUCACAGAUUGAAACGAAUCGUGAUGACUUGGGGUUGGUGUUUUCAUUGUCAUGUUCCAGUCGAGGUUUAAGAGAUCAAGUGAUGGAGUUGCCAAUAGAUGGGUCACAACUCACGCCCUCCACUUUCAUAAAGCUGAAACCGGACGGGGAUGUCGUCUUGUACUCCUGGAAUUGGACGGGUACAAACUGGAUAGAUUUCUUCAGGUUUUCGACUCUCUUCAAGUGCUUUCUUCCAAGUGGAUGUGGAAGAUACAGAACCUGCAAUUCAGCAUCAGGCGCAUGCGAGGAAACUUGUCCAGAUACCUUUGCAAGAAGAGGUGAAGACUGCCAGCCACCAUAUCCACUAGAGACAUGCGAAGACCAGCUCGAGUAUCGAUUCGUUCGAAGAGAGGGAGCUGAUUACUUCUCCACAAAUUAUUCCACUCCAGUUCCUGAAGCAUCAGUGGAGGCGUGUCAGGGGCGCUGUGAGUCGAACUGCACCUGCACGGCGGCCUUUUAUAAUGACGGGAGCUGCUUUCUCACGCACGGCGACGUGCAGUCACUCCGAUCUGGGAAGUACGUUGCUCUGCUGAAAGUUGCCCGCCCUCGAAAGAUUUCCAAGACGCAACUCCAGGCCAUCACGUUGGGAGUACUUGUUCCAACAAUGUUCCUGCUGAUAGUCUGUCUCGGAUGGCACUGCCGGAGGAGAAAUAAGCAUGAUGACGACGAGGGAGAAGAAGAAAGCACCUUGCAGCUAUCCCUCAUGGCGGGUAUGCCCAGGCGCUUCAGUUUCCAGGAGCUUGAAGAAGUCACAGGGAAGUUCAGCAACUGCCUCGGGAAUGGAGGAUUCGGAAGCGUUUUCAAAGGAUUACUUGCCGAUGGAACUGAAGUUGCUGUGAAGAAGCUCGAAGGGUCGAACCAGAGAAGUAAGGACUUUUUUGCGGAAGUUGGAAUUCUAGCCAGGACGCACCACUGGAACCUCGUCAAGCUGCUGGGAUUCUGUGCGCAAGGACCCAGGAAAAGGCUCCUUGUGUACGAGUAUAUGAAGAAUGGCUCUCUAGAGCAGUGGAUAUUUGAAGACGACAGAAUUCCUGGGAAUAUUUCGUGGAAACUUAGAUUCAACAUCGCAAUAGGCACAGCGAGAGGAUUGAACUACUUACACGAUGACUGUGUUGAAAGGAUAAUCCACCUGGAUCUGAAGCCGGAGAACGUACUCCUCGACGAUGGUUUCCAGCCGAAGAUAGCAGACUUCGGAUUGUCCAAGCUCAUGGACAGGAAGGAAAGCGAGUUGCAGCUGACGACUACGAGAGGCACUCCUGGCUAUGUUGCACCAGAGUGUAUUCAGGAAGGAACGGUGACUGAAAAAACAGAUGUUUUCGGCUUCGGGGUUCUGCUGCUUGAGAUCAUAACAGGCUGCAAGAACAGGAACCUCUCAGGCGACUACCUGAAGGACUACUUGUUGGUUAGUAACAGAAACGGUAGUGCCGCUGCUCACCUCUCUGAAGAAGAGAACGAAAAGGAAAGAUUGAAGAAUGUUGCGGCGAUGUGUGUUCGAGACGAUCCAAACUUACGGCCCUCGAUGAGCAAGGUUAUACAGAUGAUGGAAGGAGUUACCGAGCUGCUUCAAGUACCUUUGGAAUCGGAGCUGAAUUUCUUUUUCGCUUCCAGACCCAAAGAUCAGCAAAGAGCCUCGAACGUGAGUUAUCGGAGUUCUGAUAAGUUUCUGAACUCAUCUUCCUCGUUUACUGCCUUCUCACAAUCUAGCCUGAAUGCCCGAUGAAAUUAUACAUUACAACAUUGAACGAAAAAUAUACCUUCGUUGAUUCGCUACUGCUGAAACUGUUGCGCUAAGCCAAAAACAAUGUAGCUGCAAUAUCAUUGAAUCAUCAACCUCCAAAGAAGAACAGUUAUAUCUUCUCCUAUUUGAGUUCCAGAUACUCAUAAAGGAAAUUCGUCGUCGAAGUCUGUAGAAAAAUCGUCAAUCAGUACGUGAUUCGAAACUAGAAAUUAUGAGAAGAAACCGUUUCGAGCUUCGGCUUUCAGCAAUAGCAGGCUACAAAAAGAAAAACCUCGCGAAAUAUCCUGAAAAGCUCCAUCAGGAACACAAGAAAAGAGAAAGAUUGCCAAUCGUCAAAAAGGCAAUAUUGAGCUUAAAAUCGCAGGUGAUCUUGAGAGAAAAGGAUGGAGCUCCCUCAUAAGAGUUUCGAAAAGAUGCUGAAGCUAUCAAUAUCGUUCAAGGAUUUGCCACAACACGAGUCCAUCUAGAGCAUAAAAAAAGAAAUAGCAAUGGACGCGAUUCUUAGCUUGAAAACCAAAAUUUACCAAACGAUGGCCUGGAGCUAACACAGUUGGAGCACAAAAGUAAGCGCAUCACAGCGCACUCUUCCUCUAUCAACGAACAGCGACCAAAGUGUGAGCGUCCAUCUAAAGCCAAAGGAAUUCUUUGUGUAAGCGAAAUAUACCUCAGAUUUCACGGAUCUUCUGUGACGAGCUCCAGCGCCAACAAAAAGAAAUCGCGCCAUGGCAUUGCAUUCUACAAAUUGCGAGGUUAAUCAGCCGCAAGAAAUCGAAACUAGAGAGAGCAACUCAAUGAAUGAAGUGUCACCUCAAAGAUUCACCACAGUGCUCGAGCAGCAUUGCGCCGAUCUCCACGGAAAUGCGAUGUUAGAGCUCUCGAUCGGCAGAAAUCCAUCGCAUUUUCCGAGCUCCAUCCCUGGCCCAUUCAUAAACCCUAGAACACAAACCCACUUUAAAAGGCCUUAACAGGUCCCGCGUUCGAUUCUAAGCAAAGGUUUAUUAUUUAUCCACGUAUGAUCCAAAACAUUCUUCGCAAUCUAGCGAGCCAAGGAUUUCACAGCGUCUCGCAGCCUCGUGUAGUCCUCGAGCUUGUUGUAAAUCUGGUGAGAAACUCUCGCGUACGCCGUCCCGGAUCUCAUGCUCUUCGAAUUCGCGCUGGGCGAUCCCCCCGCCUGGAAGCAAAUCGGGACCUCCACUCCAAACUCCCUGCGCAGCCUCGUCCUCAUCUCCAGCGCCGCCUCCUCGCUCGCCACUUCCAGCUUCGCCGGGAGCUCCACCAUCGCCAUGGACGAAGCAAGCUCGGCACACGUCCCACACUGCGUCCCCCACGCCGCCGCGAGCAUCUCCGCCAUCGCCAUCGCCCCCCGGUGAUUGAAAGCGAUGAGACUGGAGAGGCCACCUAGAUUCCCAUCGAUGAACUCCACCGCGGCGGUCACGGCGAGCUGGGAGCUGUAGUCUCUCGUCCCCACCCAAGAACACUCGCUGAAGAGCCCCAGCUUGAAGUUGUGAGACACCACCGGGUGGUGGAGGCGCUCCAGAUGCUUGGCCUUGGCGUGGAGGAACGCGACGCUGUGUGGAGCGAAGAGCCACUUGUGGAGAUUGCUCGAGUAGUAGUCGGCGUCGAUCUCCUCCAUGCUCAGCUCGAUGUUGCCGAUCGCGUGAGCGCCAUCCACGAAGAUCUGCUCCACUCCAGCGUCGCGGCAAAGGGCGACGAGAUCUCGCGCCGGGAGAACCACCGAUGGCAUCGAGGUGAUGUGGUCGAUCACCGCCAGCCGGAUGGUGGUGGAGCUCUUGGCGGCCUGCUCCAGCGAUCGCUGGAAGCUGUCGAUGAUCUGCCGGGCGGAGAGAAUUGGAAGCGCGAGCUCCACCUCGAUGAUCCUCGCGCCUGCGCGAACAGCGUAGGCCUCGAAGCACUUCUUCACGGCGGCAUAGCUGCAGUUGAGCAUGAGGAUGGCGUCGCCGGGGUGGAAUCUCUUCUCCAGGAAUCCCCACGCCAUGUCCUGGGCGAUCAUCGCCGCCGCCGUGGUCACGUUGUCCACCAGGACGAUCUCCUCCACGUCGGGGGCGCGGAUGAUGGACGCGAUCGCCUCCCGCGACGCGCGCAAUCCCUUCUCCAGGGGGCCGAAGUAGAACUCGUCCGGCUGCUCCAGCCACUGCCUGUGCCACCGCUGCUGCGCCUCCAGGACCGAUCGAGGACAGCUCCCAAAGCUCCCAUUGUUGAUUCUCGCGAUUCCUUGCCUGUGGUGCGAGAAUUCGCGAGCCAGCAUCUCCUCCCAGAUCUUGCCGGAUUCCACAAUCGGCAUUCUCUGGAUACUCCCGGCCUCUUGCCCUUGCAUCGACACAGUCAUGGCGCCGCGCCCUCGAUCGAUCAAAAAUCCCUACCCUCGUCGCGGGGAUCAAUCCAGCACAACAGCACUGGAUUUCGCCCUUCCUAGAAGAAUCUACAAACUCACAAUCUCGCGAGAAAUAGGUCGAGUUGCCCUGCCGCCAUAGCUCAAGCUUCUGCCCUUAAAAACGAGCCUCUUAUUCCCUGGAUAUUCUCAAUUGUCCGUUAUUAUAUGAAGGAAUCCAUCGUCUUGGAAAAUGACGUGCAUGCAUUAAGCUCAAUGGCUUUGCAUAUGCUAUUUGCAUAUGCCCGGAUAUCCAAAGAAGCUAGCUUUGCAGCAAAGGCAAAACAAUUCCUCCACGAAAGAAGGAAUCGAUCGAUCAAAAAAAUUGUUGCCAUAGCUUUUCGAGAUGCUUGCUAUCCUGCGAUAGAAGAAUAACAAAGAUUGUUAGAUCUCGAUUCCUCUGGAGAAAGAUCGUCAAACCUUUGCUUGUGUUAUUCGAGACGCUAUCGCCCAUCCUGUGAUAGAAGAGUAACAAAGCUUGUUAGAUUGCAAUUCUUCUUUAGAAAGAUCAUCAAACCUUUGCUUGCGUUUUCGCUUUCCUGGAAUCCCGUGCUCCGUGCGAGUUACUUUCUUGCUUGCGUUUUCUCUUGCCGACGUCCUCGUACUCGAUUGGAUCGAUUAUCACUCCCGCUCGUUUGAUUAUCUGCGUGGUAAUCACGUUUACAAUCAAAUCAAAACAGGAAGAUCGAGAAACAGUAAGAAAAGCAAAGCUUACAGAUGGUCGUGUCAAGUCCUGAAAAGCUUUGGUUGGGUUGUAAUCACGCCCCAAUGGCAUCCGCAUUGUUUUCUCGAAAACUUCUCUCGAUGUGUAGGGGAAUGGCAGCGACGACGACAGGAACUUUGCAGCCUGUUACACAGAGAAGUGAGCAAAGAAAAGGAAGAACAAGAAAACCUACCUUCUUAUCAGUCUUCUGGCUGAUGAUGACGUGCUUGAGCUUUGCAUCCAGUCUCCGCUUCUCGGCCUCUUCUUUCUUUCGCUUGGCCUCCUCCUGUUGCUUUAGCAUCCAUUGUGGAGGACCUCUCUUCUUCUGGAUGUCUGUCCACUGCCCCCACCCUGGUAAGUCCAUUCUCUCGAGUUCUUCUUGGGGACACUCUUCGUCCACUGCGGCCGCUUUUGCUUCUUGGAACUCGGCCUCCACAUCGUCUCCAGCAAAAGCCUCUCGAAUCAGAUCCUCUUGACUACGUGGAACUAUGACUUCGUCACCGUCGUAAUCGAGAUCUUCCUCUUGUUCUUCCACGCUGUUUUCCUGCUCUGGUACAGUUUUUUUGUCCUGCUUGUGACUCGUAUCCUUUGGCCGCCCCGCAAUCGCCACCUUAAAACUUUCGUCUGCUACGCUUUUGCUGUUUGUUUCUGGCCUCGCAACUUCGUCCGUGCCGAAUACUGUCGGGUUUGCACUGAUAACCGAAUGCUUUGUCACCUCCACUCCCAUCGCAUCUUCAAGUCUAGUCGCCGAUUCCUUGUUUUUGCUUUUCUUCUUCUUUUUCUUCUUCGUCCUCUCGCUCUUGUCUCCAGCUAUCGUGAUUGGUUCGUCAACUUUCGUGGUGUGCUCCACGGCAGCGCUAACCUGUAUGAACACAUUAGUCUUAUUUUCAGGAAAGAGGAGCUAUACCGGCUUACCAUUCCUUCUAGAUCAACAUCCUCAAUAUCAACGGCAUUGACAGGAACAGGAUCAGAUUUUCUCUUUUUCUCCUUCCUCGUGACUAAUAGCAUCUUCGUUCCCAUCAACGGAGAUUCAUCUUCUGAGUUUUCACUAUCGGUUCCACGCUCGACCAUGUCAUCUUCUUCAUCGAUAGCUUUCAUAGCGGACACCUUGUCUGCGUGGCCUCCAAACGACAGUUUCCCUUUUAAUGGGCCAGUUUCCUGGCUGGGACCAGCAUCGUCAGCUCCAGCAGAUUCAAGUUCUUCUAACACUGCUCGGGCCUCAUCUUCUGCUUCUUUUCUCUUUUUCUCAAUCGCACGGACCUGAAAGAAAGUGGUAGAAGUAAAGAUGAGUUCAAUUAAAAUGCAUGAGUAUUUACCAUGAAUGGAAGAGCAAAGAUACCAGUAGUCGGUAGCUCGGUGUCGUUGGUUCCUUCUUCCAGUGCUUUCAACGUAGCGACCUUGGCUUUGGCUAGCACUCUUGAUCCAGGCUUUUCUAGCACAAGUCCCGGCUCAUCAUCCUUAUCACUGUCGUCUUCCUCGUCCUCGUCACUGCUACUGCUCUCAGACUUGGCAGAAUGAAUUUUUCUCGUCAACAACGCGUGCUCACGGAGCUGCUCUGUGAUAGCCUCUCUUGUUCCCUCAUUGUGUUGCUGCAAGCCACGCUUUAGAAUUCUUUUUGCCCAGCGAGACGUGUUUUUGUGUUUCAAUGUCAUGCGCUCCUGCAAAACAGGAAGAUUAGUAAGUCAUCUGGAUACAGGAGACUAAAACUUUUACCCUUGCACGAUUCAACUCCUGCUUCAUAGUUUCCUCGAGUUGUACGUCAGGAUCAUCCGCCAACAUAUCUGCUUUGGUCUUCUGCGAUUUCCUCGCAAGCCGAUGAAACGUUUUGGACUUGAUCUUUUUUACUCUCUUGGCUCUCUCCUCGUGACGGAAUAGAAGAUUACGCAUUUUAGCAAGUCUCUCUUGACGAUCCCUGACUUCAUCAACCGAUAGCUGCACAAAAAUAACGCUAGUAAUUUACCAGAGGAAACAUCAAAGAGCCAACCAAUACCUUGUUAAGCUCGAGGCUUUCCUUGGCCUCAAUUUGAGAAGGAUCGGCCACACCGUUUUCCUUUAGCAAAGCUGCCACCUCCUUCUCAAACGCUGUCGAAGGCUUGAAAUCAGCGACCAUCGACGUCGUUGAUGAAAGGGCGACGUUUACUUUGUCAAUAAACUUCAGUGUAGAGGCUUCACGAUUCCUUUUCACGAUCGGCUGCCACUUGCUGAUGUCCUCAACAGUUUUCUCGUAGCCAGCUUGUCUAUCGAUCUUCUCCUGAAUAUUUUUCGGCAGCGGUACCGACACCGGAGCCGCACUCUUUUGCAGUGAUCGAACCCGUUUCUUGAGCGCAUUAAAUCCAGGCUUUUCCUGGAGUGGAGCCAGCAAAUCCUCAACAGUGAUUGGCACUUCUUCAUUCUUAUCAUCCAUGUAGCUGAUAUCUUCCUUGACCUUCUUAGCUACGUAGACAAAGAGCAGUCUUUUAGCCAUAGCUGAGAGAGAAUAGAAAAGCACGUACCAUGUCGGUUCGCUUUACCAGUGACUUCCAUGAGCAUUCUAUCAUGGAGUUCUUCCUGAUCUCCUUCUUCUUCGUCUCCCUCGUCAUCUUCAUCGUCGUCAUCUUCCAGUGAUUUAUCAUCCAAAGUUCCAACAUUCUCCUCUCCAGACGCAGCACCUUCAUCGAUCUCCUCGUCCUGCAAACGCCCCACAUUCAAUUCCAGAAGCAAAACAAACACAAAAUCUCACCUCGAAAUCCGAUGGAAGCUCGUACUCCAGCUUGUCCACCUGGUCAAACCGCCUGUUCUUCCCGGACUCCUCCUGCGGCACACCCUCUUGGUACUCGUACAAAUCGCUGGCAACCGAAUCGGGCUCAUCCGCCGGCUUGCCGGAUUUGCGAGAAUGCCGCCUCUUGCGAUCAUUCAGAUCCAGCGGCAGGCCAAUCUCCUUGAGAAGACGCGAUGGGUAAUUUGGCCCGGCAUCCCUGCCCUUGCCUCUUCCUCCCCUGCCUCUUCCUCCCCCUCCCCUUCCUCUUCCCCGCUUGGGCGCCAUACCUAAACCCUAAACCUUCACAAAAAACUUAACCAAAUAACCAUUCCACCUUUGUUAAAAAACUUACCAAACACAAGAACUUUCGUCCUGUGGCUUUUGCGUUCCAUCGUUCCAUCGUAAAGCUUUAGUAUGGUCCCAUGCCAUCUAUCUAUCUAUGUAUUUAUCUAUCGUUAUGAUCCACAUGGAGAAAUAUUACAAACCAAAAGCCAUGAAGUACCUUCACUCCAAUUGCGAUAGAAGAGCCAAAGUUUCUCUUCACUCGAAGAACAAAGAAGCAUAGUGGCAAACUAUUAAAAAAAAAAACACAUUACAAAAGCAUAACAAAGCUUGGUGAAACACAUUCAUUGUGGUGGUUUUCCGGGCUGGAUUUGAUUAUUUUUGGUGUGAUGGUAGAUCUGGCACACUUGAGGAAGAGAUUCCAGUGGCGAGGUGCUGUGCAUUUCGCUGGAUCAUAAAUUUCCGUUGUGCUGCAUGACUUUGAGGUACUUCUGGGACUGCACAGCGCAGGCUCUAAGCAAGUUGGGGAUCCUCCACAGACCUUAUCACAGAUUCUUGUGCUCCUCUUUACAUCGUGUUCGGUAGGAGAUACGAACACUGAACACUUUCUUUGAGCCUGCUUCCAUAGGAGUAGCCACCGGAUUAGCGUUAAGCAUGGAGAUGGAUAGAUUUAACCAAAUAAAUAUCAAAGAACUUCAUAAAAACUUUGUGCUCGUUUGAUUACAAACCAAAAGCCAUGAAGUACCUAUCUUCAUUCCAGAUGCAGCUGGUUCAAAACAGCGGUGCUGUUCUCAAACUCUCUCUUCACUUUGACGCGCUCGAAGAACACCGGACAAUCUAGCGAGACGCACAGCACCUCGCCACUGGAGUCUCCUCCUCCACAAGUGUGACAGAUCUACCAAAAACAAAAUCAGUUCCAGCCAGGAAAAA
rnacentral:lncRNA from 1 species